ACAGCAAAACUAGAAACUUUUUUUUUUCCAUUAAUUACUUUGUCGUUAUAAUGUACAAUUUAAUGAAUUUCCUUAAUCCCACAUAUAUGCUUUUUUUAUUAAAUAAGUUAAUUGAAUUAAAAAUAUAAAUUCAAUAUUGACCUUGAUUUAACAAAUUACUCGAGGAUACCACCAUAAAAAUAUACGAUAGAUAUAUUUUCUUGCUAAGAUUUAGCGUGUUUUGGAUUGAGUUUAUAGUUGUUUUUUAAAAUGUUUUUUAUUUGGAAAUGUAUUAAAAUAAUAUUUUUUUUAUUUUUAAAAAAUUAUUUUUGACAUUAUCAUAUUAAAAUAAUUUGAAAAUACCAAAAAAACUAUUAAUUUGAAGCAAAUAAAAAAUUAAAAAAAAUUUAAUUUUUUUCAAAAUCACUUUUAAAACGCAAAAACAAACAGUUUAUUAAUAAUAUUUCAAAACCAUGCUUUUGAACCUAAAAGCUCUUCGCUAUCAAUUUAUUUCAUGAUGUAAGUAGUUAGGUUCAUUUAUGAUUAAUCCAAACUCUCUACCAAAAGAAAUUAUUAUUUUAAAAAAGUGAUGUAAGUAGCUAGGUUCAUUAAAUAAUAAGUUAAAGGGUGUGGGCAAUUCACCAUUUACCCACACCCAAUUCACUGUGGAUUACAAUAGUAAUCCAUAGUACAUUUUUUUUUUUUAUUAAUUUUUUUUAUAAAUUAUUUUUGUCAAUUUUAUUUUUUUAAUAUUGAACUAGUUAAAAGUUUUGCUUUGUAAUUUUUUUCUUUCAAAUACUAUGGAUUGUUACGGUGUUUUUCCACAUGAUUUUUCUAUUUUAUUUUAUUUUUAUUUUCUAAAAUUAUAUUUGUUGAUUUUAUUUUUUUAAUAUUGAGCUGAUUGAGAAUUUAAUUUUGUAAUUUUUUUUAAACAUUGUUGAUUGCUAUAGUUUUUCUCCACAUGGAUUUUUUUUUUUGUUUUCUUAUGAUUUUCUCCAAAAGUAUCUUUUUCGAUUUUAUUUUUUAAUAUUGAAUUGAUUAAAAAUUACAAUUACAACAUGUAAGGGAAGCAUUAUAGCUCUUCUCACAAAUUACUGUGGAUUGCUACAAUGUUUUUCCCUACUUUGCUUUUUCUAAAAUUUUCUUUGUUAAUUUUAUUUUUUUAAUAUUAAGCUGGUUAAGAAUUACAAUUACAAGUAGAUAAAAGUAAGGCUACAUCAUGUGGGGAAAAACACUAUAACUUUAUUUACAAAACAACAUGGAUUGAUAUAGUUUUUCCUCGCAUGGUUUUUUUCAAGUUUCUUUUGUGUUUUUUUUUGUAAUAUUUUUUUAAAAAAUUAUCUUUGUCGGUUAUAAUUUAACUUUGUAAUCAAGUUUAAUCAUGCCGGGAAAGCACUGUAGCUUUCCUCACAAAACACUGUGGAUUGUUAUAGUGUCUCUUUACAUAGUUUUUUUUUCUUAUGAUUUUUUUUAAAUUAUCUCUGUCAAUUUUAUUUUUUUUAUAUUGAGCUGGUUGAGAAUUACAAUUAUAAGUCAUUACAAAUACGGCUAAAUCAUGUGGGGAAGCCCUGUAGCUUUCAUCACAAAACACUGUGAAUUGCUACAGUGUUUCCAACAUGGUUUUUUUGUGUUUGUUUUUUCAAAAAUUGUCUCUAUCGAUUUUAUUUUUUUUAAUAUUGAUCUGAUUGAGAAUUUGGUUUUGUAAUUUUUUUCUUUAAAACACUGUGAAUUGCUGUAGUGUUUUCCCACGUGAUCUUUUUUUAUGAUUUUUUCCAAAAUUAUCUUUAUUGAUUUUUUUUUUUGAAUAUUGAGUUGGUUAAAAAUUAUAAUUACAAUAAAACUAAAUCAUAUGGGGAAAGCGUUGUUGUUUUCCUCUCAAAAUACUAUAGAUUGCUGCAAUAUUCUCUAUAUGAUUUUUUUUAUGAUUCUUUCUAAAAUUAUCUUUGUCGAUUGUAUUGGGGAAAACACAGUAGUUUUCCUCACAAAACAUUGUCAAUUGCUACAACAUUUUUCCUCGUGGUUUUUUUCCUUUCAAAAUUAUCUUUGUCGAUUUUUUUUAAUAUUAAGUUGGUAGAGAAUUUAGCUUUGUAAUUUUUUUUUGCUUUUUAUUAACAAAAAAGCUAAAUCAUAUGACGAAAUCACUGUUUUUUCCUAAAAAAAACAUUGUGGAUUGCUACAAAUUAUUUUGUAUAGUUUCUAAGUUUUAUAUCACCAACACAAUUUUUUUUUUCCAUCAUGAAAUAUUGGCUCCAUCAUAUUUUUAGUUUUUAUUACUUAUCUAGCGUUAAUUCACAAUUAUAACACUAUCAAAUAUAUUUGUUUUAUAAACCCGUAGCAAUGCACAUACAUGCCAUCUCAUUAUAAUUAUUUCAGGAUGUACCUACCACAUAGACUUCAUCUUGCAUUUCCAAGUACAAUGACAACAUAAAAAUAACAAUAAAAACAAUAAAAGAUUUAAUGAGAUUGUUUUCGGAUAUUAAUUUUAUUUUUUAAAAAAUAAAGUUUAUAGUGAUUAUCUUCUUAAAAUAUUUAAAUAUGUAGGAAAACAACUAGAGACCAAAUAAUAUAGAGGGAAUAAAUAAAAAUUCCAAAUUAGAAUAAAUAAUUAAAAAAAUAAAAAUAAAAUCUACAAUAACAAGAAAGGCUCAAAACAAGAUCCAAUAGUAUUGAGGCCACAUCGCUAUCCUGAGUACAUGCUAGAAAUGAAAAGGAGCACAAUGAUUCAGCGAAUUACAGCUGUCUCUCUUUGUACAGUGUUUCUCCCCAUUCUUGAUUUGCCCGACACAGACAGGAGGUACGGUAAAGACUAGCAAAUUCGCUGACUAUUCUUUUUCUAAAUUUAAAAUAUAUAUAUAUUUUCUUAUGAUUAUUAAAUCCUAUCAAACCAUUGAAUAUUGAAAUCUGUUAACCUAAUUUUAAAUAUUAUAUAUAACUCGAGUUAUUUAAAAUAAAUUAUUCAAUUCAAUAAAUUUAAAGAUAAUUAGGAUGAUUAGUAAAAACAUGUCAUGACAUUUAAAAACAAAAAUAACAUAAAACUAAGAAAAAAACAUAUCAAAUUUAAUGGAUAAACAUGCUAAAACCUAUGAAUCGAUUAACAUGAGUCAAACACGUCAAACUUGCAAAUCAGGUAAUGGAUUCUAUUGAAAUUAAUAAUUUGUUUUUUCCAUAAAUUAUUGUGUUAUUUAAUUAUAUGAUAAUAAAAAUAGACGCUUACAAAAUCGAGUAUCAAACCAAUACAUAUUGAGAUUAAAAAAAAAAAACUAUGAUAAUCUUGAAGAAAGCAAAACGAAACAAAUUAUGAAACUCAAUUCUUAAUUAGUCCGAUAUUAAAUGAUGAAAUUAGAAGAAAAAAAAUACAUCACUAAACCCACUAGCCAAGAUUAUCUUGUCAAACUUGCAGACUAGAGUAUUGUCUCCACAAAGUUUAGGAACCUAAUUUUUUCAACUCAAAGUAAGAGUAAUGUACGCAAAUUAACAAAAAAAAAUUGAUUUUAGUUUUGAGUAAUAUGAAUUUUGUAUUUAUUUGGAAUUGACUCAUGUUUUUAACAUAAAAAAGGUAUUAUUCUAUAAAUAAGUAAAAUAAUUUGAAGAGUUAUGCAAUAUUAAAUUUCUUAAUAUUUAUCUUUAUAUCAAUUUUAUGACUUGAUUUUUUAUUUAAAUUAAUGUGUUUAUUUUUAUUUAUUGAGACAAAUUAUUUUUAAUUAAUUAUAUUGAAGAUUCAUAUGAAGAUUUUAUUUUGAAAUAAAGAAUUUUCUUAAUGAAACAACAAUUUUAAGAUUGAUCACAUUUUUAGGUUUGAUGAUAAUAUAUAAUUUUUUUUUACAUUCAAUUAUUUUUUCAAUCCCCUCUUAUUAAGGGUUUGCAUUUAAGGCGAGAGAAAUGGUGACGGCAUUAAGUAUACGUCAUGCAUAUUUCAUGAUCAUGAUCACGACCAUGCAUGCGGACCCUCCCCCUUCCCAUUCCUUUCUUCUCAUUCACCCAUUUCCCUUCAUCAUCUUGUUUCAUCAAGAUAAAUUAAUUGAUGACAUGCAUGUCUCCCAGUAAUAAAUCCAUCUCAAUUCUGAUCGUGACACGUGUACCGAUUACUGCCAUGAUCAUAAACCAGUCUAUAUAUAUAUAUAUAUACAUAUACACACUUACUCCUAGGUUUGAUUGGCUCACCUCGCUUGCAAGAAAUUACUUAAGUACCAAACGGAUCCCAAGGGUUUAUUUUAUAAUGUUGUUGAAAUUAUAUUUUAAAAACAUUUAGUUAAUUAAUAUUCACUAUAAUUAUAUUUAAAAUUCUAUAUUAAGAUGUUACUUAUAAAAAAUUAUAAUUUGUAGCUUAUUUUUAGAACAUGUUUGAUACUGUAAUAUAUAAUAUCUUUUAAAAGUACUUUUCAUUUGAAAAUACAUCAAAAUAAUUUUUUUUUUAACAUGAACAUAUCAAAAUCAUUAAAAAACACUAAAAAAAACAAGCGUGCCCAAUUUUAAAACAUAGUCAAACACAAUACCAAACAGACACUUAAACCUAUUUUUCCAUAUCAUGACUACAAAAAUUACUGCAAUACCAAACAUAAAUUUUAUUUAUUUUUUUAUUUUUUUAUCAUUUCAAAAACAACCAUAAAAAUAUCAUAAUAUAUCGCAUAUAAAUAUUAUUGAUUUUUGAUCUUUCCAUUAUAUUUCUCUAUCUCGUUUUUGGAUUUUAAAAUUCUUCCAUAUAUAUAUAGCCAUCAUCCAUGGAAUAAACUAAUCCUUGAAAAGUCUUCCCACGAGUUUUAAUUUUUUAUUAUUAUCCGAUUGAAAAGUCUACCGUUCACAUAGCAAUAUGAAAUACAAAUUAUUUAUAAUUUGUAAAACAAAAUAUAAAAUAAAUUAGAAAGUAAAAAAGGUAGACCAAUAAAAAAGAUUGUUUUUUUAACUGUCUUGUUGGUGCAAUUAUUUUUAUCUUUAAUUCGUAAAACUUUAUAUUUUUGUAGAGCUAUGUUUUGAGGGUGUAUUUUUCAGUAUUAUUGGAUAUUAUAUAUUGUUAUGAAACCCGGCCGUGUUAAAGUAGAGAUGAUCAUCAACACGAGGCCGGGCCUUACUGGUCUGAAUAUUUGAUCUCCGAUCAGGUUCUACAGCCAUGCAUGUACGCUGUAUAUAUAGAUCUUGUUGCCAAAGAUAAAGUGCUAGCUAUAUAUAAUAUUAUUGUUUUUCUAUGUUGCCAAAUUAAUUAAACCCAUCCAUGUAAAAGCUUAGGGAUUUAUAGUAUUAUAAUAAUUAAUCUUGCAGUCCUUCCUUUGUCUCUCACAUAUAUUUUCCACAAGAAGGUUGAACACAGACUCCUGCAGCUCCCUUAAUUCUCUUUAAUUUGGUGUGGAUAUAGGAUCAACAGUGUACUGACCAUGAGCGAAGCUUCUUCAACCAGAGAAACCUCCAUGUAUGUUCUCUUACUAAGCUUUCCGUUCCCUUAUAUCCCCUUAAUUCUCUCUUCUCUUCCAUGGAAAAAUGCUCAGGAAAGGAGCACCUUCUUGAUUUGCAACUUUUGGAUUGGAUGAAGCUAGCUAGGUUUUAAGUUCUCUAUAUAUAUAUGUACCCCUGCCGCCCUUUAGAUUCUCCAUCAAAGCCACUACAUACGAGAUUCAUCCAAUGUAUGUGUUUCUCUUGAAAUCCAUAACAAAACUUCUUCUUCUUCUUCUUCUUCUUUAUUUACCCUUUUCUAGUUAUUCUUGAAGUGGUAAUAGCACCAGCAUGAUUUCAACUUGAAACCCAUUUUCUCUGAUCCCUGCUUGUAACAUCGAGUGAUGCCCUCAUUUUAUGUAUAUAUGUAUGGGAUAUUACAUGUAUAGAUUCACCUCGCUGCAGGUUUUGUUCAAGAAAUCAAAUGGUGUGAGUGUGAUAUUAAGUUAAUUAGUACAUAUAAUCUUGGAUCCGUGUAUAGAUCUGCAUCUUUAAAACCUAAAAACACCAUCUAGCUAGUUUCCCCCUCCCAAGAUCAGUUGAUUUGCUGGCGCGUGGAUCCAGUUUAUACAGGCAAAGACUCCAUAUGCUUCCUCUCUCUCUCUCUCUCUCUCUCUCUCGCUGAAGGAAAAGAGGUUCUUAAAUAUUGUAUACACCUCAAGUUAGCACGCCAGCCGCCUCAUGCUCGUCCAUAUCAACGCCCCCACCAUGAUUGCUGCAUGCUAUAAUACUGCAUGCGCGCACUUCCAUUUUUAUCAAUGAUUUCUCCUGUACUGUUAAUUUGUUUCCAUUUGGCUUUCAGUACCUGAUACUUAAGGGUUUAGUACAGAUAAUGCAAAGUAACAGUAUCUGUAAACAGUACUAUAUAUGCAGCAUGUGUGUAUAGAUCAACUCAUGAUUAUUUCAUUUCGUGUUUUGUAUGCGUAUAAUUAAGGGAAACUCAUGAGGAGGAUAGAGAAGAGCAGGAUACAGAUCAUCGACGAGGGCAGAGAUUGGUGCUGCCAGAAGAUGGGCAUGAAUGGAAGAAAUAUGGCCAGAAGUUCAUAAAAAAAAUUGGAAAAUUCCGGUAUAUUUAUUAAAUAUUACAUUCAAUUUUCUACGUGUAUAUGAAUUGAAGCACAUAUAUUAAGGGGUUCUUUUCGUAUCAAUUUUGAACCCCAAUUAUCCUUGCUGCUUACAGAACUUUACAUCUAUGGAUAUGGAUGGGCCGGGGGUUGAAGGAAACCUCUGUAUCUGUUACCGGAUUCUCAAUUUCAUCUCAAAUUAAAAGAUUUCAUCAAUCAGGCUCCUAAUAAUUCAUGCAUCUCUCAAUUAAAUUAUCUGCCUGUAGAUAUGCCUUCACAUGCUAAUAUUUCUUUCUUUCUUUUGUGUCAAGAAUGAAUAUUAAUUUUGAGCAAUUAAACGAUACUACUAUUUCGAGGAAAUAUAUUUGUCUGAAAAAAUCAAUAGACAUGAAAAGAAGAACCUGAUUGAAGAUGCCUCAAACAUCAGGAAUAUUGCAAUCGGUGACUCUUUUUUAGAUUACUAAGUAAUACUAAAGGUUAGGUGAUAGCUAGAUCGGAGGUUAGUUAAUUUCUAAAUUAAAAUGAAAUGGGGCCAAUAGAGAUUAUGUUAAUUGUUUAUGUGUGUGUGUAUAUAUAUAGAUCCUGGUAAUUAACUAAUGAAUAUUAAACUUACUACAUACAUACAUACAUACAUACAUACAUACAUAUAUAUAUAUAUAUAUGCGUGUGUGAUAUAUUAUAUGUAUACUAAUUAAUGUUGGUGCAUUUAAUUAAUUAAUUAAUCAAUCUCAGGAGCUAUUUUAAAUGCCGGAAGCAAGAAUGUGUGGCAAAGAAGAGGGUAGAGUGGUCCAGCCCGGAUAAUCUUCGAAUAUUGUACGAGGGAUCUCACAGCCAUGCCUCAUCUUCAAUACAAGGGACGCCUUCUUCCUCCGCUGCAAAUCAGUACAGCUUGUACGCUCAAGUUUUUGGAUCAGAUCAACCACCUUCACGCCCGCAUCAUCAACACCCUUAAUUCUUAUUUGAUUGUUUAUCCUAUCGUUACUUUCCUUUUCCUUUUUAUUUUUGUAUAAAAAAAUAAUAUAAAUUAUCUUUUUAAAUAUUAUUUAAUAAUUUAAGUUAUAUGAUUAAAUUCUUUAUAUUAUAGUUUUGAUAAUCCAGUGAAUACGAAUUCAAAUCUUAUUAUUUUUAUUUAUUUAAUAAAAAUUAAAUAUAAAAUAAUAUAAGCAGGUUUCGAGUUCAGUAAACUUUAAUUUUAAAAAAAUAUAUUAAAAAAUAAUAUAAAUUAUAUUUUAAAAUUUUAUAUAAUAACUUAAGUUAUUUAAUUAAAUUGAUUGUUAGAUAUCAUUAAUUAUUUUUACUGCUCAUUAAUCAUGUAAUUAAUUAAUUGACGAGACAUUCACCAGCAAAAACUAAAAAAAAGUAAUUGAAGAUACUAUAAAAAAAAGAGUAACUCUAUCUAUCCAGUCGUUUUGGACACAUUAUUUUAUGUGUUUUCGAGUUCGAGUGAGCUACAUACACAUGAUUGUCCUUUAUCAAUAACGCCUAUGACAUAGCAAUCAUGUCAUGACACAUCAACCGACAAAGUAGCAGAUCAAUCCAUGAUGAUAUCCCCUCUAGUAAAUAUGGACGUUAAUUCUGAAUUGUUUGAUGUGCCCUUAAUUAGAUAGCUUCAAAGCAACUCUAAUUAAGAGGUUAAUUUAAUGAUUGAUGCUUGAUUAAAGAGGCACAGCACACUCUCUCUCUAAUUUAAUGUUAAUUUAAUGCUUGAUGCAUGAUUAAAGAGGCACAGUACACUCUUUCUCAAACCUUAACACUAGUUCUAGAACUUGGAACCUUGCAUGGCCUCCAGAUGACUCUCUCUCCUUCACCUGAGGGUAAUGGUACGUAGCCAGAUUAAUGAGAAAUUAGUUCAGUGCGUGUCAUGGUGUGUAGGAGCUUAAUCUGCAUUAACUACAUAGUUCUGUUGUUAACUGACUUACGAUUUAAUCAUGAGCGAUUUCUCUCUCGAUUAGGAUUAAGGAGGUAUAAUUAGUUACUUCCUCUUCUUCUUUUAAAAACUCUUGGAGCUCAGGAAAUGGUAUCCAUAAGCAAAACAAGGAGAGGCUUCCGGCUAAUCCUAAUAAAAUAUUCCGCUUGGGGGAAGACAUGGGCCUGACUCCUUUACUACCACUGUCUCGAGGCCCAAUGUUGAUCUCAUGUUAGCUUUGAUUCCAAGCCCAGCGUGGACUUUUAUGUUCAUUCAAAUUGAUGGAUUUGAUUAAGUUAAUGAUAAAACAUCAUAAUCAAAAUCCUCUCGUGUUUUGUUAUCUUAUAAAAUUUCUAGUUAAAUGAACAUGGUUUGUUGCAUGAUAGAUAGCUUGACUACUCGACUUUUUUUCUUUUCUUUUUAUCUCCUCUCGUUUCCAUUUAUGUAUUCAAGAAUUAGUUUUGUUCUUUCAAGUUGAGUUAAAUUUUAUGAUUUAAUUUUCUUUUAUUAUAUUAUCUUGAUAUCAUGACAUAAAAAUAAUGCUUGAUAAAUUAAUUCGUGUUAACUUAGGUUAUCUUUUAUGCUUUUUAUUUAAUUAAUUUUUAAAAUUUUAUUAUUCAAUAUCGAAUCGAUUGAAAAUUAAAUUUCAUGAUUUAUAUUAAUUUGCUUUUUAUAAAAAUAACUUUAUCUAUCUUGUUUUCCUCCAAUACCCUCUUUCUUUUCAACUACUAGCCAAGUUUGUCUUGGCCAGUCUUUAGCUUACCUACUCGCCUUUCCCUUGCAUUAUGUUGAUCAUGUGGAUAACUUGGAUGGAGAAUGAGACUAGAGUCUGAUCCAAACCUUCACUUUCACUCGAAUCUUUGAUGUUUGGUGAGGAAAAACCAACAUGUGAAUACGAGUUUAAAUGUUUUUAUUUUUUUGGCUUGUGAUCCAUCUAGUGAGCUCUUUCAAGCGAGCUUUAGGUUCAUAUUGAAAUCUUUGCUUUUUGAGGUGUUAAGAUCAAGAUUAUAAGUUUUUGCAUUUUAACUAUGUCUAAAUAAGCCAUCAUAGGAAUGAGUGUGUAUAAUAAUGUUGUGCUCGAGAUUAUAACAGCAGUUAUGAUGCAAAAUAUUUUUUGUUUAUAAAUAUAUUAAAUUUUUAUUUUUAUAUUUAAAAAUUAUUUUUAAUAUUAAUACAUCAAAAUAAUUUAAAAUUUUUAAAAAAUAUAAUUCACAAGCGUUAGCUAAGUAGGGCACUAGUCGUUGUAGUGGUUGUACCCAAAACUACCAGCGCAAAAUCAACAUGACAACACCAAAGGUUCUAGAGUGUUCUGAUAUAAGACAAAUCAAGCGGCAAUAAGUCUAAUCAACGGUCUAGAUUCGCUAGAACCUUCAAGACCAAACCCCAAGUAACACUCAUUAAAGUAAAAACCUACUCUUUCCAUAUCUUUGCAAGGACUCAGAGAGUGUCAACAAGAUAAACCUGCACCCCCCUCCCCAGCCACCCACCAUCGCCUCUCAUCCAUAAACCUCAUUUCUAAAACCCCAUUCCCCCACCACCGGCCGUUUCAUUUCCCUGUAAGCUCUCAAACCCCCUUCAUCUUUCUUAUUUGUUUUGCCUUUACUGUGAUAAAGUUUCAAUCUUUACACUGUUUCUUAUCCUUUUUGUGGCAUGCUAAUCAUACUAACUUGUGAAAAAUUCCCUAAAGUUUGCUGCUUUAUAUAGUUUCUGUUAUUCUGGUUUUUGUAUGGAAAUGAAUUCUUUCAUUUGUGCUGUUUCAUGCUUGCAGUAAUGCAAUUUCGUUAGGAAUACAUUUGCUCCUGUAGGCCGUAUUAGUUGGUGAUUGAAGCGAGUUGGACUAAGAAGCUUUUCUUUUUCCUGGUUUUUGAUUCGUGUUUCUUGUGAAUUAUUUAGUUUCGCAUUCUAUUGCUUCGAGGGAACUGUGUUACUGUAAAAUAUUGAAUUGUGCUUGGAAGAGAAUUUUGUGAUUGGAUUCUCUUUUAUUGGGAAUUUUAGCUAGAAACUAUAAACAUGAAGUUCUCAGUGAGCUUAAAAUAAAUCAAAACAUACGGAGACUCAAACUUUUUUUUUUUUAAUGUUACCAGGUACUAAAGAAUAAAAAUGACUUCGACUUUUACGGCCAUGUCCUCGGUUGGAACCUUGGCUGCUCCCAAUGGCCGUGUUAUGGAUAAGAAGUUUGUAUUUUCUUCAAACAAGUUGUCAUCUUUCGCUUCCAUUUCUGCAAGUCGAUUUGGUAGGCCACAGAAUGUAGUUCUACCAAGAUCACGUUCUCUCAAGGUUAAUGCUGCCAAGGAGCUGCACUUCAACAAGGACGGUUCUGCAAUUAAGAAAUUGCAAGUGAGUUUUUAGUUGCUGGUUAUGUUGAGUACUUGCAUCCUGCUGCAGUGUGUUUGUUUGGUCUUUUUUGCCUUUUGCUUACCGGAUAUGUUCCUUUAUUGCAGACUGGUGUGAACAAGCUUGCAGAUUUAGUCGGGGUUACCCUUGGACCUAAAGGCCGGAAUGUUGUUCUUGAGAGCAAAUACGGUUCGCCUAAAAUUGUUAAUGAUGGUGUGACUGUUGCUAAAGAGGUAUGCUUUCUCUGGAUUGCUUGUGUUGUUGGUAACUUGAGGGAUGGCAUCUCUAUUCUCCUCGCCUUUUUUAGAUGCAUGCUAGAAAUCGUAGUAGUGGCUUCCCACUUUGGAUGAGGCAAACUAAAUAUUCCACUUUAUGUUAAUUCGUUAUGCUAUCCAUAUACAUAUUUAUGAGCUUAGGAAAUUCUUGUGGCAUGAUGAUCCUCCUUCUGGUUCUCGCAUGUGUUGGACAAGGACUAUGGCCAUUUCUGUUCACCAUGACAUUUUCUCCUCUUGUUGUACAUCAUUUUGUGUGAUUAUUUACAGAGUUCUUUACCUUAAAUUAGGUUGAAUUGGAGGAUCCGGUUGAGAAUAUUGGUGCUAAGUUAGUGAGACAAGCUGCUGCCAAGACAAAUGACUUGGCUGGUGAUGGGACUACAACAUCUGUUGUUCUUGCGCAAGGCCUUAUUGCAGAAGGUGUCAAGGUUGGUAUUAUGGUGCACACCGUUUAUUCUUUUAAGAAUGUUGAGCGUGGCAACCUUAUCCAUUUGUUUGUUUGCAGGUUGUGGCUGCUGGUGCAAACCCUGUUUUAAUCACUAGAGGCAUUGAGAAGACCACAAGAGCUCUUGUAAAUGAACUUAAGUUGAUGUCGAAAGAGGUAUGUAGAGUGAGGUAGAUCAUGCCUGUGGGUAAUUUUCAUGAUGCCACUGUGACCUUUGCAUGCGUGUAUUAAAGUUGAAAGGAUUGAAUGAAUAUAAUCUGGGAUUGCAGGUUGAAGACAGUGAACUUGCAGAUGUGGCAGCUGUUAGUGCUGGGAACAACUAUGAAGUUGGGAAUAUGAUAGCUGAAGCUAUGAGCAAAGUCGGUCGGAAGGGAGUGGUCACCCUUGAAGAGGGAAAGAGUGCUGAUAACAGCCUCUAUGUUGUUGAGGGAAUGCAGUUUGACCGUGGUUAUAUCUCACCUUACUUUGUCACUGAUAGUGAAAAAAUGUCAGUUGAAUAUGAGAACUGCAAGGUAUGUCAUUCACAGUUAGGCAUGCAGGCUUUUGUAGUUGAUAUUUUCUCCUGAUGUUGACAAUUCUGUAUGUUUUGGUAUAGUUGCUUCUUGUUGACAAGAAAAUAACAAAUGCAAGAGAUCUAAUCUCCAUUUUGGAAGAUGCAAUUAGAGCUGGAUAUCCAGUUUUGAUAAUUGCUGAAGACAUUGAACAAGAAGCUUUAGCAACUCUUGUUGUCAAUAAGCUUAGGGGUGCUUUGAAGAUUGCUGCCCUCAAAGCUCCUGGUUUUGGGGAACGGAAAAGUCAGUACCUUGAUGACAUUGCUAUUCUGACUGGAGGUCAGUGUUUUACCUUUGGAUUCUUCCCUCUCUAUAUGAUUUUAUUUUUGUUUAUGGUGUUCGGCUAUUACUGUGGAUAUGAAUGCCCUCGUUACAUGUUUGCUUGGGAGUGGAUACAAAUGUUCACCACUGACAUUAUUAUUUUUAUUUUGCUGAUGUUAGAAAUUUCUUUCAUUCGGUUUCAGGAACUGUUAUCAGAGAAGAGGUGGGGCUUUCCUUGGACAAAGUAGGCAAAGAGGUCUUGGGACAUGCUUCUAAAGUGGUUCUUACCAAGGACACAACGACCAUUGUUGGUGACGGAAGCACCCAAGAAGCAGUAAAUAAGAGAGUUGCUCAAAUUAGAAAUCUUAUCGAGGUGCCAAUUCUGUCUUCUCACCUUUCCUUACAAAAAUGUAUGUGUUUUUUUCUUCCUCCAGUGUGGUUUGUUGAUGCUAAAUGUAAGAUAAUAAUAAUGCAGGCUGCUGAACAAGACUAUGAAAGGGAGAAACUCAAUGAAAGAAUUGCCAAGCUGUCUGGCGGUGUUGCAGUGAUACAGGUAAUUUUCCUAUCACUCAUGAAAUAGAGACACAAAACUGUGUAAAUUGUAUUUUAACUUAAAUGGACAUGCUUUUAAAUGCUAAAGGUUGGAGCACAAACCGAGACAGAGCUUAAAGAAAAGAAACUGAGAGUUGAAGAUGCUCUUAAUGCAACCAAGGUAAUUUAUCUCACACCACCUUUGCCUGUAUUGUUCUUAGUUAAAUUAUUUGGACACCAUCCAGUCAUUAUCAUCUCAAUGGUUUUCAGGCAGCCGUUGAGGAAGGUAUUGUGGUUGGGGGUGGAUGCACCCUGCUGAGACUAGCAUCAAAGGUUGAUGCUAUCAAGGACAGUCUUGAGAACGAUGAAGAAAAGGUAAUGUGCUAAAUCAUCAUUUUAAGAACUUAUAGAAUGUUCUGUUAAGGAACUCAUAGGAUGAGAUAUAAAGGAACUUAUACAUGAUCUGUAUUUGUUCUGUGUAGAUUUUGUUUCCGAGCUGCUUAAAAAAUUGCUUUUGCUUGAUUGCAGGUGGGAGCAGACAUUGUAAAGAGAGCUCUGAGCUACCCCCUGAAGUUAAUUGCCAAAAAUGCUGGUGUUAAUGGAAGUGUGGUCAGCGAGAAGGUAUCUAAAUUUUCUGAUGUCAAAUUCUGGUACUGUGUCUCGUCUAGAACUACCUGCAGCUAAGAUCAUUUCCUUUUCUUUUAGGUGCUCUCAACUGACAAUCCUAAAUUUGGAUACAAUGCUGCAACUGGAAAUUAUGAAGAUCUGAUGGCUGCUGGAAUCAUUGAUCCAACAAAGGUGAGCUAGCAUGCUGAUCUAUAUUUUGAGGGCCAGCUCAUGAUUUGUCUGUUGGUAUUUGAGUUCAAAGUUAGAAGUCUCUUUUGGCUCUGAAGCUGUGUGUUGUUGGAUUUAAAUAUAUACUCAGUGUUAGCUGUCUUCUAUCAUUCAGGUGGUCAGAUGUUGCCUGGAGCAUGCAUCUUCGGUAGCGAAGACUUUCUUGAUGUCCGACUGUGUAGUUGUUGAGAUUAAGGAGCCUGAACCAGUUCCCGCUGGCAACCCUAUGGAUAACUCAGGUUUGUUCUUCUGAACUAUGAAACCUUGUGUGAUUGUGCUGCCAUUGUUAAGUGCUUUGUUUCUCUAGUGACUGCCUCACUGAGUUUUCUGUUCUUGCACUAUUGUUACAGGAUAUGGGUACUAGGAAGGCAGCUGUUCAACACAGAAGAGGAUCAAAUAAGAUCAGGGGCCCUCAUAGAAGCAAAUGAUCUUUUGUAAAUUUGAUUACCAAUGCUGGUAGAAAUUGCAGAUUCUGGUGAGGGUAGCUUGCUGGAAUACGGCGUGUAUUAUUCUGCAAUUAAUUGUACAAUUGCAAUGAUUUUGAACCCUUUUUUGAGUUACAAGUCUCAUCUUUGCUCAGGGUCUCGUUGCUCCACAAUUGCUAAAUCUGACGAUCUGUUGAUAUCACCAUUAAUGGUUAGUCUGAGUUAACUGUGGUGUCAAUAAAUACCUAGAGUUUAUAGCUUCAUCCCCAUAAAUUUGAAAAUAACUUGAUGGUGGCAAUCAUAAUAAUACAGUCAUCAAAGUAGAUUAUGGGCUAUAUAAAGAACCAUCUACCACUCAUAUGAUUAAGACCGGCAAUCAUAAUUGAAUGUUGAGAAUUAAAUUAUGAACAGGGAUUCAAAGAAAGGAGGUUGUUAUCUCUUUCUUGAAGGGAACUCAAUCUCCUCAAUCCAUUAUGAACAGGGAAAAAGAAUAAGUUGAACUUGUGAUUUUGUAAGAAGUACAUGCGCUGCUGCGUAAAGGGAAGGUCUCAGGUCUGGUGUGCUGAGCUUUAUCUUGCUUUCAGAGGAGACAUGGUGUCCCCUCCCAUGCUCCAACCCUCCAGUCCAGUCGAUACCUCUCGUUCCACAGCAAUCCUUCAAUAUUAUGGCAGAGGAGAUUCAUUUAAGCCUAUAAUCUAUUGGUGGGAUUGCUUUAGAAAUUUGAGAGGCACAGUGUGUUGUCCCUCCCAUACUCUCACUGGCAUGUACAAACACACACCAUGGAAGGGGUAAUGAUAAAAAUAUUUUGGAAAGGGAAAGGGAGAGGUACAGGGGAGAGAUAGAGAGCAGAAGUAAUAAAUUCUGUUAUAACAGUUAAUAAGGGACCCGAAUUCCCCGCCACCCCGCCUCCCCUACAGUCUCCCUUUCAUUAAUUAUUUUAUUUACAUUACCUAAACACUAAUAUUUUGCCUUCUAUUUUCACACUCUUCCUCUGUUGUCCAGCCAUUUAGUUACUAAUAUUAGGUGAUAGAGGUUACAUGUCUUCGUAUGCUCUCAUGAAUUUAACCCUUUGUCUUUCCAAUCAAAUCAUACUAUUUCUUUGUGAAUUAUUUUCCUAUUAAUUAUCCUGGAAAAGUAAACUUAGAUCUUAGAAAUUAGAACAGGAUGGGGUUUAACAAAAUGUUAAACACCUUGGUUUUUUUCACUGAGGAAGAACUGCUACUGGUCAUGAUGAUAAAGAAAGAGGAAGAAAGAAGCGUUGGAAUAUCCUUCAUGGAGGGCAACUUCUCAUCUAUGAUUAGGGUUUGAGAACGUAUAAAUGAGUAAUGGGGAGUGCCAUAUUGGGUUCAAAAUGACUCCAUAUGCUCAACAUUGCCCCAUUUUCCUUUCAUGUAGAGAGGAUAUUUCGAGUACAAUUAGGGUUUUCAUCACAUGGUCUUGAAUUGGAUGACCGUUCAAAGCUCAAUCUUUUACCCAAACGAAGUAUAUAGCUAAUGCCAAUGCAAGACGUGCAUGUUCAUCAAUACCCAAUGUGUUUUAGCUUCCAUGGGAAAGCAAAUUACAAACAGAGAAGAAAAAAAAAAAAAAGAAGCUUGCCAAGGCUAUUCUUUUGGCAGAGUCUUUGUCAACAUAAACAAAUAAAGUAAGAAUCAUGAUGCACAUAUAUCCAUCCAUUAAAUGAUCAUAAAAAUUAUAGUAAUGCAAUACACCAUCCAUCUAAAGUUUUGAUCUUUUUGCCCCUUUUCUUCUCUUGAUAUUAGUUGUUAAAAUCUGAUUUUUUUGUUUGUUCGAUUUCUCUUGUCCAUUACCGAAGUUCCCAAUACAAUAAUGUGGUCUCUGAUACCAAACAGCAUCAAGCUUUGCUCGGAUACGACAUGAAGAACGACUGCAAUUGGGUAGAUUGUCUGGAAGGAAUUUAAGUGUAAUUCCUCCUCUUCAAGUGGAAAAAAAGAUGAGUGGAAAGUAAAAAAAAAAAAACAACCCUAAAAGCCAAAGAGAAUCCUUGGAGUGCUAAUCAUGCUUCUUCUAGAUACAUUUAUUAUUAGAAUGUUAACUAGAGUAAUCUCUCGUGAUAUUAUUAGCAAGCACGUUAAUUCUUCACAAACAUGUAUAUAUGUUGUGGUAUGAUUAUAUAUGCAUCAGAAAUUCAAAACUCGUUUAAAUUUGAUGUGAAAAACACCAAGUGUCUAUUGUCUAUUUUAAUAAUCUGGUCCAAGCUGUCCUUUUUAUUUAAAUAUAUAUUAAAAUAAUAUAUUUUUUUGUUUUUAACAUAAACACAUUAAUCAUGAAAAAUAUUUUAAAAAAUAUUAAUUUAAUAUCUUUUCAAGUGAAAAUAAAUUAAAAAGUAAAAAAUAAUACUAAAUAAACACUCAAUUCAUAAGAUUUAUUCAUGCCCGAACGUGAUCAAAUCUUAUAUAAUACUUGACUAAUUACUUGACCUUACUAGAUAAAAAAUUAUAGCUCAUGAAGAUUUAACUUGUUGCUUUCAUUUUUAAAAUCAUGCAAUCAACAUUAUAUAUAUAGUAAUACACAAAUAUAAUAUCAUAAUAACUUCACAUGGAUUUUUAAAUAUUUCUCACAUUAAAAAAAGCUAAUUGGCCUUUGAAAAGUAUUGUAGCUCCAGAUCUAUUAAUAUUGUUCACUAAAACAAUGUAAUAAUGUUUUUAUCCUCACUUCCAAAAAACUUAGAGCGUGUUUGAUAGUGUGGUAGCGGUUGUUUUUCAAAUAGCUUUUCGUGCCGAAAUACAUGCCAAUGAUGCUUUUUUAUUUUUUAAAAAUCAUUUUUAACAUCAGCACAUCAAAACGAUCCAAAAAGUACAAACUGAACUCAAUAUUAGCAAAAAAAUAAUAAUUAAAUUUAGGCAAAACAUCGUUUGGAACGCAAUGCCAAACAAUGUCUUAGUACUAGUUAUCAAUGACAUUAAAAUAUUUUACGGGAUUCAUUUAUCAUUAUAAAAUUCACUAGGGACAAAUGAGUCAUUUUCCAUCUCAAUUACAUAAUGAAAUGACUAAAAUACUAUUGAAAGCAAAUAAAUAAAUUAGACUAGGAUCAAGGGGCACUUUAGUAUUUUCACAAUGAUUUUUUCAUUAUUAUAAUGUCAGCUGAGAGAUAAUUUAGUAUUUGACUAAAUAUAAAAAAUAAAAAAUAAUUAAAAUGUACAGUUAAACAACAAAAAUAAUCUUAAAAAAAUAAAAUUGUUAAACAUGGAUUCAAGGGGCUUCUUAGUUUUUUCACAAUGAUUUUUUUUUUUUUAGUAAUCAUAAAAUCAGUUCGAAAGCAUUUUGAUGUUUGGCUAAACAAAUAAAAAAACAAAAAAGAAAUCGUGUGUGGCAGAGGUACAUGGGAGGCACCCAUGCCAUUUGGGCAGCGUUUCUUAAUGUUCAAAAAUGCCUUUUCAUUAUGUCGCUGGAAAUACAAUCGUGUUCUCUUUUUUUUAAUGUGGUAUGUGUUUUCAGUGGUGAUCCAGUUUGUCAACGGUGAAUCUUUCUUUUUUUUUUUUUCUUUUUUUUUCCUCUCGUAUUUGAAAAUUAUAAUUUGACCCUUUUAGAUUUGGGUAGUCCAACUUCAAUCUUUUUUUUUUAUUUCUAAUUUUUGGUGUUAAAUUUUUUGUAAAAGUUUUAUCUGUUUUUAAUUUCAUCAUUCUAUUUCAAUUUAUCAAAUAUUAUAUUUUUCAAUUUGAUACUCAUUCUUUUAAUUUUUAAUUUUUUGCCUUGGUUAUUUUAUAAAAGUUUUAUUGGUUUUCAAUUUCAUCAUUCAAUUCAAAUUGAUAGUAUUAUGUUUUCCAAUUUGUUCCUUAUUAUUUUCAUUUUUAAUUUUUUUCGUGGUUUUUUUUUUGUAAAAAUUAUUAUUCUUUUUAUUUUUAUCUUUCAAUCAAAAUAUUUUUUUAUGUUAAUUCUGACCCUUAUUUUUUUGAAUUAUGUUGUCUUUUUAAUAAAUUGAUUUUUUUAAAAAUUUUAUCUUUUAAUCAAAUAUAAAAUUUAUUUUUUAUUUUAACUUUGAUCCCUAUUAUUUUAAUUAUUGUUUUUUAAUCAUAAUUAUAAUUAUUUGUUUUAAUAUUUAAUUUAUUGAGAAUUAAACUUCAUGGUUUGUCUAUAUUAAAUAUUUCAAGUCUUAUAAUCUUAGUUUCAAGUUUAAAAAUGUAAUAUGUUUUUUUCUUUUUAAAUUUUUAUUUUAUUUUAUUAGAAUAAUAUAAUUUAAACCGUGGAUUUAAUAAAAUAUUUUGAAUUUACUCAACCUAUUUAUCAUGAGUACAAGUUUGUUAUUACCGGUUAAAAGAAAGAAAAAAAAAGAGUGAGGAGCAGUGAUCCAAACAAACCUAAAAGAAAUAAAAGAAAGAAAGCAUACAAAAAAAUAAUAAAUAUAUAUAAGCAAGCAGCAUUGCAUUCCAUGCAUGGAUGAUUCAUAGAUAGAUGGAGGGUGGUGUGUGUUAUGGUUAUGGUUUAUGGUAAUGGUAGAAAUAUAUGUUUGUAAUAUCGUUGUAAUGUAAUUCUAUUUUAUGCUUAAAUUUGGCAAUGCCAUAACCGUUCCAUCUCUUUUAUAUCUCUCACACUUGAAAAAAUCUCCUUCUUCUUCACGCCGCCUCUCUCCCUCACCUUACCAACAAAUACUUACACUCUCUUUGCAUUCUUUCUAAAUAAUUCACUCUAAUUAACAAAAACAACCGAUCAUCUCUUAUAAAGUUUGUUGCUUUGGCCCCCUCCAAUGCCUUCUUCUUCAUUUACUUUCAUCCUCUGUCACUGGUAUGUAUGUAUGUAUGUUAUGCCUUUUUUUAUCACUCAUUCACUCCUGCUUUUCUUCUGCAUUGUUGUUAAAUCGUUUGAGCUGAAUUGGGAUUCUUUUGAUUUGUCUGUUUUAUUGAUUUUUGUUGUCAAGAUUGAAACUUUUUAUGGUUUGUGAUGAUGAUCAUGGUUUUAAUCAUCUGGGUUUUGGCUCUUUUGAUGAACUUGACUGAAUUAUGGUUAUUGGAAUUGUGUAAAGCAUAGAUUUCUGUGCUUUUUUGUUUUUUUCCUGUUUGGACGUUGAAAUCGAGGAAAAGUAGUGGUCUUUUUAAUGGUUUGAUCAUGUUGAUGAUGAUGAUCAUGGUUUUAGAGUCAUUUUUGGGGUCUCUUUUUUGAACUGGGGUUUUGUUCUUCGUUGAUUUUCUAGUAUAGAAUCUUUUGGUCGUGACUUAUGUGACUGUCCUUUUCUUCUUGUUAUUUGAUUUUUCUUCUCAUUAUCAUUAUGCUUCUUUGAAAUCCAUUUCUGAUGUCUGAGACUCUGGUGGCGAUAGCUUCUAGUGAGAAGUGAAGUGAUGUGAUGAUUAUUUUUGGAAAAUUUAGUUUUUUUCACUUUCUAUUACCAUUAUUGUGAUCCUAAUGGGUGGUGUUUUGUCGUUCAGAAUUUUGCUGCAUUGAAGUGCUAGUUUGUGGAUCUACAUUGUCUCAUAUACAUUGUUAGGAAGGAGUUUUUGAGCACAUUGCCGUUUACAGAAUGGAAGAUCAAAGAACUGAAAUAGAGUAUGAUGAAUUUGAGAAGCUUCUUGGAGAGAUACCAAAUGCUACUGCGGCAAAUCAGCAUUCUGCUGAUGCUGGACCUAAGAUUGCACCUCUAAAUGGUAGCUUGGCACCCAUUUCUGUGAAUUCUUGCAAGGGGGCUUUUGCUGUGAAACUUGAAAGCAAUGGGAGUUUGAAUGACAGACAAUUUUUUGCAAAUAAUACUCAACAAUAUCCUAUCAAGAAUCUCCAAUCAGAUGAAGCAAAUUUGCCAGAUGACCAAUCCUUGACAUCUGCAUUUGCAGAAUUGAGUUUUAAUAGUGGGAGUCCUUUGGUGAAUUGUAAAUCCCCACCUAGUCCUGCUGUAUAUACAAACACCAUGAACGGUUCACUCUCAAAUAUGGACCCAACAGUGAUGGUUUCCCCUCUGUUCCGAUCACCAAAUAAUUUACCUUCUGGUUUUGACAAGUUUAAUGUUGCGAAAGUUGGUCAAGAACAGUCAAAUUUCUUAAAAUUUGAUGCCCGACUACUGAAGGUGCCAGCUGAUUUUUGUCAGCCUCAGCCAAUUGAAAAUUUCUCUACGGCCUUGUCACCAACUCAUGGCAUGCAAGGUUUUCAAUUGCUUUCCAAUGUGGCUGUCCCAGGCAUGGAUUUUCCUUUAAUGUCUGAUCAUCAACAAUACUUCACUGAUGUUCAGUCUCCACUUCCUUACUUACAUUCACAACAAUUAAACCAGUCUCACAUUAGCUGGAGGAAUAUUGGAGAAGAACAAUAUUACAGGAUGCAUCAGCAAUACCUAUAUAUGCAGCAACUCCAUAAUCAAAGAUUGGAAGCUCAGAAUCCUAUUCAAGAUGGAAAUGUUGCAACCAAGCUGAUGAGUCGGAACGUGAGGCAACCAUAUUUGGAGGUGCCAUUCUCUCACCAAGUUCAACAGUCUAAUCAAGAACCAUUUUGUAGCAACUAUGCUGUCUCAAGGGGUUUGAAUCAAUCACAGAAUGGUAUACGUGUUUUGGAAAAAGUAGGAAAACAGAGUUUUCCUGAAAAGAUUCUGACAAGGUCACAAGGACUGAACACACUGAAAGCUUUGAAGUUUGGCUCAGCUGGAGGCAAUGAAACACUUGCCCAUCUCAACCAGCAUGGCAAAUUUCUAUCAAAUGGUCACCUUCUCCAUAGUUUACCUACUCCUACUGCUGGGUGCUUUCAGUUGGAUCAUUUGACCUCAUGGGAUAUAUCUCCUGAUUUUACAGCCCUAAAAAGCUCUAAUUUCAGUUCUCAGUCUUUGAAGUAUAACUCAGUAGAUGAAGUAACUGGUAGAAUAUAUCUCAUGGCAAAGGACCAGCAUGGUUGCCGUUUCUUGCAAAGAAAAUUUUCCGAGGGGAGCCCGCAAGAUGUUGAAAAGAUUUUUCUUGAGAUUAUUGAUCACAUUGUUGAGCUAAUGAUAGACCCUUUUGGGAACUACCUGGUUCAGAAGUUGCUUGAAGUAUGCGAUGAGGAUCAGAGAAUGCAAAUACUUCGUGCUAUCACUAGAAAAGCUGGGGAGCUUGUUCGGAUUUCAUGUGAUAUGCAUGGGUUUGUUCUCUCUCUUUGCGCGCGCGUGUGCAUGCACACUUAUUUUCUUGUGCAUUCAAAACUCAUGGUGUUCCCCUUUCAUGCUUUAAUUAUUUUCUGAACUGCACUUUUAAACACAGGACUCGAGCUGUUCAAAAGGUUAUCGAAACCCUUAAGACCUCAGAGCAGUUUUCCAUGGUUGUCUCUGCAUUGAAGCCUGGUAUAGUGACCUUGAUAAAAAAUAUGAAUGGUAACCAUGUAGCCCAGCGUUGCUUGCAGUGUUUGAUGCCUGAAUACAUUGAUGUAAGGCCACGUAUCUUUUCUACCUGAAUAUCUUUGGCAAUUGGAACUUUUGUUAUAUUUUUCAGAUUAUUUAUCCUCAUAGCCUUAUUGUCUGUAACCCUCAAAACUAUUAAUGUGAAGAAGCAAAUUGAUUUUUUAAAUCUUGUUUACCAAAGCAUUUGAAAUGAAAGAACAAGAGGUAAAACUAUUGUUGGUACAUGUUCUUUCAAUUGAACAACUUGAGUUGGAUCACAUCCCCGUUAGAUUAAUGGACAUCCAUCAUCUCUUCACCCUUAUAGUUGAUCUUUUCAUCUUUUCAUAACCCUGUUUUCUUACUUUUGUUCUUUGAGAUUCAGUUGUUUCUAAUUUUCCCACAGAAGUACUCUUUAGCAUGUUGUUCUCUACUUCUGUACUGCAGCAACUACCCUUAACAAUAUAGAAAGAACUGUCCUCUACUUUUACUAACAUAUUGCAUAUAUUUAAUUAUCUUCGUUUUCAUGUUAUAUAUCAUGUUAAUAAAAUUCUGAAAUUUGUGUAACUAGGUUAUGGUGACUUAAAUAGCUAUUCUUGGGUAAGUUUUUGUCAUAAAAAUUAUUACUCUGAUUAUUACUAGGCAUCAAGAAUGCAAACACCAGCUUCCUCUGAAAGAAAAAAAAAAGGAAUGGGACAUCGAUUAAGAUCCAUCCAUCAGUGUUUUUUUUUUUUUUUUUUUUUUUGAGGCAUACCAUCUAUCAAUUCAAGAAGAAUGAUUUCAAUUUUAGGAGCCUUGGCAUUCCUUGGAAAAAAUUGUUGCCUUCCAACAAUUGUUUAACUCUUCCAUGCAGAUGCAGCAAAUGAUGCUUCUUUUAGUUAUAAAUCCUACAUGCCUUACAGAUAAACCAGAAUUUAGCACUAUGUGAAACAGUGAUGAUGAUUUCUUUUGCAGUUCCUUUUUGAAGCUACAACUGCUAAUUGUAUUGAACUUGCAACGGAUCGCCAUGGCUGUUGCGUGCUUCAAAAAUGCCUAAGCCAUUCCGAGGGAGAGCAAAGGUGUCGUUUAGUCUCUGAGAUCACGUCAAAUGCUCUGAUCCUUUCACAAGAUCCUUUUGGGUACUAUAUUUUUCUCUUUUCUUUGAGCUUUAUUUCCCGUGUCUUUUCUUAAGCCUGUCUAUCACAAAGGUGUGUUGAAUUUUUCAUUCUUGCACAAUUCCAUGGAAGAAAGUGGUUUCACAUUCUAAACAUGAUAUAAGUAGUUAUUAAUAAAGGGUGACAUGUAUUAAUGAACUUCUGUUUUAUCCCGAUCCACUUUGUUUUCUUCUGUUAUGCAUUUUAUUUUCGAGGCUUAGAAUCAAAAGUGAAUAAUGUGGGACUAUUACUGAAGUAUUAGCUUUGCUUGAUAGAGGAAUUUUUGAUUCUGUGAAAUUUAUUGGUCAAAAUAACAAGUUUUUUCACAAUCUCAUCAUCAAAAUAAUUACUCAAACCCUGCUCUAACAAUUCCAAAUUUUUUUUCGUUCUUUUCCAUGCUUUACAUAUUCCACAUGCGUGGUGGUUGUUCUUAAGAUUUGGUGUUCCGAUCUCUGCUUGUGAGAUGCAGACUUGUUAUUUCUGUUUAUGGUCUGAAAUCAUCAAGUACUUUGGGUAAUUAAGAAAGGCAAGACCAAAAAGCAUUUGUGGCACUACAUCUUGAUGACUGCUUGAAUGGCCCUCUUAUGAGGAAUUUAAAAGCCAUCUUUUUAAUGCAUGCUUGGAUUUACAACACUUGAGAUUUGAAGUGUUUCAAUGUUGCAGGAACUAUGUUGUGCAAUUUGUCUUUGAGCUUCGACUUCCCUGGGCAACAACUGAUAUUCUUGGUCAGUUGGAAGGUAAUUAUAGGGACUUGUCUGUUCAGAAAUAUAGCAGCAAUGUGGUAGAGAAAUGCCUAAAAUAUGCAGGAGAGGAGCGCCGGACACGUAUUAUCCGGGAGCUGAUAAAUAAUGCUCACCUGGAUCAAGUCAUGCAAGAUCCUUUUGGUAAUUAUGUUAUCCAGGCAGCUUUGCAACAAUCAAAGGUUUGUAUUUUGAUUUUCAAUCAACAUUUUUUUCCAAUAAAAUCAUGUGCCUGGCAGUUCUCCCCUGGAAGAAAGAUUUGCAAUUAUUAUAUGCUUUUGGAUUGUUCUUUUCGUUGUCUUUCCUGGAGUCCCCUGUGGAGACUGUAGUCUUAUUUUCUGAUCUCUGUUGUUGUUUUUUUUUUUUUUUUUUUUUGGGGGGGGGGGGUGACGGUUGGUUAAAUUAAACUGAUUCAAUUUCAUUAUUUGAUUGGAUCCUUGUUUAACUUGUGGAGUAGGGAGCUCUUCAUACUGCUCUGGUGGAGGCUAUACGACCCCAUGUUCCUACACUUCGAACCAGUCCUUAUGGGAAGAAAGUCCUAUCUAGUAAUGGUUUGAAGAAGUAAUCUGCGAGUAAGAUCAUACAACUACUCUCUUCUGCAUUGUCUACAUUCUGCUUGCCCUUUCUGAUUUUUUUUGUGUGGUCGUGCAGGCUUUGCAUUCACUUGCAGAAGAAGUUCCUGUAGAUUUGGUUGCAAGAUUUUGAUGCCUUGACAUGAGAGAAAAUUGUCAAAGAUGCAUCCACAGCUCAUAUGAACAGAUGAAAGGUGAAUUUUUUUAAGGUUUAUUAAUCAUCAAAACAGAGAAUUUCGCAUGACGCAGGAUCCGAACAUCUGUAGAUCAGAUUUUUUUUCCCUCCUUUGCCUGCGAAUAAAAGAAAUGUGAAGGUGUAAAGUUCUUUGAGCUUGUGGGUUACUUGCAAUAUCUGUUUUUUUUUGGACGGGAGCUCAAGAGUCAAGGCUUGGCGGGGUGAUUGCAGGUUGGAGGAGCUUUGUAAGCUACGUGAUUUCCAUGCCGACUUUCAUCUCUGUGAUGUACAUUUCGUGUCCAUAGAUUUGCCAAGGUUAGGGCUUUGGAUUUGUCAUAUAAAAUAUUUAAGGUCCUAAUAUUGCCAUUCCCGUAAUCAUCUUUCUGACAAUAUAAUCUUUGUUGUCUCUCUCCAUAUAUAUAUAUAUAUAUAUGAACUAAUAAUUUCGUUCCUUGUGAAAUUGACUUCAUAUUCUCACUCAAAUCCUAGCACCGAAGUGCUUUAAUAUCCAUGUUCAAUAGAUAAAUAUAACUGUGAUCAUUUGUAUGAAUUUCUACCUUCCUACCAAGAACCAAGAGAGUUAUCUUUUUCGUAAUAUAAAAAUAACAAUUUAUUUUGUAUAAAUAAUUUGAUAUUAAUGGGUUUUUUCUUUUCAAAAAAGUUUUUAACUACAUUAGUAUGAAGAAAACUUGUGAUUUUUAAGAAAAUUUCAUUAGCCAACAAGAUCCACCAUGGGAUCCAUCGUACCAUUGGUAGGGUAUAUUUAUAUAUAUUGGGAUUUUUAAGAAGGAAUAUCCUCCUCCUCCUAUACUUGGCUAAAAAUUAAAAUUAAAAUUAAAAUGAAAAGAAAAUCCCAUAUUUGGUAAUCUCAAAUGCAAAUCAAGAAUGAGGGUGGGCCACGUGUCAUCAAAAGAUCCAGUCAUACCUUUCCCACAGAUGACACGUGGCACAACAUUAUUGAACAAGAGCACAAAGAGCUCAUUAGAGCCACUUCUUCUUUGAGGCCAAUCUCUCCUUCUGCCUCUCAGCAUCUCUCUCCCCCACCUCCAAAUGGAAAGCAGCAGUACUUCUCAUUCCGAGCAGAAGCAAUUGAGCUGCUGAAGCAAAGCAAAACAGUAAUUGAACAAACCAACCAUGUCUUUAUCUCCAAGUAGAUAUCCUUCUCUCUACUCUUCAUCACCAUUACCAACAAGUAGUGUCCCAGCCAAGCAAAUCCCACUCCUUUUCUCUCAAAACACUCACUUUUUAUCCAAGAACUACUCAUUUCUCAGCACUUCAACGGCUUUCAGCAAUACCCUUUUGCUAAAACCAUCAAAUUCAAUCCUUAAAGCUUCAGAAACUGAGUCACAGACAUCAAAAUCUGCAGAGACUGGAAGUGGAGGUGAAGGUGAAGGUGAAGGAGAAGAAAAGUAUGAAGAAUAUGAGGUGGAAAUAGAGCAGCCUUAUGGGAUAAAGUUUGCAAAGGGCAGAGAUGGCUCUACUUAUAUCGAUGCUAUUGCUCCUGGUGGAUCAGCUGAUAAGACUGGCAAAUUCAGUGUUGGUGAUAAAGUUAUUGCAACCAGGUUUAAUUUAUCCUUCUUCUUCUUCUUCUUGUCCAAAUUAAAUAUCAAGUCCAAUUCAACUCAAUUCAUCAUAAUGUGAGCUGCAAUUGGUAGAUGCAAGUGUUUGAAGAACUCUGCAACUCCUUUUCUAAUCAUAAAAAUGUUUUACCACAAUUUUGGAACAAUUGACAAGAAUCUUAUUUGAGAAUGUAACUUAUGGAGUUCUAAAUCUUAUGCAGUGCUGUGUUUGGGACAGAGAUUUGGCCAGCAGCUGAAUAUGGGAGGACAAUGUACACCAUCCGCCAAAGAAUUGGCCCAUUACUCAUGAAAAUGCAAAAGAGAUAUGGUUAGUUCAUCACUGCCUGAUGAACAUAUUUGUGCAAUCUUAAACUCCCACCCAUGAAAACUUGCACAUAGAACUAGACUUGGAAGUUCAUUCUUUAUUGACUACUCUGUUCAGGGAGCAUGGAUUAUGCCGGUGAACUGACAGAAAAGGAAAUUAUCAGAGCUGAGAGGAACUCUGGUGUCAUUAGUAACAGAGUGAGAGAAAUCCAAGUGAGUAACUAGAAAAAGAUACAAAGCUGGAUACCAUAUGUGUUCUCUUUCACUUUGUUUCCUUGUAUAGGAAAAGUUCUUACUGCAAGUAACUUGGCAUUUCUGACUUGUGAUUGGUUUGUCAGAUGCAAAAUUACAUAAGAAAAAAGGAGCAGAAAGAACAAAGAGAAAAGGAUCUUCGCGAAGGGUUGCAAUUAUACAAGUAACUUCUGGAUAUUCAACUUGUUCUUUCUACUUCCUUUUGAGUUCAAGUUGAAUUUCAUAUUUGCUAAGGCUAGGUCUCUAGGAUGGACUGAUUCAUUUGCUGCAUACAAAUUUAUUACAUCAAAUUAGGUGUCCCUUUAAGCGCUAGUAACAUGCUUUACUGUCUGCAAGUCAUUACAAGUUCUUCACAGUGAUACUUUUAAAAUUUUGUUUUUCCUUGGUUAAUUGAUGAAGAAAUGCCAAAUAUGAGGAAGCACUGGAGAGGUUCGAGUCUAUGCUGGGAUCGAAACCAGACCCAGCUGAAGCUGCAGUGGCAAGUUACAAUGUCGCUUGUUGUUAUUCUAAGCUUAAUCAGGUAAUGUCUUCGUUAUCUUGAAAACAGUAGCCCUUUCUCUUCCUUUUUAUCCCUUUAUGGGAUUGCUGCAUCAUUUACUUCCUCGAACUUUUAACAGUUACAAGCUGGGCUAUCUGCACUUGAAGAUGCGAUGAAAGCAGGAUUUGAAGACUUUAAGGUAAUGGACUAAAAUUGCACGUGAACAGCAUAUAGUUUAUGAAGUGCUGACUUUCUGAGGUUUUGGAAAUGUUAACAGCGAAUCCGGACAGAUCCUGACCUAUCCAAUUUAAGGACAGCUGAGGGAUUUGAACCUUUAUGAAAAGGUUUGAUGAAUCAUUUAUCAACGAGAAUGCCAUCAACGCCAUUAAAUCUCUAUUCGGAUUCAACAAGAAAUAGAGUCAUGAAUUUGCUCCAAGGAUGAAAGAAUCAAAGAGGCAACUGCUCCUGAAGUUACAAGAAGCCAGGACUGGCCAAACCACCAACUGCUUCAGAUAAAACUCCUUUGUAAUAAGAUUUUGUUCUUUCAUAGCUUUAGUUUAGGACGAGUUCAGAAAAGUUUAAUAUGAUUCGCCAUGAUUGGCUUGUUAUCCUGAUUCUUCUUUGGAUACAGUCUAUGAUAUGUAAUCUUCUUGACAAGAAAAUUGAAGAGGAUAAACAAGAAAAGUAAACUGUUUCUUUUAUUAUUGGAUAUAACAGAAUGAAUUUACUGCCAUCCUGUCGAACUUCCGGGCAUGUAAAACUGCUGUACACUACACAGAAAGCCCUAAUUCUAUUAUGAACAACAAAUUUAAAAUGAAAUUACAGAAACUACAAGAGAAAUGAGGAACCACAAAGAGUACAUCUUGAUUAACUUACAUAAAUUUGAAGAGUUAUAAUCCGAUUCAUACACAAUACUUGACUCUUGAAUAGCCAAUGUUAUCAAACAAUCUCACGGAUUAAGCCUCGUAUCGAGUCCCCCGUAUUAAGCCAUAACUCAAGCUUACACAAUCCCAUAAGUCGAGUUUACGCAAUCACAUGCAUGAUAGUCCGACACAUUCAAACGAAAAAGUUAUGAGAACAAGACAAACCCGUUUCUUUGAACAUCAGAAUUAGGAUUCUCAGUUCUGGAUUGUGGACUUGUUGAAUAUGAGAACAAAUAGUACUAUUUAACAGCCAAACUAAUUGGAAAUAUUGUACUUUCAACACGAGUAUGGUCAUGAAAGUGACCAUGAUCUUAGGCUGAGGAUUGGUGUCGGUGAAGACGAAUUGGAAGACCUUGGGAUGGUGCAGGCAUGGGAUGACAUGUAAGUCUCUCAUCAGGAAUCAGCAAAUCCCAUUUUUCAAUCUCUUCACAAUAUUAUGCAGGAACACGAGUAUUUGUGGUCUAGCGUAUUCAUUCCCCAUGCAAAUCCUUGCCCCACCAAAUGGAACACGCGAAUAUGGGGCAGGUGUCCUGCUCCUUCAUACCUGGAAUGAUCAAAGUCUUCUGCAUUUGAGAAGAGAACUGGGUCUUUAGUUGUUGAGUCAGGACUCCAGUGUAGCUGAUGCACGCAGAUCAAAGCGUAAGUUUUAUGAUCUAGACAAUCUGACAAACUUCGACAACUUGUUCAAUUGCUUGCAUAAAAUUCAUUCUAGAAUACAGGAGAGUGAUUGUACAUACCUUCCAUCGUUUUGGGAUUGUAUAACCUGCAUAGGUGAAAUCAUCUAAAGCCUCUCUAAAAGUACCACGCAUAGGCAGCAUCAGCUCAGAACUUCAGAGAUCACAUUCCAUGAGCAUCUCAUUUUCUGAAAGUCCUCCCAUUUCAACAACUCUCCUGGUUCUUUAGACUUGGCAAUAUCAACCUGCUCUGUUAACCACACGGAAUCAAACUGGAGUAAGAAAUACGGAAAACCCAACUCAAGAAUGGGGAGGCUAUAUCAUGUGGAAACAUGAGCCCUGUAAGUUGUCUGCAAUCUUGUUGUAGAAUUUGCUCGAAAAAAUCAUAUGCUUUAAUUAAGAUGACCUGCUGACCUUUCUAAAACAUUGUGUACACUUACGGAAAUUCUACAAGAUACUUCAUGAUACAUGUUAUGGCUGAUGUAUCAGUGUCAUGACUACCAAAGAGAAACAGCAGCAUGUUGUCGAGAAUCUCAUGACUACAAGAUGCAUUUGCAGUCACAAGCAAAUGUUAAAGAGUAUCCUAAUAUACCUUCCCGGUGUGUCCUAAUAUGGUUUCGUGUGGCCAAAUCCAUCCUGUCUAUGAACCGCUUUGAGUGCAUCUCGAUCAGUGAGUGUCAAGAGUAUCAUCUGUAAGGUUUUGUAAACCAAUAAUUAUCAACCACACCUUUGCACAUGGCGUUGGAAUAUUAUUAUAUAGAAAAAUGUUACAACAGAAGGUGAGAGUAAUAAGGAAAUAGCUGUUACAAGAUAUACACUAUACUAUAAUUAGGAUUAAUCAGUUCUUAGACAGACGCAUACAAUUAAUUGUAAUACAAUCAAAUGGCAUGAUCUUCUUCUUAAUGCUUGGAAAGAUUCUCUCUAGAAGAUGGGAUUGUGUUAGCGUCAAUAUCAUCCUCAUCCUUAUCCUCUUAGCGUCAUCACCAACUACAUUAACCAAGCUUGACCUCAACAGCAAAUGUUAAGAGUAUCCUAAUAUACCUUCCCGGUGUGUCCUAAUAUGGUUUCGUGUGGCCAAAUCCAUCCUGUCUAUGAACCGCUUUGAGUGCAUCUCGAUCAGUGAGUGUCAAGAGUAUCAUCUGUAAGGUUUUGUAAACCAAUAAUUAUCAACCACACCUUUGCACAUGGCGUUGGAAUAUUAUUAUAUAGAAAAAUGUUACAACAGAAGGUGAGAGUAAUAAGGAAAUAGCUGUUACAGGAUAUACACUAUACUAUAAUUAGGAUUAAUCAGUUCUUAGCCAGACGCAUACAAUUAAUUGUAAUACAAUCAAAUGGCAUGAUCUUCUUCUUAAUGCUUGGAAAGAUUCUCUCUAGAAGAUGGGAUUGUGUUAGCGUCAAUAUCAUCCUCAUCCUUAUCCUCUUAGCGUCAUCACCAACUACAUUAACCAAGCUUGACCUCAACAGCAAAUGUUAAGAGUAUCCUAAUAUACCUUCCCGGUGUGUCCUAAUAUGGUUUCAUGUGGCCAAAUCCAUCCUGUCUAUGAACCGCUUUGAGUGCAUCUCGAUCAGUGAGUGUCAAGAGUAUCAUCUGUAAGGUUUUGUAAACCAAUAAUUAUCAACCACACCUUUGCACAUGGCGUUGGAAUAUUAUUAUAUAGAAAAAUGUUACAACAGAAGGUGAGAGUAAUAAGGAAAUAGCUGUUACAAUAUACACUAUACUAUAAUUAGGAUUAAUCAGUUCUUAGACAGACGCAUACAAUUAAUUGUAAUACAAUCAAAUGGCAUGAUCUUCUUCUUAAUGCUUGGAAAGAUUCUCUCUAGAAGAUGGGAUUGUGUAGCGUCAAUAUCAUCCUCAUCCUUAUCCUCUUAGCGUCAUCACCAACUACAUUAACCAAGCUUGACCUCAACAGCAAAUGUUAAGAGUAUCCUAAUAUACCUUCCCGGUGUGUCCUAAUAUGGUUUCGUGUGGCCAAAUCCAUCCUGUCUAUGAACCGCUUUGAGUGCAUCUCGAUCAGUGAGUGUCAAGAGUAUCAUCUGUAAGGUUUUGUAAACCAAUAAUUAUCAACCACACCUUUGCACAUGGCGUUGGAAUAUUAUUAUAUAGAAAAAUGUUACAACAGAAGGUGAGAGUAAUAAGGAAAUAGCUGUUACAAGAUAUACACUAUACUAUAAUUAGGAUUAAUCAGUUCUUAGACAGACGCAUACAAUUAAUUGUAAUACAAUCAAAUGGCAUGAUCUUCUUCUUAAUGCUUGGAAAGAUUGUCUCUAGAAGAUGGGAUUGUGUUAGCGUCAAUAUCAUCCUCAUCCUUAUCCUCUUAGCGUCAUCACCAACUACAUUAACCAAGCUUGACCUCAACAGCAAAUGUUAAGAGUAUCCUAAUAUACCUUCCCGGUGUGUCCUAAUAUGGUUUCGUGUGGCCAAAUCCAUCCUGUCUAUGAACCGCUUUGAGUGCAUCUCGAUCAGUGAGUGUCAAGAGUAUCAUCUGUAAGGUUUUGUAAACCAAUAAUUAUCAACCACACCUUUGGACAUGGCGUUGGAAUAUUAUUAUAUAGAAAAAUGUUACAACAGAAGGUGAGAGUAAUAAGGAAAUAGCUGUUACAGGAUAUACACUAUACUAUAAUUAGGAUUAAUCAGUUCUUAGACAGACGCAUACAAUUAAUCGUAAUACAAUCAAAUGGCAUGAUCUUCUUCUUAAUGCUUGGAAAGAUUCUCUCUAGAAGAUGGGAUUGUGUUAGCGUCAAUAUCAUCCUCAUCCUUAUCCUCUUAGCGUCAUCACCAACUACAUUAACCAAGCUUGACCUCAACAGCAAAUGUUAAGAGUAUCCUAAUAUACCUUCCCGGUGUGUCCUAAUAUGGUUUCGUGUGGCCAAAUCCAUCCUGUCUAUGAACCGCUUUGAGUGCAUCUCGAUCAGUGAGUGUCAAGAGUAUCAUCUGUAAGGUUUUGUAAACCAAUAAUUAUCAACCACACCUUUGCACAUGGCGUUGGAAUAUUAUUAUAUAGAAAAAUGUUACAACAGAAGGUGAGAGUAAUAAGGAAAUAGCUGUUACAGGAUAUACACUAUACUAUAAUUAGGAUUAAUCAGUUCUUAGACAGACGCAUACAAUUAAUCGUAAUACAAUCAAAUGGCAUGAUCUUCUUCUUAAUGCUUGGAAAGAUUCUCUCUAAAAGAUGGGAUUGUGUUAGCGUCAAUAUCAUCCUCAUCCUUAUCCUCUUAGCGUCAUCACCAACUACAUUAACCAAGCUUGACCUCAACAGCAAAUGUUAAGAGUAUCCUAAUAUACCUUCCCGGUGUGUCCUAAUAUGGUUUCGUGUGGCCAAAUCCAUCCUGUCUAUGAACCGCUUUGAGUGCAUCUCGAUCAGUGAGUGUCAAGAGUAUCAUCUGUAAGGUUUUGUAAACCAAUAAUUAUCAACCACACCUUUGCACAUGGCGUUGGAAUAUUAUUAUAUAGAAAAAUGUUACAACAGAAGGUGAGAGUAAUAAGGAAAUAGCUGUUACAGGAUAUACACUAUACUAUAAUUAGGAUUAAUCAGUUCUUAGACAGACGCAUACAAUUAAUCGUAAUACAAUCAAAUGACAUGAUCUUCUUCUUAAUGCUUGGAAAGAUUCUCUCUAGAAGAUGGGAUUGUGUUAGCGUCAAUAUCAUCCUCAUCCUUAUCCUCUUAGCGUCAUCACCAACUACAUUAACCAAGCUUGACCUCAACAACAAAUGUUAAGAGUAUCCUAAUAUACCUUCCCGGUGUGUCCUAAUAUGGUUUCGUGUGGCCAAAUCCAUCCUGUCUAUGAACCGCUUUGAGUGAAUCUCGAUCAGUGAGUGUCAAGAGUAUCAUCCUCAUCCUCUUAGCGUCAUCACCAACUACAUUAACGAAGCUUGAUUUCAACAGCUUCUUCAGCGAACUUGGCUACCAUCUCGUUCUCAUUGCUAAACAAGAACUUGUUCCCAGCGAACACGGCCAUUGACUCUCCGGUAUACGUGUUUAUAGAUAAUCGGUUGGUUACACGUGAUAUUGAUUUUGUUUAUGUAAAUAUAUUUAAUUUAUUAAUAAAAACUUAUUUAUCUUUAAUAUCCAUCAAAUAUUUUAUUAAUAAACAUAAUAUUUGAUUAAUGAAUCUAAGUAAAGAUAAAUAGUCAUUGGAAAAAAAUAUUAUGCAAAGAAAAUUAUGAAGUUGUUAUAAUUAUGGAAAUUUCAUUGCAUCAAAGUAUUGUUUCUCAAUUUUUUUUGUUAAUAUUAUAUUAAGACUGUACAUUAAUUAGAGUUAAUGAGACUGAUACAUAUUAUAUUUUUUCUUUUAAGAAAGUAAACAUUUGUUCUCAUAAGUUGCGGUAUGAAAGAUACCUAAAACUAAUAUGUAUGUGCUUGUCAGAUGACAUGUAUACUGAAUUUACUCACAUGAGAAUUCCAUAUAGAUAGAUCAUUUGUAUCUAUGAAAAGGUUCACGUGACAGAUGUUUACGUGAUCAUUAGACUUGGGAUCACUAAGUUAUCCUAUAUAAAGAGUGUUAUGUUUUAAUAUUGCUAUAUGUUGUCCUAAUCAUAGGUAACAAAUGAGCAGAUAUUGAGUAUAACAUGAACUAUAUAAAGGUAUUUAAGUAAUUAAGGGAUGAUUCAUUACUCUAAAUGGAUUAAAGAAAAUGUUUUAUAUGUUCUCAAAUAAUAUUGAUUGUAAAUCCUUGUGUUAGGUGGAAUGAAAUUUAAAAAGAGUUUCAAAUCUUAUUCAAAAAAUCAAUGAUUAUAGUGUUAAGAACAAAUAUUAUUUGACAAAGUAGACAUACUCUAUGUAUAAUGUCUAAAUUGAAACAUUGUUGAUGAAGAGAUGAUAAUUACACUGAGAUACUGGUCACUGAAAGAUUAAGUUAAAUCAUUUAUGACUUUUCUAAUAUUUAAAGAAUCAUGACAUAUUACUAAACAAUGCACUUGAUCUUUAAAUACAAAUUAAUCAACUAUUGAUGGGCAACCUAACCUAAGAAGUAGGGUUACCAUUUGUCAAUGGUAGUUGCACCCACCAUUGACAAAUGCAUCAACCCAUGUGUAGCUGUUGUUGUUGAAGAAAAGGAGUCACCAUUCUUGCCUAUAAAUAGGCAGCAAGAAAGCAGAUCAAAGAGUGAGCGAGAGAGAGAAUGAAGUGAAGUGAAGAGAAGAAAAGAGAAAGAGGAGUUGCUGCCAUAUGCAGCAGUAUGUGUGAGCUGAGAGUUGAGUUAGAGUGGAUGUGAUCCUCCUCCUCCAUGUAUUUGUUUUAUAUUCUUUUUCUAUCUCUAAUAAUAUUGACUCUCCCGUGGAUGUAAGUGAUUUGCCGAACCACGUUAAAUAUUGUGUCAGUGUGCUUACCCUCCUAUGAGCAAAUUAUUAGUACAUCACCGGUUUAGGUUUCCCUACACGGGCCCCCUCUGAAUGGAACAUAUGAAUAUGGGGCAGGUCCUGCUCCUUCAAACAUAGAAACAUCAAAGUCUUCUGCCUUUGGAAACAGAAUUGGAUCCACAUGUGUUGAACCGCUAUUCCAAAACAACUAGUGAACAGAGAAAAUGUUAGUCUCAUAUUUUUAACAAUCUGAGUUAAACAGAGAAAACUGCAAGAGACGUGAGUACCUUUGAUCCUUUUUGGACAGUGCAGGCGGCAACAGCCUCGGAACUUUGGAGACCACAUUCCAUGAGUACCUCAUUUUCUGUAUAUCCUCCCAUUUCAACAACUCUCCUGGUUCUUUAGACUUGGCAAUAUCAAUCUGUUCUGCUAACCACAAGCAAUCAAACGGUUGUUUGUGAGAAAAGUUUACUUUCGUGAUUGAAGAUUCGCGGAACAUGGUCAAAAGUACUGCUAGAAUCAUGUAGUAAAUGCAACAGUACGCUAUAAGACUAACCUUUCAGGACCAUUCUGUAAACUUGAGGCAAUUCUGCAAGAUACUUCAAGGCACAUGUUAUGGCUGAUGUAGUGGUGUCAUGACUGGCAAAAAGCAACAGUAAUAUGUUAGCAGCAAUUUCCAUCUCUGAUAGGAACUUUCCACUUGCAUCUGAGGUCACAAGCAAGUGCGACAGAAGAUCUUGUGUUGGUGACACCAUUUUCUUGUCCAAAGCUUCUCUUCUUUGUCUAGCAACCAAUCGAAGCUCUUCACUUAUUGCAUCAACAGCUUUCACAGCACAAUAAAAUCUUGUGCCCGGUAUAAUGAUUGCAAAACUAAAGACAUCUGCAAGCUUCAAAAUGUGUCCAGGGUCUUCGAUUGCUUGUAAACAUACGACAGGAACAUUCUUUUGGACUUAGUUCUAUGAUUCUAUCCACUAAUCCAGACUAUCUGCAUGAUCCGUUGAUGGCAGAUCUCCAUUUCACUGCUCAUAACCUUUCAUUUUCUUUCGGUACGGCUACAUCACAAAUAUCAUACGAGACAGGACCUAAUUUUUAUUCAUCCUUUCUUGUUUCCAGGAACAUUUGAAUACAAGCUGUUGAUGCCGAGUGAUUAAUUAAUAAUUCCACUCCAGGAACACUAUCCUUGUAAAUCUACAAGUUGACUUGCUAUAUAAUUAACAAUUCUGGUGUUUUUCUUUGUUUCUUAUCCUUUUCUUUCUUGAUGGAAUAGUGCAUCAACGAAUGAGAUUUGAAUAGUGCAUCAACAAUGAAAUCGACGGGGAAAAAAAGGAGGAGAGGUCAUUGAUGAAAGUGGCCAUCUUAGACUGAGGAUUGGCGUGGCUGAAGAUAAAUAUACAGGAAGACCUUGCGAUAGCGCAGCUGUCCGAACACAUUCUCGUCAGGAAUCAGUAAAUCCCAUUUGAAUCCUUUCAUGAUGUUAUGCAGGAAGAAAAGUAUCCGUGGCAGAGCAUACUCAUUCCCGAGGCACAUCCUCGCUUCCCCUCUCAAAAUCUUCAAACCUAGAAGCAUGAACAUGGGCAGGUCCUGCUCCGCCAAACCUACGAGCAUCAAAAUCUUCAAACCUUUCAAUUUAUAUUUAUGUAAUCUUUGACUUCCCUCUUCCCUCUCAAUAAUUGUACUGAAACCUGCAUAAGGUUUUGCUUGGAGGACUCUUCUUGUCGUUCUCAUUAAUUGCACUGAAAGCUACAUAAAUCUAAUUUAGGCCUGAUGUUCCAGUACUCCCAUCGGUAUUGCAGCAUUUGAAGUUGUGGGGGCGUUCGCUAGGUUUGAAAUUGCAACCACAAAUGUGACGCAAGAUAAAAGCACCAACAAGAAAACAACAAGCGAAGACAAUAAGCAAGAACAACAGACUUAUUGGCCGAAAAGGGUUUAGGGUUUCUGAAAAUAACAAACAUCGUCUUCAUGAUCUAAUUUGUAAAUCUUUCUUAUCUCCGUCUAAUCAGAUCCUUCAAAUUUCUACUCACCUGGCUACAUCAAAAUGGAACAGCCACUAAUAAUUCAACGGGAAGUUUUAGAUAUUUCUUCAAAGAAAAAUGAACACAUAUUAUAGCAGAAGUCACAUUGAGUUUGGAGGGUUGGCAAAUGAACAAGACCUCUACACACAGCAGGGGCUUGGGAAAUGCAUGCAGGAUUUUUUAUGCAUGUGAUUUAUCAAUGCCUCAAGAGGUUCCUGAUGAUUCCAAUACAUCUAGGCAGAGCUCACAUCACUUUCGUUACAUUCCAUCCAUUUUCUGAUGAGCUGCACCAUAUGUUUUCUUCGAAAAAAAUCAAAUGAUCAUCGAGAAUUGGUAAAACAAAUUAAAGGAUAUAAAUAUAAGAAAAGAUGGAUCAAUUAAAUUCAACUAUAUGUGUCAAUUAAUGGCUAGUCAAUAAUGUCCCAAGUAGGGUAGUUUCUUGGAAGAUUUGAGCUCAUGCCGUCUUGCAGGAAGAAUCCCAUGCUGGAUUUCUACACAGAAGGCUCUUGUUUUCUUGGAUUUAAGCGAGAACAAGCUAGAAGGACCAUUCCCGCAAUGGCUUGCAGAAAAGGACGUAGGCAACAUGUUUCUUUCAGACAAUAAUCUCACUGCUUCUCGCCUCUUGUAGUCUUAAAGUUUAUCAGUUCUAGCCUUGAUUUACUUCUAUUUAAAUUUAAAAUUAUUUAAAAUUUGAACUUGUUUUUCGUUUCUAUUUAAUUAGAAUUCUAAAGUAUGGGAAAAAAUAAUGGGAAAAACUUAUGGGGACCAUCUAUUAUGUCAUGGGAGAAUUGAACAACCUUGGAUAUAUUCUUAUGGAGGUCUGAGCAACCUUCAGACACUAUCUUUUAUCUUUUUACAAUAAAAUCUUUGUAGUUAAUUGUUUUUAAUUCAAUAAAAUUGUUAUUGUUAUUGACACUUAUCAAGAAUGAGUAACAACAAACUCGAGUGUCAGAUUCCAGUGGGUGGCCAAAUGGACACAAUGAAUGAUUCAAACUCGUAUGCCAACAACAGUGGAUUAUGUGGAAUGCCAACAGAGCAGCCACCGGUAAAGCUACCAGAAACAGAUGAGAAGGAGGUCAAGUAAAUUCAUGCAGAAACAUGCUAUAAUAACAGCUUUAUAAAAUUCAUUGAGGGAAUCAUGAAUCUAACAUGAUGAUAAGUACCCAAUGUCAUAAAAGAAGUGACUUAACAGGAGUUAGAUUGUGAACUUGUACGUAAUGUCAUAAUUGCUAAAUGAAUGGGCCAUUACAUUGUAAAAGAAUUGGAAGAGACAAUAUUUUUCCCAUUUCAUAUCAACUAUUUUGACUUCUCUCCUGGAUAUAUUUUGAUUUGAGAGUAGAUUCAGCAGAGCAGAAGUGAAUGGGAACCUGAUCUAACUCCACUUCAGUUUCUUAGAGUAUUCCCUAGGGGAUGAAUAGACUGAGUAGUCACAAAUUAUUUUCAUCUUUCUCUUAUAAUUGCUGUAGUCGCUUCGGAAACUUGCACAAGAAGGAUGCUAUAUAAUAGAUGUCAAAGAAUCGUACAAACACAGCCCCUAUUGCUCUGAUCUUCACUGUCACUAUCUUCUGUUUCACUGUUUAAAAGGGAAAAACAGAUUAAACGAAAUAUUAUUAGGUUGCGAACAAUAUCCAGAUAUGAAAUAUAUUGGUUAUGAACAAUACAUAAAAAUAGAAUUAAAAAAAUAAAAAUAGAAGAGGUGCUGAAAUGCUAGAAAAGCAGCAUUGUAGUGUGUUGUUUAGAGACAAAAGCAAGUUGCAACAUGCAUCAUAAAAAUGCAGAUUUUCUAUAUGAUUAGAGCUGCUAAUGCGAUGAGCAAUUGCACUCCUCUAGGGGUUGCACAAGAUUCAGGGGAUUAGGACCUUAAUUGCCCCAUAAAAAGUGAUAAUAAUUACAUAUAUCUCAAGCAAAUGGAUUGUCAACGUUUUCAAGAUAUGUUCUUGACAAUGUUUGCAGUCAUGUGAUGCAAGCUGGAUGGCUUGAAAUCACUUGAUCAAGCCAAUUUUCUAUACAGUUAAUGCACAAGCAGUAACAGAUUAAAUUGAGGAUUUGAAUCCUUUACAGACAGAAAUUACAUGGCAGAAUCCUUUAGACGAGUCAAAAUACCAUCUCUAAAACUCAACAAAUAGCUUAUACCAUCAUAUGUGUGCAAAACCAAACACUAUCCUUGCAUUCCUGCUCAGGAAGAGAGUUGACCAAGACAGAGUCGGGAACCUAAAAGAGAGACAAAAUUGAAUGGAACACAAAAUGCUGCUAAAUAUUCUUUUCUGUUAAGUCAAUCUCUUAACUAUAUCAUAGAAUCAGCAAAGGAUUUUCCAUUCUCAAGAUAUCACAAAGAAGGAGAUUAAUAUGGCCAUCUAGUCUAUUCAUAUGUUCCCUGGAAAUCAUUAGCCCAUCCCAAGCAAAAACUUUUUAUCUGAUCACAUUGAGUUCCGAACUUAGGAUGCCAUUGUCCUCGUUUAUAAACAGAUCAAUGUAAGAGUAUUGUUUUCUAGGACCAAUUAAAGCUUACUGCUUUCUAACAAUUCUAACAAUAAGAACUUAUCCACCACAGAAAAUGCAGCCUUAAGAAGGAACUUCCCUUCCUUGCCCUAGAAGAAGCUUCUUUGCACAACAUCCAACACCAGUACAACAACAACAACAACAAAUGCUAUAGCUGAAGGGACUAGAAGUGCUACAGGCAGUUAAUUAAUGAGAACAUUAACAGAAUUUGAUCAAACCAUUCUUACUUGUUCAUCCCAUCUCCAACAAGUGUUCAUAAUCCCUACAUAUAGGACUUUAUCUUUUCAAUAAAAAUUUCGGCCUAUCAGUAUAUUAUAUGGCUUUAACUAACAUUUCCUAGCACCAAAUUUAUCUAUAGCCUCAUUUUUUUUUUUUCAAUAAUUAGCACACGGAUGGAAAAUUUGGAACAUUUUGGGCUGCAUAUCAAUCAUCCCAUCCCAAAUUUCAUCAACUUCAGCAAGUGGACUUUAUACAGAACCAAACAUUGCAUUGUACAAGAAAAAUGUAGAUAGAGAUAACAGAGACCACAAAAAAAAAUACAAACCUGGACUCAAAUUCUCUGAUCUCAACAAGUUCUUUCCCUAAGAAAUCUAUCCACUGCACUUUCUUCUUAUCACCCUCUGUGGAAUCAAAAGCUGCCCUUUUUAGACUACUUUUGAGGCUAUUCUGACACUCUGGUUGCUUCCCAUCAACACCUACACUCCCUCCCUUCACCUCAAUGGAAUCACUAAGCACGUGAUUAUCAUUAGAGGAGGCAUCGGCAACUGAUAUAAUUGCAGUUGAAGGCACAUGGGGACUGUUUUCCAAUUUCAAUGGUCCUGGUGUGUAUAUACUAGGAGAGGGUUUGCAAAAGCAAAUGAAGGAAGGACAGUGGAUCUUGCUGAACAAAACCCUCAUGAACAAAAUAUUUUCUUUAUCAUCAAUCAAACUACAAAACAAUUAGCCCAUUUCAUAACUCCAAUUCAAAAGCAUGGAUCUAAAUCUUGAAACUUUUCCUCAUUGAAUUUCUAUAAUUUGAAUGAAAAACAAGCAAACCCAACAAGGCGAGGUAUAAAAGAUAAUAUCUUUCAACAGACAAAACUGUUGUCAACCUAGCAAAAAAAAUAGUCAAAAAUCGAAGAACAUAAGAGUAAGAUAACUUGUAUUGGCAACACAGAACUAAAUUAAACUCAAGCGGGGCACUUGUUUGAGUUUACAGAUCAAAAGGAGGAAUCAAGUCAAAAACUUUCAGGGAAACAAGUUUGAGUCUUUAAGGUAUUUGGUGAUAAAAUAAGAGACUCAAUGGACUACAAAACUGUCCUUCCAGAGUUACAAGACCUCUGUUUCCACUAUUUCAAUGAAAGAAAAAGACAGCAGUUCUAAUCUUAAGUUCUUAACAAGACAGAACAAAAUGAUGUAAGAUUAAUAUUGCAAGAAAUGACAAUGCUACCCCUUUCAUUUCACCUCUGCACUGUCAAUCAAUGAUGAAAGAAGGAGCAAGAAAUCUAGUCAGAUAUGUCAGAACAAAAGGAACGUGAAAGCUUAGAGAGAUAGAAAGAGAGAGAUCCUAUGAUUUGGAAGAUAAAAACCAACUGUCCAAAUAUUCUGUAUAUUGCAAUGUAACUGUUAGUCCCUCCAAAAGGGGGAUUUGAUUUAUCAGUAGCUGGCUAAAUAUUUUAUUAUAAAAAUACAGUCUAUAUUAAUAAAGUAUAAAACAUGGCGCAAUUGCCUUGCCUUUUCACCACCCAACGUGGCAUUUUGCAAGAAGGAGAAGAAAUUAUUUUAUUGUGAAAAAUAUUAUUCCCCCUUGUUAUAUGAGCUGGUUUGACAAAUUGUUUAUGCAAACGCAAAGUAAAAACAAGAUUAUAAAAGAUUGUGGUCAAUGGAAUGGGAUAUGGGAAGAACAAAUGUAGGAAGAUAUCCUCCAUCAUGGAUUAAAUAACAUUUAAUAUGAAAAAAUCACAUUUAAUUGAUUAGCAUAUCUCAAGUAGCAAUAUUCAAAGAACAUAAUGCUUCAAGAUUGUUUAUCUUUCAUAUUAAUCUUCUCUUGUACAAGCACCUUUGGCCAAUAUAAUUCUCCUAUGGUUUGCCUAACAAGCAAUUAAGCAUCCUUAUCUUCUUAUCCAAUGAUUAGGCAUUAAAGUUUCCAAAGCAGAUGAGGUCCCCAGUUACUAAUCACGAUCAAGUAGACUACUCAUUAGAGUUUUGUAGCUUUAUAUAGGUUUUUUGAGUCCAUGAACUAUUGAAAUAUCACUAGUUACUUGUACUAAUGUAAGAUAAUGUGUUUGAUGAAAGUGUUGUGAUUCACAUGAGUUUGGAUUUAUUCCUAAUUAUCUGGAUUAAGUUUUCUAGGGAAUUAGAAGAUUUAAGCGAAAGCAAAGCUACUGCUCUAUUGAGGAGUCAAAGGCUUAUGCUAGCCCCUCAAUUUGCUUUCCGCUUUAUUCUUUCUUUAGUUGCCUCCUCAACCCAAUGGAAAAUCUAUCUAGAAAGCUUUUCUAGCCGACACAAAAACAACUUUUGAGAAAAAUAUAAUUUAGACCCUUUUUAAUGAUUUUAAAAAUUAGCCCUUUUGAUUCUGAAUAACAUAAGUUAAAGUCUUUUAAUCCAUGUUGAUAGUUAAUUUAUUUUGAGAUUUCUAAUUAUCCUUUUUACAAGCAUUUUUAAUUUUGUUUCAGUGGAUGAGAUUGGAAAUUUUGAUUAAAAUUAAAAGGCAUUUUAGAAAGAAGAAAAAAAAAAACUCAAGUUAUGAAAAACAACAGCAAAGAAACUAUUUAGAGAGUAUUUGAAAAUGUUGUUGUAUUCAUGUAUUUAAAAAAAUUUAAAUUUUUUUUGUUAAAAAUUAAUUUUUUAUAUGUUUUGGAUCAUUUUGAUAUGUUGAUCUUAAAAAUAAUUUUUUUUUUAAAAAAAAAAAUAUCAUUUUGAUGUAUUUUAGUAUAAAUAACACUUUAAAAAAUAAUCACAACCAUAUUUUUAAUAAGAGACUUAAUUAAUCAUAAACAAAUAUAAAAUUAUGACAUGGUACAAUAAAUUAUUUUAUUGAAAAACAAGGAUCAAAUAAAAUAAUUUACCCAACUUUUUCAUUGUUUCAACUUUUGAUGAGUAACAUGGAUGACAUGAUACACCUUUUGACAACAUUGCUCUACCACCAUCAAUCAAAUUGGUUGCAGUACUUCGUUUCUCUAGCACCAUCCCAUGGAAACCACGUUUAACAAAUAUAAAAAAGAUAUAAAUCAUAGUUAUUUUUUGCAAUUAAGUUUUAAAGAAAGGAUUUUCAAUUAAAUUCAUAUAAAACUAUACUAUAUAUCGAUUAACCAAACAGUUUAGUCGAGGUAAAAGGAGCCUAAGUGUGAGCUAGAGGUUUGCUUUUGUUUGGUAAUCAAAAUGUAACAGAAAGCAGAGUCGCAAUCUCAACCCAGCUGCUAAACCAAAGUCCCCUCCAGUCACAUAAUAAUCUCUCCACUCCUCCAUGUUUCCAUAGCAUCAAAACACCAAUUUUCUUGUAGGGAAUUCCCCAUCUCACUGUUAUUUGUUUCAAGAUCCUUAAGAUGAAGACAUCAAUUUAGAAGUCUCUGGUGGGGUUUUGAGAAGAUUUAGAUCAAGCAUCUUAAAAUAGCUAAUGAUGAUAGAAUUAGGUACAGGCACUCAUUAUGAAGAUGUGCAACACGUUAACACGUCAAAAAAGUGGAGCGUAGAUCGAAAUUCGAAUGCUAGACAUUUGGAAACCACAUUAUUACAGAAGCCAAUCAAAGGUAGUGAUGAUGCAAAGCAAAAACACACAGCCUUGGUAAAGUUUGUGACAUGAACAUGGGUGUCAAUUUUGACACCUUUUCUGUGUUUUUUUGGGACAAACGCAUGCCCAUGUGUUUGAUUGUGGGAGCACUGGCCCCUCUCCUUGUCUUGGAUGAUAUCAUAACCACAUGUAUUUCCUUUUACAAUAAUAGAUACUGAGACUUGCUAGGUUUACGAAGCUGUUAAGGUUUUCUGCUCAAAGUGCUCCAUUGUUACCUCAGAGGACCUCUCCCAUCAAUUAGUGGGCAUGUAGGACAAAGUGUUUUGGAAUGUGUUGCUCGGGUGAUCCUUCAAAACUGUACAUCAUUGUAAAACAAGUGGCAGCCAUCAUGCCUGCUCAGCAACCAUCCAUCCAUUCAACAUAUUCUGCCACCAAAGGACAUCUCCAGUCGCCUUUGUCGUCGCCAACAAUCUUCAUGGCAAAUAUCUAAUGCAUUAAGAGCCAUUAGAACUGUUUCUCAAGGUAGAUAAAAUAUAAUACUUGCCUCGUCAUCUCACAAAUUAUCUUGUCUUUGAAGCCCUAACAAAGUUGGAAUCACGGAGUUGAGAAGCGAUGUAGCCUAUUAUAUAACCAAACUUUACCACCAAAGCGUGACAGACAUAGAGAAAGAUAAGAGAAAUAGGACCAGCAUGAAGUGAUCUCUCCAUGUGGGAUAGAGAUAAAAAUAACAGAGUUGAAUUUUCCAAGAUUAGGAAGUGGAGUGGACAGAUCAAUGGAGAGUUGUCAUCACAUGAAGCAAUUUAUCAAUCUAUACAAAUUCUCAUAAAGAUUGAGAUAAAUUAGUGAGCAGAUCCUUCAGGAGUUGUAUCCAUUUCUGAAUCGACAGCAAAACACAGGUUUUUGUUUUUAUCUUGACUCUGUCUGACAGGAGUUGUGAAAGAUGAGUUCAUCUUUACUGGCCACCAUGGACUCAUAACUAGCAUUGGAGUUAUUGUUCAGCUCGUUCUUCAAAAGAAAUCAAAACAAAAUAAAUAAGAUGAAUCACAAUCAGAUUUUGGAUGACUAGACGGGAAAAUAGCAUGCUGUUCACAGAAAAUGUUUGCAGCUUCAACAAAAGGCCAUGCCUUCCCAGCAUUUAGCCAGUACUUGGAGCAUAUGAUCAGCUUGUCAGCAGCAACCCAAGUUCACUCUCAGAAGGUUUUAACAGCAUUCACAAUUCCCACACCUUGGUAAUCUUAAACAGAAAACCUACCUUUAUGAUGCCAUAAAAACCGAGAGACGAAUGGUCAAUGAAGAGUUACUUCCAUGUUCAGCAAUCAAAAUUCCAAAGGUCAGAAGAAUGCUUCAAAUGAAAACCAAGUGCUUUUCCUGAAGUGUAACAGAAAGGACUGCAAGUAAAAACUCAUAGCGAAACCCGCAGAUAGGCAGAGAUAUCAUCUGUUGUCACCUUGCUGCUUCACUGCCAUCCAGUACUCAGUUUCUCCUGAAGAAAACAAAUGGUAAUGUCUGAGUGGAUGAUUUAUAAGAACAUUGGAGGGAUGUUGUAGUUUCCAAUGGCUUGAAUAAGGCUAAUCAUGUAGAUGUCAACAAUCAUGCAGAUGAUAGUGCAGUACCACUCAUCUGCAGCCUAUCAUGAUAAUCCCAUGAUAAAUAGAGGAGACUUGUGAGAACUCCAGUUGAACAAUCUCAGCGUGAAAAGAUCAUCACCGCUAUUUUUCCAUGGUUUUACUGCUAUCAAUCUCAGAUUCAUCCAAUUUAAUGAAGUUGCUCGCUCCUCGGAUAAGAAAGAGAUCAAGAGAACCAAGAACUACCAUUCAAGUUUUAAUAUGAUUGUCAGCAUUCUGCAACCAUAAAAAUAACAACUUGGAAAGCUUUAUUUUCUUAUUUGAUCAUGAUAAUUAGGAGUUUUCUCAUUGUAACAAAAUACAAUCUUUAACUAUGAACAUUCAAAUACCAUUGCUAUUCCACACUUGCCCAUAGCUUUAAACUUCCAUGAUGACACCAAACAUUAAAUAAUGCACAAGGGGCCAAAAGAAAAGAAAAACAUCAUUCAUGUCAUUCAGUAAACACAGUGAUCAAUCAAUUCACUCUGGACAAAACAACAAAUUAGCAAACUUGAUAUGAGGUUUAAACCAAGAUCAUAUCACAUAUGUGCCCAAAAAGCAUAAUCAUCAUAACCAAUUAUAUAUACAUAGAGAUCAAGACUUUCAAGAACAAACACACCGUCUAUCCACAAAACUAGAAUCAAAACAAUCAAUCCUCAAAUGGGUUUUCCUCAAAUUCAAUAAAGAUGAAUCCCAACACAUCAAGAGAUAACAAAAUAUUGAACAAAAAAGAAAAGAACUUUUUAUGGUCUCACAAGAGCAUGUCUUUGUCCAGCUUCAAAUGAAAGCCUCUUUUGACUGAUAGCUUGAGAGUAUAAUUGAGAGAGUUCCUUAGCAAAAUUUCCAAACACUGAAUACAGAACUUCAUCACUCUCAUCUACCAUCGCUGCACUACUUUCCACCUUCCUCUUCCUUGCCAUUACUUUUAUUAUUCAUCCCUUCUUCAUGUGUGAUUUUUGCCACUUAUUAGUUAUUACAGUUACAAUAAAUGAUCGAUUCCUUUACUUUUAUGUCUCUUCGGCUUCUCCAGUGCCCCACAGAAUCCCCACUACGGUCUUCUAUUUGGCACGACAAAUGAACUGAACUAACUGAAGGUGGACUGUUUCCAACUUAGAACCUUCAAAACUUGUCAAAAGCCUUAGAGUGAGAUAGACUAAUGGAGUGUAUAAACACAAACAGUUGCACAAAGGAUCUUUCGUAAAGAACACACAUGAACUAUUGGAUUAAGAGAACCAAUCGUUAAAAACCUUGUGAUACAGCUGCUCACAGUUUCUUUGAAUUUUUUUUUAAUAUUUUGCUUUUUUAUUGAACUGCCAUUCGAAAUAGGAAUGCUUAAAUGCUCAUGGAACAAGAGAUGGUACUGAUAGACAUGCAUGCAUCUUUUGGAAGGUCCAUCUAUCUUUCAGUACUGCUGCCACUGAUAAUCCGAGGCCAUCAGUCUUGAUGCUUUUGAUACGUUUCUUGUUUUUUUAAAUGAGGUUUAAACACAGUUCAAUGCCUUGAGAAACAAUGUCAAUCUAAUGGUUGUGAUCAAUAUGUAAUGGUAAUGUCUUAAAAAAAUUAAAUAGUCAAAAUAUGGGUGAGGAUGACGAGGCAUGUGAACCUCGUAACCAGCCUUGCACCCAACACAGUUUGAACAAGGUCCGGUUUUGCCUGCUCCUGGUCUGACCACAGCUAAAGUGGGUCAAAGCCCGACUCAACCAUCGUGUUGAUGCCAGAUGCCCAGAAGGUGGGUGAAAUUGCCAUAGCCAAUCCACCAAGUCUUUGUAUUGAAUCUACUGCUGAAUCUUGAGGACGGGAAAAGCAAUAACAUCUCGGAUACUUGCAGAGUUUGUCAACAGCAUCACCAGUCUGUCUAUUCCGAGUCCCUGGGACAAAACCAUUUCCUUCCAUCAUGAUUGGCUUGUAAAAAUAGAUAUAAAGAAAAUUAUAGAACAAAAGAGAUGGCCAUACCAUUCCCGAAGCUGGAGGCAUUCCAUAUUCUAAAGCUGUUAAAAAGUCCUCAUCAAGGGUUACUUCAUACGAUUCAUCAUCGUCUUUCUUGCUUUUGCCAUCUGCAUCAUCUGCUUCUGAAGCAACUGAAGCUCUCUUCUCAUUAUGCUGUCUCACUUGCUCUUCCAAGCGUCCUCUCUGCCACCAUUUAAAAUUAACAGUCUUAUCUUGUCUUAUAAUGGAAAUGAAACUAUUUGUUUUUCUCUUCUUAAUGAAGCUUUAUGUCAUCUAUAUGCUAACCAAAUAGCAAGAAUGGAAUUAUAAGAGUCCAAGCAGACAUUUAUUAAAACACAAAAUGAAAUAAUUCAUACAGGAAAAAAAAAUUAAAUAUCCAAAAAUGACAAAAAAGAUUAAUAGUUAAAAAUGAAAGAGCAGCAGCAAUGAGAGAGAGCAAAAUAGUAAGCUGGCACUUAAGUUACCUGAUCCAUGGGAUCAGUCAAUUCGGAAAAUGCAUUCGCCAUUUCACGACCACAGAUGAAUAGUUCAAAUCUCUCGGUCAAGCCUACAUGCCUGUUGUGGAAAGGAAUAACAGAUUACCAAAAAGAAUUAAAAAAAAAAAACUGUAACAAUUGUCUUUUCAUUUAUGAUAACCAAUUUUAUUUUAAUUUUUCAUCUCAGCAUACAAAGCCACAUGCAUGCACAAAGAGUACAUAUUACAUAAAGGAGUGGUUGCACCAAUAUGCUUCUGCUCCACACCAAGUUCAUGCUGGAGUCUAAGUCAAUGAAGUAUAAUGACGAAUUAAAAGGAUAACUUCACAAGAAAACAUCCAGGAGUUCAAUUAUGAAUAGUUGAGUGACAAAUACUCGUAUGCUUUAUAACACUUGAAAAGGAAGACCUUCAACAGUUGCAUCGUUGGCUUGUAAAUUUUUGUACCUUCGGUGUGGCUUGGCUAGAGGAGAUAUCUCAAUAGGAUAGUCCAAAACAAAUGUGGGUUGCAUGAGCUUUGGCUCUACAAUGAUUUCAAAAAGCUGGCCAAAUAAAUUAAAUGAUAAUCUUCAGAAUGUGCAAAAGAUAUCAUGUAAAAUAAAAUAUAAUAAACCAUGUCAAAAGACACUAAACAUUUUGAGCAAUAAAGCAUUUUGAAGAGCCUGAAGACAGAACUCGCCAAAAAAAGUCUAAAGACAGAAGAAGCAUUCAACAGGAAAAUGGCUGAAAAAACAAAUUGCGAAUAUAAUUGAAAGAAGAAAGUAAAAGCAUAUGUACCUCAUUAACAAGGUGCCCAACAGAAGGACAUGCUGCAAUGGCAGAUUUGUCUUUACCUUCAAGUCCAGAUCCAAGAGUCCUCAAGGUGACAUCUUUAGCAACUUCAAGAUCAUCACCCAAAUCAUUGAAAUCAAUAGCAGUGGCUUCUUUUACAAGAUUGUGCAUGGUUUCCCUUCUCCAGGGCCGCUCUAAACAAAUCUCUACACCCUGCAUUGAAGCAGUACAAAAAUUUUGCAGAGUUAAAACCAGUCUCUCUGAGACGUUAUUAAGUGGUAAAUUGAUAAAACCUGCAUAAGUUUUUGAAGUAUCUUCAUGAAGACAUAUAAAAUAAACUCUGCAGCAGAACUCAUAUUGCAAGUGUCAUUGCCUGGUAUUCUAGGGUAAGCUUGCCGUGAACAGCAAGAGCACAUCGAGUGACAAUUUCCUCUGCCAUGAUCAUCAUGCUCUGGUAAUCCGAAUAUGCUUCAUACAUCUAUGAUCAAGCUAAUAUCAAUAUGAAUGAGAGCUUCACUCAACAAAAUAACAUCAAAAUGGAUUGCAUACAGUUCACAACAGAAAUAGAUUGGAUAUGAUAGUACCAAGAGAUUACCUCUAUGGUUGUAAAUUCAGGAUUAUGACGCGGUGAAAGACCCUCAUUUCUGAAAAUUCUGCCAAUCUCAUAUACCUUUUCAAAUCCCCCAACCUGCCAUUACAAGUUACAAGUUUUGUUAAGUAAAGCUGAAAAAAUUUUACCAAUUAAAGAAGAAUAUACAUGCACUUGAGGUUUUUCCUGUCCCUUAAAGGAGUACAGAUAAACAUGAGCAGGAAAUCGAUUCAGUGUUAAAGUCUCUGAAAAAAAGAGAAGCUAUAGGAGAUGAAUAGUAAAUGAUCCACUGUCUAAAUCAAUGGAUCCUGUUAUAGCCACCUCAUUGAUAACCCAUUUUCCCCUUUUUCUCUAAGUUUACCAAUAGAAUAUUUUUAUUAGAGAAGUUUGUAAUAAAGAUUUAAGAGUAUAACAUCACCAGCAUUCUCUUUAAGUGAAGCUCAGUUGCAAUUCUAAGGUAGAGAUCCCUUCCAAGUGAAUUGUGAUGUGUCACAAAUGGCCUAGCUUCGGCUCCACCAGCUGCUCCCUAGUAGAUCAAAUCAAUUAAAAACCAAGUUCCAAAACAUCAAAGUAGAAGAAAAACUAAUAAUAUAUUUCAGGCAAUAACAAAAGACUAUUGUAUAAAUAUGGAGAGUAUCAAUGACAAUAUGUAAAAGAAAAGGAAACAGAAUAUGAAGUGAAAUUUUCUAACAACUUUCCAAGCUCCUUUCUCACAACUUUCAUUAAGAUAAAGAUACAAAACAAUUUUUAACAAUAAAAACCAAGUACAUGAAUCUCAAGCAAAAACCUUCAGCUACUAGAUGCUUAACCUAUCUUUGUGCUAUCAAAAAACCCCAACAUGCUCUACACAAGACAUGCAUAUCUUUAGCAACAAACUAAAAGGAGCGGAACUCAUCCUUUUACCAGAUAACCUUUUUCUUUCCUAUACACAAUAGCUUACAACUUAACAGCACGUAAAGUGAAUCAAAUCCCACAUCAAAAAGAAAACCAGCAUAUACAUGUGAAGUCUAUUUCUAAGGAGAACCCUCCUCUCCCCAUAUGAAAACCACAACAAAGGCAAACACCACCAUGCAAUGUGCAAUUAGUGUCCCAAAAGUCCCAACAAGGUAAAACCAAAAAAGAUCGCAACUCUAUGCUAAUCAAAGACCGGCCCAAGCCUAAUGAUUUCUCAAGCCUUAGCUUUUCCACUGUUAGUUUUGUAAAGGUUCCAGGGGAAAUUCAUCAUUCUUAAAAGGGUUUUUGAAAUAUACAAGGGUUGCCCCAAAACCUCUGGUGGUGCCCUUUCACCCUUAAGGCAUUAGAACCUGAUUUUUUUCAGACUCCCCCGUCUCUGUCUAAUCAAGAUCACUUCAGCUUUGAAAGUGAAAGUCAAAGAUUUUAUCACACUUGGGAGGCCACCUAAUCAAAACUCUUCCAUGUAGUCCAGACUUAUCAAUUGAGCAUGCCAUUUCAGCAAUAAACAAAAUCAACUUUGAAUACAUGAAAUAAAAUACAUUGCGUCUUGCCCAUAAAACAACAGAUGAUCAGAUGAAAGAUGCCAAGACCAAAAAGCACUGUGGGGAUAGCAACGAACCUGGAGAACUGGAGUCUCAACUUCAACAAAACCUAACAAUUCCACAGUCUUGCGAAUCUCUGAAACAAUCUGCCAACAGAAAGUGGAAAAAAAAAAAGAGUAGCAUCAUUACAUCUUAAGCUAUUAUGCAUGGCAUCGACAAAAUCAGUGCAUGAGAUAGUCUCACUCCAGUGAUAAUUAAAUGGGAUGAUCGAGAAACGCAAAAGCAACCGGGUGUUGAAUCCAAAGAAGCAUCACAAAAUUUGCAAUUUUUCAGUUCCAAUUUCAACAAUAUAAUGCAUGAAGAGAAGAGAAGGAAAGGGAAAAUUUUACAAGGAGCGAUGAAAAGUAUCACCUUUGCUCUUUUACGGAACACAUCAGCAACUUCAGGAUUUGAGAUCAUAUCAACAUACCUAAACAUUGAUGAUAUGAGUGCAGGAAAUAACAAAAAAAUGAAUAACAAAUAUAAAAUGGAAAACUAGAUGUACACAGACUUGUAUCAUUUCAAUGUCUCAUUACCUUGUCAUGCAAUUAGGAGACCCUAUCAAUAAUAUUUUCACAUGGUAAUAAGAUCCUCUGCAAGACUUUUUUAUUAACUCUACUAUUAAACGACUUAUCAAGUGCUGUCCAUAGGAAAAUUUAUUCUUGAUCACAUUACCUUGUCACAAAAUUCAGGCAGUGUUUCCCAAACUAGAAAGAAAUUGAGCAUUCCUUACCUUUGACGGUAGCGCUUAUCUACAUCAGUUAGACCAUGAUAUUUGUCUGGCAGUGGAAGCAGAGAUUUCGUAAGAAUCGAGAAAGAACUCACGCAAACAGAGAGCUCACCUGAAGGAUUAACCAGGAAAACAAAUGAAGUUUAACUAAUGUAAACAAAUGAUCAUAGAAAGAUGUUGAUAAGGUAAGUUGAAUAUCAAGGUUCAAGAAUGAAUGCAGGAAGCAAAGCAUUCACCGAAGGUAGUCAUAUCUUUAAAAGGUUACCUUUCUCUGUGCGCUUCAUUGAGCCACUCACACCCAAUAUAUCACCAAUAUCAACAUGUGCUUUCAACUGCUCAAACUGAUCACUCAAAAGCCUAUCCUUCUCACAGUAAAGCUAUAACAAAAGGACUUAAUAAUUUUAGCUUGUGCUCAACUUGCAAGGUGAAAAACAAAAAUCUUACAAAAAAUUUCGAAUCAAACUGAAAUCAGCAAACCUGAAUUGCCCCAGAGUCAUCUCUAAGAGUAAGAAAUGCAAGCUUUCCAAAAGCUCUACGCGCAACAAUUCUCCCAGCAAUAGAUACUUGAUCACUCUCACCAUUCGACUCUUCACCGUUCGCUAAAUAUUUGUAUAUCUCUUGUAGGUGAUUGGCAGUAUGAGUCCUAUCCCAGUUAUAUGCAUAGGGUUCAAGUCCUUUGCUCCUCAAUUCUUCAACCUACAAAACAUUCAAAAUAAAAUCUUAAACAAGCUCAUUGUCCUUGAAUCCAAACUUCAGAAACUUAAAAUUCACCACUAAUCAUCAUUCAAUUACCACACAAAAACCAAAAAAGAGAUACCCAGCAUCCUUCUAUAAAUGAUUAAUUCAUAAGAGAAUGUCAACAUCCCAAUUAUUUUUUCUAUUGAAGAAAGCAUAAAAUCUGAAUCCUUACACUAAAUUUGAAAAAAAAGGAAAAAAAAAGAAGAAAAAACAACCACCCCAGUAACCAAAAUUGACUACAAAACUAAAACAACCAAGAAACACAAAAUGGGCACAUACAAAACCAAAAAAGAUGAAACCUUUUUCAAGCGAAGGGCACGAAUGGCAUCACGGUCAGAAGUGGAGGAGGAGGAGGAGGACUGGCGGCGGUUGCGGCCGGAAGUUCUGGUGGUGGUGGUGGAGCAGCAGCGAAGGACAUGAGUGGAAUAAGAGUGUUUGGUGGUGGUGACAGAAGCGCUGGAAGACGCAAAGUGAAGGAGAUGUCUGAGAGUGAAUGGUUUUGAAGACAGACUCCAUAUUUUCAGCGCCUCCAUUUGUUUCUGUCUUCGCCUAGCUUUUGCUGCUUUCUGUAUUUUUGCUACUUCUAUGAUAUUAUCCUCUGCGAGGAAGAGUAAAGCUUGAGAAUUUUUCAGAGCCCAAGAAUUUCCCUUUUGUCUUGAACCCAGCCCGCCCACUAAAGGUCUCCUUCCAUUUACAGUUCCUUUUUUAUUUUCUGGUUUUAAAAAUCUUCAAAAAAAAUUAGCCAAGUUUUCUGUAGUGGGAUCAUGUUUUUAGAACACAUUGUAAUGUGUUUUUCAAAUUAUUAGAGAAAAGAUUUAAUAUUGAUUAAUACAAAAACUGAUCGGAAAAUAUUUUUUAUUAUUGAACUGAGAAAUUUGAUUGGCGUUGAUUUGGUGUGAAAAAUAAGUUUAUACACGGUAAUGAAUAAUGUGUUUUUAUAUUAAUUAUAUUUAUGUUGAAACUAAUAUCUAAGGUACUUUUAAGAAUAAAACUAAUAUGAUAUAGAUAUAAUAUUUCUCGAGAAAAAAAAAACAAUGACAAGACAGAAAUUAUAUCUCAAGAUUCAAUCUUACAUAAGUUAUUUACACCUAAAUUGGUAUAUAAAAAAAUCAAUUUCUCUAGAUAUUUUUUAAUUAAAAAUGACGAACAGAGAGAAAGCAAAUAAUAUUUUAUGCCGUCGUAGAUUUCUAGACCUUCCAUGCAUGCCCUGUUUCUUGAAAUAUAAGAUAGACUUACAGGGACGUCGGGGAAAGUCUUUGUGGGCUAUGCUCACAGAUUUUAUUUUUCUAUGUGCGUUUGAUUCAUCGAAUGUUUACAGAUGAGAUCUACCGGCUUUACUGUUAAACCUUCUAUCCUUGUACCUAGUGUAUGUUUUUGAUAGCACAAUGCAAAGUAUAUUUUUAAAAUAUUUUUAAUUAAAAUAAUCUUUUUAUAUUUUUUUUAUUUUGUUCUUUACACGAAUAUUUUAAGAUUGGAAUGUUGGGUGCCAUAGCUGUGCCUGACUUCUCCUCCGUGUGCGUUGCUAACCGAAGGUCAGGCCUUGAAUUAUGACCCCAAUUACUUGGUCCAAACUACAAGGGCAAUAUCAUAUAAUUCAGUUUCUCUAAAGUACUAUGAUCACAACUCACAUGAAGCAUCGCAGCAUGGAACAAUUUACUCAACACUUUCACUGAUGAAGAGGAACUGCCCCUCCAAAGUGGAGGCGUGUCCGGUGUUGUUAAAGAUCAAGAAUAAAGUCCACAGGAUCAGUUUUUUCUUACAAAAUUAACUAGCUGUGUUUCAGUUCUAACAGCCUUGUAAUGUCCCAAAUGGAUCCAUGUCCAGAACAUUUCUUGCUAUCUAGCUAAUCCCACUUUGAUUGUCAAUCCAAGGAAAUUGACCCACCAUAAUUUGGCCAUGACCAUUGGCAGUAAAAAAAUAAAUCCAUAUCUGUGUCACUGCCACUAAUUUCUAAGCUUCUAGUCUUUUUAAAUCUGAAAAAAAUCGCAACAAAGACUAGACAGUAACAGCCAAACCCAGACCAAAGCUACAGUUACAGGCAACAAAAAAGAAAGUUAAGACAGUUUAGAGAGAGAUAAAAAUCUGUCUUAAAAAAGAAAGAAAGAAAGAUCAGAGAUCAAAGAAAGAAGAAAAAUGGUGUUUAACAGCUUGAUUGUGUUAUCAGUAGCCCAUAAAUCAGCAGACGUAUGGCAACAAAUAGCAUGCAUGGGGUUCCAAGAUCAAGUGACCAGUCACCAGCUUCUUGAUCUCGUUUGCUGCUUCCCUCUUCAACAACUGGGCCGUUUUUCUCUUUACAUCUGGACUUUCCUGUGCUUGCCACCACCUGAUUCCUUUUUGUCUUCUUACACUUACCAAUCCACAUCAUCAGAUGAUGAUGACCAUCCUCAUCAUUCAUAUGCUCAUCAUCAUCAUGAUCGUGCCUCUUCCUCUUCGUCCUCUGCAGAAGUUGAAUACUUAUACUAUGACUCUGACUGAUUUACUCCAAUUUUUAUCAUCAUUUGUGCACGGUAACUCUCUCUCCCUCUCUCGAUAUAUCUCCCUUACCUUGUAUUAUGUGUUUAAUUUGUUUCUUUUGUUUUGUGGGGUUUUUUUUUUUUUUUUUUAGAUGUCGGGUUUUUUAGGAUUAGUGUUUCAUGAUGAUUUAGUGGAGAUGAUUAUAUGUAGUGACUUUGCGGGGCUUUUUUCAAGAUUCUCUUUUGAUGCUUCAAUCUGGCUUUUCCCCUUUCUUUUUGAUGUUUAUGUGUGCAUGGUUGCAUCUUGAUGAGUGAUGACAUUGUUAAAAGGCUGAGGUCAUAGCCAUGGAGAAGAUUUGAAAAGAAAAGUUUGCUUGUUAUCCUCGGAAUUUGCUGGCUUGUAUGUGUUCAUAUGCCAUACAAAACAUUGAGGGCUAUGUCCGUUUUGGACUUGGAUCUAGUAGGAUUCCACUAAUUGGUGAUUGUUGCUUUUUGUCUUAAACUUUUUUGCUGUGAGGAUGCUGCGCAGAACCAAAGUUGAUUCUUGCCUAUCCAACAUCAUCUUACCUUGAAAGAUUGUUAUAUUCCAAUUCCAAGACGCAAACUUUUCUCUUGAUGUGAAUGAGAUCUUUAUGAGUAGCUGAUCUUCUUGAUGAUCAAUUAGUUGAUCACCUUAAACGUUUUAGUUUACCUAUUAGAGAUAGAAGAUACAUAAUCUAGAAAACUUCUCCACUUAUCUGUUGAUUGAUUUCAUUGGAAGUGCAAUUGUCAAUAAUCAUUGUACUUUCUCAAGUUUUCUGUCGAAGAAGUUUCAUAUUUUACAAAGAAACUUGUUGUAGACUGCUUAGUAUCUUUUCUAUGUAUGCAGAUGUAGAAUUUGUCUUGAUAGAGGACUGGACUAGAUGAUUGUACACACGUUUCAACUUCAUCUGCAACAUCAAAAAAAGAGAGUUUCCAGCUGAGUAAGACAACUAAAGGGAUCUUGUUCAUGUUCAUCUUGUUUGUAUACCAGUCGCUGUUGACAGCGCUAAAUCGUUGUAAGUAGUUUAUUUCUGGUUUUACGAAAUAUCAUAUCCCAUGGUUGUGGUAUAGCUAAGACUACAGGUCCUAUGCAAAAUAUAUGAUAGGCAACUACGUGUACAUAUUUAAGUUCUUGGGAAUCCUUGUUUCGUUCCUUUUGAAUAAUUCUCUACACGUGUGACCAUUACAAAAUUGCGAUCUUGGCCUUAUUUAAUUCAGGUUUUUUUGUGUAUCCUUAUUUAAUCUUGUUUCUAAUUAUACAGCUGUGUCAAAUCUCAGAACUCUUUGGUUAUUGAUAUAAACACUGAUAGAAAUUCUGGUAUGGUCAUAGAUGAUGGGAUAGGAUUUCUAUUCAAGCAAUUGAAAUAAAUCAUGAAAGACUGCAUGAUUGCUUAUAGACUGAGUUGCUUUCAACUAAAUUGUUCUUGGAGAUUAAAUUACUACCAGCCUCACAAAAGAAUUGUGUUGCAAACAGACUUUUUAUAUCAUAUCUCACUUUCAUGUACCUUGUGAACAAGGAAAAACAGAAAAAAUCCCUCGAUGCAUGAAUCUUUUUGCAGCUGUCUGCUCUAUCUUGUGUGUAGACACAAGCAUGACCUUUUAUAAUGUUUUUGUGUACAUCAUUGGGUUUUCAUCUUGUUCUUUUGGCACCUAAUAAGACUAUACUCCCCUUGUUAUCAUCCUGAAAUUUCUCAGUUGUGCAUUUGAUGGUGCAACGAUGUCAGCACCAACUUUUUAAGUGCUCUAUAAGUAUGUUAAACAGACUGCGAGAACUUACACAGGUGGCUAAUCUAUAAGUAAUUUAGCAAAGGUGUGUGUGGUGCAGGCACACGUGCACGUGUGCCUGCAUAGUAAUCAGUAUUGAAGGAUUUGUGAAUUUUCUUGGGGUGCAGAUUGUGUUGUGCUGGUGGAGAAACAAGAGUUUUGCAGAUUCCCCAUUAGAUGGAUGGCAGUGCACAACUAAGAGAAUUUUUCACUUUUUUCUAAUGGCUGGUGAAGUGCUUUGAUGGUAGAGUACUUUGAAAGCAUAUAUGCUAGAAUGCAUUAAUAUGAUUCUAUAUUUAUUAGCCAGUUUUCUACAAGCAGAUCGAUGUAGGAUUUCGAUAUGGUGGGUGAAACAUGAUUCUGACGAUGAUUUUGAGUAGAUGGCUAGAAGAUUUCAUUGGGAAAAUGGGAUUUUGAUGAGAAUUAUCAAGCAGACAUCUUGUUUAGAACUGUAAUUCUUGCCACUCUUGGAUUGUUCAGACCAAAGGAAUGCUGUUGUUUUAGGUUUUACAUGAAUCUGGUGUUGUGUAAGCUUCAUUUUAUUGUUCAUAACAGUUUAUGAUUAAACCAUGCUACAAACUGGAUUCUCUCCGUUAGAAUUCAUAAACAGUUUGCAGGUGCAGUUAAAGCAAGUUGCGUUGCUCCUUCGUGUGCUAUUCAAAUGGAAAACAUUCUCUCUCGAGAAGGGAAGGAACUUGUCUCUUGCCAUUGCAAUUGCUAUCUCUUCCAUAAUCCAUAUGGCUUAGAGAAACAGCAAGAUCAUUGCACUCCACAAAUUAAGAAUCACUGUUCAACACACCCACUCUUUCUGUAAUGAUUUCAUAUGAAUGUGGAAGAUCAUUAAUUACUAUAUGAACUACUAACAAAGAUUGAAGAACUACUCAACCUCAAGCCACUGUUUUAUAAUCAGGAUCGGUCAGUGUAUCUGAAUCAUUGAAGAAAAAAAAUAAAAAAACUAACCUGGUUGACCAGGUUAACCUCUUAACUCGGUUAAUCUAAAUCAAAAUCCAAUCAUUAAUUUAAUUUGUUGAUUUAAAAAUUAUUGGUUUAUUUUAAUAUAUAUAUAUAUAUUGAUCAACUUUUCUAUUCAUUUAAGCCUUGCAUUUAGUAGCGUAUACAGCCCAUUGGUUUUUUGGUAUAAAUUUUAUUUUUUUCCCUAUAGAAUCAUCCAUGAUACACUCUUGUCCUUAUGUUUAAAAUUUUUCAUUGUUACCUUCUAGUUCCCAAAAAUUUCAAGUUACCAGCAACCAUUAGAUAUUCUAUUUCUUUUUUUAUUAUUAUUAUUUUAUAGUUUUUCUUAGCUUCUUAGGUGUUUUUGUGAGUAUUGAACAUACAUUGCUAUUUCUAGACGAAAAUUGAGGGGAAAUAAGAAAUGCUUAGGGAAAUUGACAAAAGGAUUCAGUUGAGAAAUUCAGGAAAUGUUUAGGAUCCAAAUGAUAAGAUAUGCGAGGUUAGGACUCAAUUGUGUAAAUAUAUAGGUCAAGUACUAAAUUGAGAUCUCCCCAAAAUAAAAUGGAUUCGAUCUAAAAAAACCUUUUAUAAGUAAACGAAGCGUUUUCAACACUCUCAUCCAGCGAUAUCUCUCUGGCCUUUGCAUAGGCAGUCACCAAACUGAGCGGUGCCUCUUUCUGACUCUGCUCCUGCUCCUGCUCCGACCUCCGCCGUCCGGCCUUCUGCGUCGGCUGUCUCAUGUGGUGAGUAUUGUUACUACUCCUUUCUUUUUCCUUAACUCGUGUCUAAAGCUAGACUUUGACUUUUGAAGCACAAAAGUGUGUGUGUGUGUGUGGUGCAAAGCUUAUGAACUAACUCCAAUCUAAUCAGAGGUUUGAGAUUUUUAGAUUUUUCAUGUACAUAAGGAUUGUUUCAUCGAAAACACAAUCAGGGUUUUCUUUGUUUGGCUAAAAGCAAUUAAUUGUGUGGUUAAAGCUUAAAUCUUUAUCUUUAUAAAUUGGUUUUCGUCUAUACGUUCUUUUCUUUUUUUUGUAUUGAUAACAAAGCUUUUGAUCACUAAUUAGUAAGUGCAUGUUUGGUAAUGCGUUUGAAAGUGCCUGCUCCCGCUGAAAGCAUCAGAUUGAUGCCUUUUCAAUCCAAGAACACUAUUGCAAAAUAAUUUGUACUUUUGUUCCCAUAUAUACAAAAACAAAAGGCUUGAAUGAGGUUGGUUGAGAACAAACAAAUAUCCAAUGCAAAUGAAUAAUCCAGUGCUUGAGGAAACAAAAUGUUCACCAAUAAUUUUAAUCUGUCAGAAUAUGCUUUUGACAGGUGAUUACAUUGAGGAAGAGAGAUGAAGCUAGGCCUGAGCAGAGCAUGUUUUUAUAGCAGCUGUUCUGCAUCGAUUUUCUCUUCUUCAAUCCCAUCUUUAACGACAAUUAAACCAAAAAUUCCUCUCUUUUUGAGGCCGCCCACUUAUUCAGUAACUUCAUCAGACCUUCAAAAAUGGCAUGGAUGGGCAAAAAGCCUUGCCUCCUCCGUUGGGUCGUCUUUUGUGGAGUCUGAUAAUGGCCCUGACUCCACUCUUCUGUGCCGGGAGCUAAAUUGGCUCCUAGAGGACUCAAUUGAAAACCGCUCCUCCUCCCCAUGCUUUUCCUUUGCCGCUUUUAAAUAUGAUACUUUUGAUGGAAUUGAGAAUGUCAUGUUAAGAAUAAGUUUGGAUGAUCUUUACAAGUUAUGGAAGCAGAGGAUUGAAGAGAGGAGGCCUUUCCAGUAUAUAGUAGGGUGUGAGCACUGGAGGGACUUGGUGCUGAGCGUGCAAGAAGGGGUCUUGAUUCCAAGGCCAGAGACAGAAUUGAUUGUUGAUCUAGUAAGCGAUGCGGUUUCCAAUAAUGAAGAAUUGGGACAAGGGUUGUGGGCAGAUGUGGGUACUGGGAGCGGUGCUAUUGCUAUAGGAAUUAGCAAGAUUUUGAGGAGUUAUGGGAGAGUUAUUGCCACAGAUUUAAGCCCAGUUGCAGUUUCGGUGGCAAUGUUUAAUGUGCAAAGGUAUGGCCUUCAGCAUGUGACUGAAGUAAGGCAAGGAUCUUGGUUUGAGCCGUUAAAGGAUGUUGAAGGACAACUUGUAGGUAUUGUGAGUAAUCCACCAUACAUACCUAGUGACAAUAUCUCUGGAUUACAAGCUGAAGUUGGUAGACAUGAACCAAGACUUGCGUUAGAUGGUGGUGCGAGUGGCAUAGAUUAUCUUCUUCAUCUUUGCAAUGGGGCUGCUGCAAUGUUGAAACCUGGCGGAUUUUUUGCUUUUGAAACCAACGGGGAGAAGCAAUGCAAGUUUCUUGUAGAUUACAUGCAAAAUGACAUUGCAGGAAGCUUUUGUAAUUUGAACAUUGUGUCUGAUUUUGCUGGUAUCCAAAGAUUUGUGACUGGGUUCCGUCAAUGAGCAAGCAACAUAAAAUGUCCCUUUACCAGCCACCAAGGAAGUUGCGAGACAAGUUUUGUCUGCAGUGUAACUAGAUAUAGUAAUAUCUAUGAGAUCAUAAUAUCAUCCUUAUCAGUGCCCCUUUCUCAUAUCAUUGAUGACCGGAAUACAUUGAGAUUGAAAAAUUAAAACUUAUUUGGCUAGUUUGGCAUGAAUGUAUGGAUGUUAUGAGAUACUUUUGCAUGUAGAGUAACCAUACCUUCUCUCCAAAGGUGUGAUUGUUUUUACCUUCCUGCUCAUUUGUUUGUGAGUGUUUGAUCCAUUACAAAACAAAUAAAGGAAUACUGAGUCAAAGGUCUCGAUUGUUUUCGCUUUUACAAAAUCUGAAAAACUGCGUAAGAGUUGCGCUACUUUUAUGAGUUUUGAAUGUUUUAUUUCUCUCAUACUGUUGAUAGAGAUUUAGUUGUUUAAGUUUCAAAUUUAUGAUAGCGCUUUAUCGGCCACCAAAAGGAGCAUACAUGAUGUCUAUCAUAUCUUUGACCCUGACAUAAAAUUGGAACUUCAUGCUUUAAAAUCCUGUAUAAGCUGCUUCACUUUUGAUGCAUCACAUAUAAAGUUCAGUUUUGAUGUUCUUUCAGUAGGAAUGAGCAGUUUACAAGGACCUCCAUCCCUUGAGAGAAAAUGGCCAGAAUUGAAUUCUCCAGCUUGGUCUCUAAACCGAACCACAAAUGUAUCAUUUAUGAUGUGAUCUGAAGCAAACAUUUGAAUCUGAACCAGAGACAUGAAAAAAGAAGUCUGCCUUCUAGACAGUGUGGAAAAUAAAACUCCUCUGCAGGUCAAAAUUUUGAUUUAAAAGGUGGUGAACAUCCAGAACAAGGGGAGGUUACAUUUCAUGGCAACAGAGUAAGCCCUCGAAGGAAAUCAGUGUGACGGGCAUGGUAUGUUGAAAGGAGCCUUGAUACAGAGUUUAUUAAGUCACUAAAACUGUAUUGUACAAACCAAAUAAAAAGGCUGAAGGUUGCCACAGAGGAGGAAGUUGCAGAUUUGAUCAACAGUUGUCAAGACUCCGAUGUUGACGUGACAAAACAGCAUAUUGAAGAGAUUGUGAGGACUUUGGUUUUGGACUAUGCGAUCAUGGAAGUGGAGAGUGAUGGAAUGGCUGAGUUUGCUUCUAUUCCUAUUGGUAAAGUUCGCUGUAAAUGCAUUAGCAAGGAGGGUCUUGAAGGGAAACCAAAAGCAGAGACAGGGGCAUAAGCUUCCAUCCCGUGUGAAUUUUGUCCAUGGAUUAGUCAUUGUACACCUGAUGACAUUCUCUCCGAAGACUAGUGUCUACUACAUGUGGUUGGAUUUUUUAUUUCUCAGCAUAUGUUUCUUACAUUUCUCUCAUUGUUUUGCAGUUUAGAUGUCGAAAGUCUUGUUUUCUGGAUACCAUAUUACCAUUUAUAUAAUAUCUUUUGCAUUUUUUCUGUUGCUCUUUGAGGUCCCCUAAUGCUGUUGCCUGCUGGAAUGCCAUUAAACUUCUUCGUGAUAAAGUUCUUCAGGAAUAGCAGUUCAUGUUAUCCUAAUACAUAAAACUAAAUCCUGUUGCAAUUCCCUUGUCACUCUCAUGUAAUGUGAUGUCAUGAGGAUUUUGCUAAAUACAGAUACCUGUUGCACCUUCCUUCUCUGGCAUUGCUGGAACCAAAACGAUGCUCGUUUGUUACGUUUUACUUUUCUUGCUGUUUUAGCUUCUUUUUAUUUCUUUGAUUGUUAUCGCUAACCAUGCUCUAAAGCAGAUUCACCUUCAUUAUCAUUGCUUUUCUUUUCCGUACAUCCUCCAUUAUCUCUUGGAGAAAGUCAAGUUUGUGAUGCUUUGUGCGUGAUUGAAAUAUUUUAACAAUUAUAGCUGCAAAUUGUUAUCUUUUUCAUCCAUGUGGUAUUCUGAUAGCAGUAUUUUGACAAUUUGGAGUCAUGGGAGAACUGUAUGGAGACCGAGUUUAGGACACUACGCGCAGGCAUUUUGUUCUCGCCUGGCGUAAUUUCCACAGAUGAUCCAAAGCUAAUUAUGAUGGUUGUCCAAUUGCUUGUCUAUGUUCCUGCCCUUCCUGCUUAAAUUGCGUAAGCUGGAAAAAGCAUUACAGAAUGGACAAAAGUAGUUAGUCAAUCUUGGGAUGCUAAAUUAGAUAUUGCAUUGAAGAUGGUGCUGGUUGUUGACUUGGGAGGUUUAGAGGAAUCAUACGCACUCUAGCUUCCAUGGAUCAUCACUCAAAUCAGCCUUGACAGCAAACUCCACCCAAAAGCCCUUAUCAUUAGGUAUCAUCUCAUGAGUUUUGUGUCAAAAUUCCCAGUACAGGUAAAUGCAGAAGAUAAACAUCAGCAGAGCCGUAGACUGGAAAACAUGAACAAGCUAGGAUUAUCCUACAUGCCACGCAUGCAUUCCAUUUGGUUUAGAGAACGAAAAACUUAAUGGCAAAACAUAAAUUAUCUACAUGAACGUGUUCCGAGAAAUUGCAACGAGCACAUUGUAUACCCUCAACUAUAAAACAGCAAGGUUUUGGUAGCCAUUAUUGACAAAUGAUAGAUUAGGGCAAUGAUGUGUGGUAUGGAACAACUUUUUUUCUUUUUGCUGCUAGAAAUGAGAAGCAUGCAUUGCAAGCCCUUCUAAGCUUCCAACGUGACAUUCCAUUUGCGAACGCACGUUACCAAACCAAAAGCAUCAAAAUCAGGUAUGGUGCAAUUCACGUUACCAAACUAAAAGCAUAACAAAUAUGAACUGCAUCGCAGCCACACCCGCUUUCCCAAGCGUGUUCCUAAUCACAGUACUUAACGUUAUCACCAGCAAAAACCCUAAACCAAGAGAGACUAGGCAAUUUACCGAUUUACCGCUGGACCAACCCUAUGUUCAUGCGGUAGGGAGAAAGGUGAAACACCCGGUUAUAUUUUACCCAGAAAAUCAACAGUAUGGACCAAUUAUUCAAGCAAAUACUGGAGAACAACUAGGAGUGGCGACCCCAAACACCAAUCACGGCACAUGUGUCAGAUUAAUGUGGGGCCUUGAAUUUUAUUAUUCAAUAAGAGGGAACAUCAAUGCCCUCCGGGCAGGCUAAGAGCUGACUACUGAAGCACUGCUACUAUUUUUUUUUUUCUAAAGAGAAGAUAGCACAAUCAUGGACAGCAAAAGAAGAAAAAAAGGCCAAUGGCUCCACCUCAUUUCCGUGUUUCUACAUGUCAAUAUAUGCAUGAACCCAUCUUGAAAAAGGCAUCUUUGACGCCUCACCUUUUUUUUUUUUGAAGUUAUAUCCAUGGAGGGCUGCCUUUUCUCACUGAGCUAGCUUUCUAGCUUUUUGCUUCGUGUGGUGCUGGGUGCCAAAGCUUUGCUGACUUCUCUUCUGUGUGUUUCCUCUUAAAGAUUUAAGCCUUAAAUUAUGGCCCUAUCAAUGCCCAAAUUAUAAGCGCAGAUAUCAAAUAAUAUUCAAUGUAUCAGACAGAAUCAAGAGGGAAAAAUAAGAAAUUAAAGAGAGUCCAAACCCUUUGUAUUUAUCAUAAACCAUAAUGAUUCCUUGACCUUUAUAAGCAUUUGGAAUAUUUUUUAAGCAUAAUUUACAUUAUUAUUUGCACUCAAUAAUAUAAUAAAAAAAAACUACUUCUAAAUCACCAAAAAUAGAAAAAGUCCCCCUAUUUAAAGUAGCUGAAGAGCGGAAAUAUAAAUAAAACUUAAAUUAUCUUAUAAAAGAAUUCAUUGUUUCAACUUGGAGACAGUCAUAUUUUAAUGUGAAUUUCUACAAUAAAAUUAUUGUUUUGCCCGCGUGGAAACACGUGCCAGCCUCUUUAAUUAAUUUAUUGAUAUUUUAAAAAUAAAAUUUACUAAAUAGAACUCAAGAGCAUAUGAAAACACUAGAACGCUCUCCCAAGCAGCCUUAUUUUUGUAGUCAAAAGGUUGUAUAUGCAAUUCAACUGUUAAAAAUAAUGUGCAAGGACAAGAAAUCAUUUUUUUGCAAGGUCAAUGAUUUUUAGCUUUGAAGGGUAGAGUCGAUAAUUAACUAUGCAAUUUAAUUGGAAAAUACACAAAAACCCCUAAAUCAAAAGUCAAUAUUUUUUUUUUAGCUUUUAAAGUGGAAAAAUAUUUUAACUGUAAAAUUAAAAAAGUAAAUAAUUAAACUGCCCCAGUUAAUAUGCAAAUGACAUCCGGAUAGCCUGGCUGACUAUGAUAUAAUCCAUAUUGCUUUUGUAUGUAUUUUUGUGGUGUAGUUAUUACUAAUUCGAAAAAACGUAAUGGACCAAAGGGAAACAACAGCAACAUGUCCAAAUACUUAAUUGAUGGGAAAUUGAAAAGUUCGCCUUUUUCUUUCAUUAUUUCAAAUAAAAACAAACCUCGAAGAGUCAUGGAUGUGUGUGGGGUGUGAUAGCAACAUUGGCUAUUUAGAUGGACGGUGAUCUUGUAACUAAACCCAUAAUAGCGACAUUUCCUCUAAUUAUUUCAUUUUUUUCAUCCUCAAACUUAUUUCACGGUGAAUUUUUGUGUUUUUAAAAUAAAAAAUAGAUACAAACAUGUUUUUAUUAUUUUAAAACAACAAUCAAGUAUCAAAAAUAUUAUUGGCGAAUUAAGCUAUAAUAUUUGUUAAAGAGCACUAAUUUACACAGGGGAGAAGAGGGAUACAACAUAAAUGAACUUUAUAAAGGGGGACCAAUCACACACAUGUAAAUUGUAAUUGCGGAGGGAGUGGGGCCGGAAUCAUACACAAAUCAAAGAGAUGAUGAUGAUGCGUGCAGGGAUGGCCACGUGCCAUGUCAUGGAAAUGAACAAAUGAGUCAUGUAACUACUGACAGAGAUGCAAAACAGUCCCUGACACACACUCACAGGGGCCCACCCAUUCCAUGGAUCUGUGAUGCAAGCAGACAGAAACACACAGCAAUACACAUGUAUCGUGUAUCCGUGCAUGUGCUUCACUCGCCUGUGUACAAGACAAGGUUUGUUCAUCCUCCUCGUGUAAAUUUCAUCAUCGUCGACUGGAUAACAAAUAAUUCCUUAAAUUUUACAAGAAUUUUAAUAAAUAAAAAGGACUAGAGAUGUAAAUUUUACAAUCUUAUUAUCUUAAAUUUAAAUAAAUGGCGGUAAUAUCAUCAAGAAGUCUAUAAAAACCUUUAAAUAGGUUGUAAUAACUUACCUCGAUUAGAAAAUAAUAUAAAAUCUAAAAAUUUGACAAUCUUAUUAUCUUAAAUAGGUUCUCUUGAAUUUGAACAUUGACUAGUAGUUUAUAAGAGUAAUCAUUUAUAUAUAAUCUAAUCGUAGACUCAGUGAUCAAAACCUUCAUCUCCUGCCGUUCUCGCAACAUUAGCCGGUUUUAAUUAUGACAAUUAGUUGAUAAAGUCAUAAUUUAAUGUUUAAUAACAAUAUUGGUUGGUACGGUUGCUUGAUGAUGACCUGGCCACCGUUUUCCCAUUGGAUUCUCUUUUCUUUCGUCCUUUUUUACCUUCACUACUCAAUCCUCUUGUUCUAUUUUCUUCCAUUCCAUUUCUGCCCUGGUUUCCUCGUCACGUGUGCCGUUUACUCACGGGUGCCUGAUUUUUCAAUUUUCACCUCUUUGCACGAGUCUGUUACACGUGUACGGACCCUGAUGCCGCCACACGCUCUACGGCCUCCACACCAUUGCGUUUGAUUUCCCGGUACACGUCACUUCGUUUGUGUACUAUGAUGUGUAGUCGACCCGGUUACUUGCUCAUCCCAAACUCAACUCGGACCGAAUUUCUUUAAUAAAUUAAAAUUAAUACACUGCCAAACAUGCACUUUUAACCAUUACCUUUCAGUGAGGCAUAAUUUUUAUAGUUUGUGGAAGGAGAGUUUUUUUUAAAGUACAUUAUGUUUGAAAAUAUAUUAAAAUAAUAUGUUUUAAAUAAAUUUUUAAUAUUAAUAUAUUAAAAAUAUAUAAUUUUUUCAAAAAUAUGAAAUAAAAAAAUAAAGAGCUAUAUGAUAUAACGAGUGGCGAUUGUGUAGUUAAAAAUGAGGGGCGCGUGAGGGAAGUGAAGGCGUUAAAGAGGACAUAGCAGCUACUGCUCACUGCCUUGGUGGGGAGAAAACGAGGGGCUGCAGGCAGGGAGGACUCUUUCCUUGGGAAGAAGAAUCCCUGUUUGGUCUCUCUAAUUAGUAAUUACCAUAAAUUGCCACCUUCACUGUUAUCAUUUAAGAAUUACCGCCCAUUCAAAUAUUUAUCCGUUGGGUGCGAAAAUGGAGGUGGCAGCGCAAACGGACAAACAAGGUGCCUAUUUAUCUUUAUCUAUUAAUCUUUAAAAACAAAUAAAUCAAUUUAAUGUUUAUUUGUUGUUACAGUGUAUUUUAUUUUUUAAAAUAGUAUUUUUUAUUUUAAAAAUAUAUUAAAAUAAUAUAUAUUUCCAUAAUUCGAAAAAAAAUCAAAAACAUUUUUAAGAGAUAAAAGCUUAAUAAAAUUUCGGACUGGAAUAGUAAAAGGGUAAAAACACAACACGUCACAUCACCUCACCUCGCAAAGGGUGGGGUGCCACUGAUUCUAGCAUGGUCAAGUGCAAUCACUCCCUUGUCUUGGCCCUUUUAAGUUUACCUCAUACCUGGGAUUAAUUACCACUACUCCCCUAAAGUUGGAUUCUAUGUGUUAUUCCUUAAAUGAGAUUUUAUUGUCGGAAAAAAAAAAAAGAGCACAGGUAGAGACGAAUGUCGGGGGUGUCUGGAAGUAUUUUUUAUUUAAAUAUAUAUUAAAAUAAUAUAUAUAUUUUUAUAUUUUUAUAUUUGUAUAUCAAAAUUAUAAAAAAAUACUUAAAAUAAAUUAAUUUAAAAUAAAAAUAGUACUUUUUUUAAAAAAACCCAAUCAUACUGUAAUAACAAAUAGAUUUGAAGUGGAUGCUUGUUACCACGGUGCACCGGAAUAAAAACAUGAAAAUCAUGUUUUUAUUUUGUAUUUUUUAUGUGUGGUUUCAAAUGAAGAAAAACGCAAUCCGAUACGUGUAAAACGAUGAGAACAUGAUAUAUAUAUAUAUAUAUAUAUUAAAAAUAUAUCUUGUUUAAAAAUAUAUUAAAAAUAAUCAAAUAAUCAAAAAUUAAAAAUAAAUUAAAAACAUUUUAAAAAACAAAAGCAAAUAUACUCUUACCAUGCAGCCAGCCCAAUUUCAGCGCUCCAAUGCUGAAGCUAGCGAGACAAUUGACAAUGCCUUGUUUUGUGUUUUGAUGCUUUGGAAAAUGUAAAUUGAGGGGUCGAUAUUGCAUGCAGGAGUGCUGAAAUUUGAACUCAAAUUUGCUAGUGGGAUACUGGGUGUUUGUGUAGUUUGUACUUUGUAGAUGAAUGAUCAAAUAAAAGAUUUUCAUGGCAUACUGUAAAGAAAUAAUACUCUUUCAUGUGUGUGCUUUUAUAAAUAUGAUGUUUUAUUGUGUAAUAAAUCAGUGAAGGUUAUGAUAGAUAGACAUUUCUAGUAGAUUUUUAUAAAAAGAUAGCAAUUUACACUUGAAAUUUAAUUUAUCAUUUAUAUUAAUUCUCUUAUAAUUUUAUUCUUUUAAUUAAUAUUAACAUUUGUUAUUGCUGGGAUAAAAUUGAAUAAACAGCUAUUCAGUUAAAUUUAAAAUAUAAUUAUUUAAUUAAUAGUUAAUAAUGUCAAGCUUAUAUCAACUUAAUGUCCCAAGUAAAAAAAAAAAACAAAUAUGUUUUCUUUUCUUUGUUUUUUUUCUUGUUCUUUACUAUGUUUAAAUGAUUCGGAUAUAUCUUGGUUAUAUUGUUUAUGUACAAGAUAUAUAAAUAUUUUUAAAAAAGCAUUAAAUACUUUUUAUAUUAUUCAAUUAUCAAACAGUUUAUUUAAGAGUGGGGUUGUCUAAAAGCCACACUCUUGCAAUUUUUUGCAAUAAAAACAACAAUGACCAUGUUUUUACUUAGUUUUCCACUAGAACAACAACAUUUUUUUAUAAAUGGUGCCGAACCCCAACAUUUUUUUUAUAAUGUUGAAUCCCAACACCUUUUUUUUCUUGUGUUUAGUGGGUUGUUUCUAGAAUUUCAAGGCCACUAUGCCCUUAAAACUUGACAUGGACCGUGGGUUUAUUUUAUUUUUUACAAAGAAAUCAACAUUAUGAUAAGAAAAGAAGAAUCCUUGUCGAGGAUAUAUAUAUAUAUUAGCAUUAAAAACACGAUCGUGGACGGGACGGCAAGGUGUCUGUAAACGAUACGAUUCUCUGGGAUGUAUCGUUGUCCACAAUAAAAAUGCUUUGGAAUAUCUUUUCCCCCCUCUCCUUCCUUAUUGGAUUCCGUUAGACAAUGGUUAAAUAAAUACACGGAAUGUUAUGUGCGAGAACAAUGCCGCUUUUAAUUAGUAUUUCAAGAUAAAACGUACAGAGACAAAACAGAGUCAGAAAAAUAUAUAUCUAGGAGCAAGAGAACUCUCGUUUUCAAAGUAUCUUUUUAUUUUAAAAUAUAUAUUUUUAUUAUAUAAAAAAUUCAUUUUUAAUAUGAGCAUAUAAAAACUAUAUAAAAACACAAAAACUAAAUAAAUUUGUAACGAGAGUAAAAGGGGCAUGAGAUUACCAUGAUCAAGUGCUUACUUCCCCAAAACUCAAUCACGCCACCAAUAACCACGGUAACAUUUGUAAUGGAGUUGCUUUCUCCUGCCAUAAAGUCAUACCAUUGAAUAAACUAUAUAUUAUAACAUUGUUUUCCACAUGAAAAAUCAUUAGAUUGAUGAUUGUAAAAUCACAGCAAAACCACUGGGUUCCCCGCUGCCAUGGAGUGCAGAGGGGAAGGCAAGAUUGAGUCUAACCAUACGUUGCCCACUACAUUGACCGCUCAACGAACUAAUCAAUCCCCCCUCCCUUCAUUGGAUAGAGGCAUGUCUUCCGUCGCCAUAUCAUUACUCCCCUUGAAUUCUAUCCAUCUCCAGCAAGUUAUGAGUAGAGAUUACAUUUUAUUCUAAAUUGCAUUAAGAACCUGAAUUUCUAAGAGAUUACAACAUCAAAUACCCUGAAAAAACUGUUUUUUACUACGAUCAACCAACCGCGUGGCUCAGUGCAUCAACAAACGAAGAGAUACGUCUCUUACAAAUCCAAUGAUUAAACUUUCAGAAAGUGGCCUUUCAAAAAAGAAAAGGGAGAGAAUUAACGUUAUUCCUUCUUCACAUCAGCUAAGAAAUCGAUUCGAUAUAUCUGAAGAAAUUCGCGAGUGGGGGUAAUUUUGAACGAAAAGUGGGGCAGAAUGGGGAAUCAAAAAGGGGGUGUCCCGAAAAGCAGGCUUUUAAAAAAGACAAAGGAAGGUCAAUGUCCCCUUUUCUCCACCGCCACCCAAAAAACCCUGUAUAAUCCCUGUUUUGCCCCUCGCUCUUAAAUUAGAAAAUAAGCACAAGGAAUAAGUCAAGAAAACUAAAAAAAUACAUUAUUCCUCAAUAUAGACCAGUGGUGGAAAUUGGAAAGCCAGAGUGGGGGGUUGAAGCUAUAUUUGUUAAUGGGAUAGGGAAAAGGGACAGAGUUUAUUAAUGAAAAACAGGAGAGAGAGAGAGUGACAAGAAAGGCGAGAGUUUUUUAGGAGAGAGAAAAAGAAAGAAAGUUUUUUUUUUUUUUUUUUUGUUUUUAGAGAGAGAGGUGGGCUGAGUUUAAUUGGAUUUCUUUUUUGUUGGAAACAGAGCACAACAAGGAGAGACCCACUUCGAAGUUAAGUGGGUAGCUAGGGGGGGCGUAGGAUAAGCAGAAGCUGAAGAAGAUAACCUAGAGAGUUUGAGUCUUUCAAGCUCCCUUCACAUCCUCUAUCUCUUACUUGGUAGUGUAGUAGUGGUUGCUGCUAUGCUUAUGCUUUAACCUGCAUCAGAGGGGCGUAGGACAAGGGAGAUUUUGCUCUGGUUCUUUCUGGGUUUCUUUUGUUUUUAGUGAAGAUGGGUUCUUGCGGAUGUGGUGGUGGUGCUCAUUUCAGCAGAAGCAGAGUGUUGGUUUUGCUUUUUUGUUUAUUGGGUUUGAUUUCACUAUCUUGCGCUGCUAGAUUGAGUGUGUCAAGACAGAAACUUGAGGUUCAAAAACACCUGAACCGCUUAAACAAGCCAGCUGUUAAAAGCAUUGAGGUACCUUUUCCCCUCUCCUUGAAGCUCUGUUUGGUUACUGAGAAAGUGAGGGAAAAUGUGUUUCUAAAGCUGUGUUCUUUUCUCUCUGGUUGCUAAAUGGUGUAAGAAGUUAGCUCAAGUUAAGCCUAAUAGUGGAUUUAUGGGGUUAGCUUCUACACUUAUUUUCUGUCGGUUUCUUGCAUUUUCUCAAUGCUAAAAAAUGGGUAAAGAAAGUAGUGUUUUUUCAUUAAAUCUCCUUUUUUUGUUCUGUGAUGGCCAUCAAAGUUCUUGAUUUUUUUUUAAAAUUAUAUUGUUUUGAAACAGCAAUGAUGUUUUAUACAAUUUUCCUCCUCCCUUUCUUUCUUUCUCUCUCCGUAUAAUGAUGCCCUUUUUGGAGAGUUAUUGAAACAGUAAAGAAAGCAACAGAAGCAAGAAUUUACUCAAGACUGCAAAUUUUAAUUGCUUUUGGUACUUUACAUUUUUCUCAGCAACCAAGCAAAACAUAAAUGCAAGUGGGCACUGUGGUUUCUCUUGUUCAUGUACAUGUGGACUCAAGACCUCACUGAUACACUUAACUCCUAGCAUGACUUGGUAAUUUGUUGGGCUGGCAAACUCGGGGUAUUACUGCAAGAUUUCUCAUUAUCUCUCUUUUGAUGGCUAUACAGAGUCCAGACGGGGAUAUAAUUGACUGUGUUCACAUGUCUCAUCAGCCAGCUUUUGAUCACCCCUACCUCAAAGACCACAAGAUUCAGGUCGAUCUUCUUCAGUCACUACUUCAAAGUUUAUCCCCUUUUCAUGUUUUUGGUUUUUGCUGUUACUGAUUUUAUGUUUUGGGUUUCUUUUUGGUUAAUUAGAUGAGACCUAGUUACCAUCCAGAAGGGCGGGUCUUUGAUGAUAGCAAGGCUUCUACAGAAUCCAAAGAAAGAAAAAAUCCUGUCACUCAGCUGUGGCAUGUGAAUGAUAAAUGCCCCGAGGGUACUAUACCCAUUAGAAGAACAAAGGAGGAUGAUGUUUUAAGAGCUAGCUCUGUGAAAAGAUAUGGCAGGAAGAAGCACAGAGCCAUCCCCCAGCCGAGGUCCGCAGAUCCUGAUCUCAUCAAUGAAAGUGGCCACCAGGUAAAGUUUCUUGCUUUUAUUCCUUUUAUACUGUAUAUAUUUAUUGAAAGCUAUGUUCAAGUAUCUUUAGCGAUCCACUUUGUUGAUUAUGUCAUGCUCUAUUUGUUUCAAAUGCUCAUUUUCCUGUGGCAAUUUCUUUGGGGUGAUUAGCAUGCAAUAGCUUAUGUGGAAGGGGACAAGUACUAUGGUGCAAAAGCAACCAUCAACGUAUGGGAACCCAAAAUUCAACAACCUAAUGAAUUCAGCUUGUCUCAGCUGUGGAUAUUGGGAGGUUCCUUUGGUCAAGAUCUCAAUAGCAUUGAAGCUGGUUGGCAGGUAUUAUCCCAACUAGUUUAAUCCUACUUCAUCUAUACUGGCCAGAAAGAAUUGAACUUUAUAAUGGAGACCGUACAUCUUCCAUUAUUUUAAUGCUUGCAAUGUGAAUGAAAACAGGUUAGUCCAGAUCUGUAUGGUGAUAACAACACAAGGCUCUUCACCUACUGGACUGUGAGCUUCUAAUCCUGUCAUUCCUUCAAUCAAUCUUAUAAUUUUCAUGGAUUAUUAGCGAAUAGAUUUUACUCAGCUGUUUUUCUUACGCUAAUAUCACAGAGUGAUGCAUAUCAAGCCACGGGUUGCUACAAUCUCCUUUGCUCAGGCUUCAUUCAAAUCAACAGUGAGAUUGCAAUGGGUGCAAGCAUCUCUCCUGUUUCUGGCUUCCGCAAUUCCCAAUAUGAUAUUAGUAUACUUGUCUGGAAGGUAAAACCCAAGGCCCUCACAUUCACAUUCAGCCCAAAGUCGAAUAUCUAAAGACCAAGUCGUUAGUAAGAUUUUCAAUAAAUAGGAGCCAAAGAUAAUAUUAGAGUAACAGAUGCUCUGAAUGGUUCAAAUUUAUGUGAAGAUGCAUCUUUGGCCAUAUUAGAAUAUACUUUCAUGUAUAUAAUAGAGGCCAGAGUGUCAGAACAUCAUUGUGGUGCAGGUGCUGAGAAUCUUUUGGCCUUAUCCUUUGAUCAUUGAUUUUCCAACUCACUGAAUUGAUAAGAGGACAUUGAUACAGAAAUAAUAGAUGUCAUUUACCUUCCAAGGUAGUGCUUGAGGCAUGGCUUCUACUGUAGCUAUAUAUUCUUACUGCCUUGCCCAGUAGGCCUCUGCUGCACCUAUUCCCUAUCUACACUGUUGCUCGCUGAAGCACCCAUUUAACUUGGUUAUUUUGGAACUUCUGCAGGAUCCAAAGGAGGGGCACUGGUGGAUGCAAUUCGGCAACGACUAUGUGCUGGGUUAUUGGCCUUCUUUCCUGUUCUCAUACCUAGCAGACAGUGCUUCCAUGAUUGAGUGGGGAGGUGAGGUGGUGAACUCAGAGCCUGAUGGUCGGCACACCUCCACUCAAAUGGGCAGUGGUCGUUUCCCCGAGGAAGGGUUUGGUAAAGCAAGUUACUUCAGGAAUAUUCAAGUUGUCGACUCCUCGAACAAUCUCAAGGCCCCUAAAGGGAUUGGCACCUUCACUGAGAAAUCUAACUGCUAUGAUGUUCAAACUGGCAAUAAUGGGGAUUGGGGCCGUUACUUUUAUUAUGGGGGACCUGGUAGAAAUGAAAAUUGUCCAUGAAGUAAAACACCCUCCCAUUUUCACCCCCAACACAUUCUCUCUCCCUAUGUAUCAUUCAACCUAGUGCAAUGCCUCUCCCUCUCUUGUAUACCUUUUUUUUUUUUUUUUUAGUUUUUACUAUUAGGCUGGGUUACUAAACAUGUGACAUCUCUGAAGCGGGAAGUUUUGACUCUUGUUUUUUCACCAAGAUUCUCCUUGUAAGUGGCUUGGGGAAGCGGCCAAGUUUCUCAAAAAGCUAAAAGAAACAGGCCUUUGUUUGCGCUCUCUGUUUUUCAAUUUGUUUGUUAACACUCCUUGGAGUGGCUUGUUAAUGAAUGAAUCAACUUCUCUCCUAUCUUGCCCCCGCAAAAUAUUCAAGUUUGCCACAUGUUUCUCUUUGUUCCUCCACUUUAGAAUACAAAAGUAGAGAAAUGAAGGGUGGAAAGGACUAGGGAGCUGUGAGGGUUGGAGAAUAUUCUCAUUCGAGGAAUAAAAAAAAACAGGAAAAAGAAAAGAUUAUCUGGAUGGUAAGUGUUGCUUGUGAGUGGAUGAAUGGCAGUGCACGUUUCAUGGCGUCCCUUUACUUUUUGUAAAGAGAGCUCAACAACCCAGCCAUCUUCACCUAAAACUGACCAGUUAAGUAGUGAUAAAUUGCUUUGCCAAUCCUUCAUUCCUCGGAAUGCAUGACAGGUUCUUCCAUUUUCUUAAUGGCUUCCAGUUAAAGAUACCUUAAUGUAGAGCAUAUAAAAUAAGAUAGAUUUUUCAAGAUCGGAAUGAUUAAUUAAUGAAAUGCUAAAAUGUCAUUUUCUGCCAACAACCUAGAAUGUGCAGGAACACAUGGACUGCGAGCCUUUGAGAUGGGGUUUGCCAUGUGAAAAGAGUGGAGAAUGUCAGUGCUCAGAUUCAUCAUUCAAGGUCUUUUUUUAGGGUUGAUUAAGAUUUAAGAACUGCCAAGAAAUCAAAGUGAGAAUUAUCAUACAUGGACUUUUCAAACUAGAUCCAGCUGCUCCAAGACAAAUCCCAGGUAAAAUAUUUCAGCUGUGGCUAGAGAACAACCCAGGGUUUCCCACAGCACUGUUACCAGUCAAGAAAUCUUGUUCAAAACCACAAACAUGCAUUCCACAAGAUAUCCUUUUCUCUUUUUUGAACAAGAAGAGAUAACUCCAUGCUGACCAACUCCAUAGUUGAUAGACUGUCAACAAAGUAGCAGUAUCUACAAUGCAGAAGCAUGGGAUUACCAGAUCUAAGAUCUAUCAAGUAUGGAUGAAGAGAGUUGUAUGUGUGCGCACUAAAAUGUACUCAAAAACAGUCAACUGCAGAAUCUGGCUUCAUGAUAUCACAUAAGUUGCUCCUUUAAAAGGUAAUUAAGGUGAUCUCUUCAACUGAUUUUUCUUCUCUCUUUGGGCUCGCUCCAAGAAAAAACAAGUGGUUAAGCAUAUUCUUCAUGAAAAUUAAUUUUUUUUAUAUUUUUAAAUUGUUUUAAAAUAUUAAUAUCAAAAAUAAAUUUUAAAAAAUAAAAAAUAUUAUUUUAAUAUAUUUUUAAAUAAUUUUUUUUAUAAAAAAAAACAGCCGGCAACUGAUUCCCAACAUCCUAAACUAUCUUUUAAGUGCCUAAAAUGGAAAGUGACGAUGGGAAAUUUAUUUAUCUAGUGACUCGAAGUGUGAACAUUGGCAAAAAAAAAUGAAAGAACGUAAAAGACAAGAUGGGGCCUUGGACCCCUUUUGUAUCCCAAAAAAAAAAAAAAAAAUAUCAUCACAGAGCAACCGCAGGCUGCAAGAACAUGACGGGGACCGGCUGGACCAGAAAUCAGCUGCAGCAAAAAUUCCAGGCAAUAGGCCGGUGCUGAAGGCCUCACGCGAGGAGGAUUUCUCGCACCUAUAGAUCGGCAACCAGAGAGUUUUUCUUGCGGGAAUUGUACUGUAAGAAAAAGGAACAAUCGUACAAGUAAAAGGAGAAGGAAAAUCCAGAAAAAAGAAGCCUAUCAUGUGGCAGAGACAGAGCAUUGAAUCCAGCAACUCAACCUGAAAAAACUAGUUCUCUGAGUUGAGGAGUUCCGAGUUCUCUUCCUGAGUUUUAUCAUAAAACACUCCCAGCAACGAUACAUAAUGCAUAAAUGAUAAUGAUUGUCCACUGAGAAUUAACUUGGAAAAUAAUUAUAAUUUAAGAAGCUGAAUAAAAAAAAAACAGAAAGAAAUUAAAUGAACACACUCAUUAAUGUUUUAUAAAAAAACUACUGAUAAUCAAGUAAUAUCAUUAAAUCAAAAGUACAGAGUGAGAAACAGACACGAUUUUUUUUUGUUUAUUUAUUUAUCUGAAACAGCGCCUCUGAAUCAAACAGACCGUAGGCUGGGUCAUCAUCUGGCCGAAGACAUGGACACCACUAUAUUAUUUGCCUUUUAAAUUUCUCACCACUUGCAGAACCCAGACCUGCACGUCCCAUUUUCAGCUAGCUUGGUACUCGCAUCAGACUUGAUUUUCACGUGCCAAGGCCGGAACAGGGCCGGAACAGAGGACUUCACUGCACAGAUUGCGAUCGGGAUAGUUUUGAUGCCAUUUAUGUCACAACAAUAAAACUGGAAACUCAUCUUCAUUACUUUGGAUUGAAAAUAUAAUUUUAUUUAAAGAGAAUGAACACAUUUCGACUAAAAAAUUUAAAAUUUUGUUGAUUUAUUGGUAACAGUAUUCGACGAACCAAGAACAAUUAAGGUUAUUCUGAUCAGUUAAAGAAGGGAAGGUUCAGAGAAAUGCCAGAAAGUGGCCAUCGUUUUCUUUUCAAACUCUCUGUCUCUCCCCAUUCUGCAGUAGCUAGAGGCUUUAAGCUAUCAUUCAAUGUUGACCAUGCUGCUUGAAUCUACCAAUAUUCAUCGUCUUCUCUAACCUUACUCUUACCUAUUCAAUGUUGAAUAUGCAGGGCUGGUCUUUCAUGCAUGGGGGCAUUCUGCAUUGAAUACCAGGUCGAUAACCAGCUCCUAUCAUUAAAUCCUUAAUUCUCACCAUAGUUCAAGAUCCUCAACAACUCUCAUUUUGAACAUUAAAUCAUGUCAAGUUUUUAUCUUUCAACGAUUCUAAUCAUUCCGAGUAUCCUGCAUGCAUAUAUUUGCUGGAAAGUGCUCCAAGAUGGCGAUUCUGAAUGGUGUUCUGGUCGAGAUGUGCUUUAUUUUCUCUCCAUCGCUUUUGAUUCAUGAAAGUUUCUGUGUUUUGUUUUUAGUAUAUUAAUUAAUCAAAUACUUUUAAAAUUAUAAUAAAAACAAACACAAUUUCAACCGAUCAUGUGACCGUACAUUCAUCAAAGGUCUGUUAACUUAAAAUUGCAUCUUUUCCUAGCACUUGAAAAUUAGUAAAUAGAUUGACUGUUUACAUACAUCCCUUACUGCCUAUACGAGACAAGAAUAUUUAUACACACAUCAUCUUUGAAGAAUCUUUAUGGCACCCAUGUUUAAAAUCAAACUUGUUAUUACAUCUAUGAAUGUAGAUGUACACUUCUUGGAAAAGAAUUCAAUGACGAGAUUUGAAUUCAAUGCAUUUAGGCUAAAUGAAUAAUUUUCUUGCCAUUUAAACGAAUCCCUCCAUAACCGACUUAUGAUUUCUUCGAUAAAUUGGAAAUGAGUUACUUAUUUUCAACCUUUUUUUUCAAUGCAGUAGAUGGCGUUUAUUUAUUUUUUAUUUAUGUUUUAAAAAUAUAUUUUUUAAAAUUAUUAGUUUUAUGUAUUUAAAAUUAUUUUUUAAUGUGUUUUCAGAUCAUUUUGAUAUAUUGAUAUUAAAAAUAAUUUUUUUUAAAAAUAAAAAUAUUAUUUUAAUAUAUUCUAAAAAAAAAUAAUUUAAAAAUCACACUUCCAAAAAUAUAAUUAAAUAACAUAUAAGACAAACUAUCCUUAUCAACUUAUGUUUCAAGAUUCAUGUUAUAUAUAAAGAAAUUAGUUUGACAUUAAUUUUAAGCAAAGCAACAAAUUAAACUUAAUCCUAUUACAUCACCAUCCAACUCCAAAUUGGGAUUUGGAUUUGCAAGAGAAUUUUCACAGCCAGGUUUCAUCACAUGACUGCCUAGUCAUCUUGGUUCUUGAGUUGGUCACAAGUCUUUUUCUAUUUAGAAUUAAAAAAAAAAACCAUCCCAAGAUUCUUUACCUCAUUAAAUAAAUCAAGCUUUGAAAACACAAAUUCUCUGCCUACUAAAUUAAGAAAAUUACUUCCCAUGACAACAAAACGACCCUCAAAUAUUAAAAAUAAAUUUAAACAAAAUAAAUAAAUAAAAAGCACCUUUCUUUUUCCACAUUCAGGUUAAUUGUCUGCGAAAUCAAACAAGCAUGUGCUCCAUUGAGACUCUCGCACCCAUCCUCAAUCCAUAGCAAGUGAGACUCACUAACCCUCAUUUCAAGCCAUGACUGGCGAGUGCAAUGCACUUGCUUUUUCUGAGAUUGGGCAUGGUUCAUAUUCAGACAGAAACAUAGCUGUUAUUUUUUUAACCACUCUACUGCCUUUACUUGUGCUUUCCAGUCUUCUUGUCUUGUUUUUCUCUUUCUCUGUCUAUAGACUCAUACACUCUCUCUCUCUCCAGAGAGAGAAACAAAAAAAAAAAGGAAGAAAACACCCAUCUUUUUUUCUUCACAUUCCACACAUAGCAAUAGGGUUUUUUUUAACUUUACUCUCUCCCUCUCUCUCCCCUUCCCUGGAGCUGAGAGAUCCUCAAAGAAGAUAAAACCCAAUCAAUCAAACACCAGACAAAACUUACCAAAUCCUAAAGUGGCUGUAACAUUUCCCACCUUUUUCAUCUUCUUCACCUGUAUAGAAGCAACAAAACCCUAGCUAGAGCUCAAUUAUUUGAAGACCCUUUUGAAUUUAUGAUCCAUUAGUACUCCAAGAUGACAGUUUUUAGAUGAAUUAAGGAUAUGAUGCUGUUGCCCAUCAAGCUCAAUUCACUCUACUAGGUAAAAAUCCCAUUUUUCUGCACCCUACAUUGGUUUUCUUCAUGCGGGUUUCAAUUCUUUUCAGUAUGGUUAUGAUUUUUUUUUUUAUAAUUCUGGUACUUUAUUUAUGUUUCCAUGUACGUAGUUAAAACCCACUUAAUUCCCUCUUUCAUUAGUGUUCUCCAUUUUGGGCAAUACGUUUUAUUUAAUUUUUUUUCUUUUUGGCUCACUGUUCCUUUUUUUCUGUGCGUAUUGUGAAAAAUUGGUGUUGGUAUUUAUGCAUGUGGGUGUGCAUUAGGUUGGAGAGUGGAGCCAUGGAAGGCGACCAGCACGGGAUUGUACUGGCCUGUGCUAUUUCAGGGACCCUUUUUGCCAGUUUGGGUUUGGGUUCGUGUUGGAUUCUAUGGGCAGUGAAUUGGAGGCCAUGGAGGAUUUAUAGGUAAUUCUGGAUGGGCAACUUUGGAAACUUCUUAUUAUCUUAUUACCAGGCUUGCCAGAAUGAUUGAAGUACAUAAAUUUCAUGUGGGGCUUUAUAGCAAGUAAUAAUUUAUGGUUGAUUAUUAGGAUUUGAGGUUGCAUCAUAUAAUAUAAUAUGUUGGAUUGUAAUUCAGAUUGUGGUUUUAAUUGUAGCCUUAAUGUGGUUCGUUAAAUAUGUCAUUAAUUGAACAUCAAGGCUUCAUUUGGUGUGUGAUUGAAAAGUAGUUGGUUGUUUUUGAUUAUCAGGAGAUGUACUAUGGAACAGAAAGGCGAUUUAGCCGGUUAUUUAAGUAAAAAGUUUUCCUCUUAUUAAAAAUGAGAAUUUUUUUAUAGGUUUAGAGAAAAUGAAAAUAGAGAGCUCUCCACAGCUUUUUGCACUAUUUUUUUUCGUGGAUCUGCAAAUGGCUCCACUAAAACUUUCUGAUACAUCAAUCUUGUAUCUUUAAAGUGCCCUUCAGCCUCAAUCCUUAACUUGUUUCCUGUUUCCGUAGCAUUGUUGAUAUCUGGGAACCUAGAAUGACAUGUGAAUAGAGGUGGAAUUAUGAUCAGUAAACCAUUCAUGUUCCUCUGCUAUAGAGUUUCUUUUUCUUUGUGUCCAUGUUUAGCCUUCACUUGUGUACUCUUUUAGUUUCCCUAUUUUCAGCUUAUUUAUGAAGUCAAUGUGUUAUACUAUAAAAACAUGUGUACUCUGUUUAUUGGAUUCUGUCCUUUUUACAUCAUCUGAUCCUUGGUUGACAUUUCUUGUUUCAGUUGGAUCUUUGCCAGAAAAUGGCCAUAUAUCCUACAAGGCCCUCAGCUGGGCAUAUUAUGUCGUUUUCUCUCUCUUUUUGCAUGGAUAAUUGUUGUAUCUCCGGUUCUAAUGCUUAUCAUGUGGGGAAGCUGGUUAAUUGUAAUAUUGCAUCGCGAUAUAAUUGGUCUGGCUGUAAUCAUGGCUGGCACUGCUCUUCUGUUGGCAUUCUAUUCAAUCAUGCUCUGGUGGAGAACACAAUGGCAAAGUUCAAGUAUGUGUAUCUGUAUCCUCUUUAUCUUUUAAUUAUGUUUUCAUUUUUGAGCUGGAAAACGAACUUUUCUCUAUUUGUCCAUUGCGGAAUUUGUAUGGCGAGCCUGUCUUUGGUGGCAGAGAUUUGCAUUUUAAUUCUCUCUAAAAUUGAUUUUAUUUGGCAUUUAAUUUCAUGUUUAACAUGUUAUUCUGCAUGCAUUCCUGUGAUUGACAAGUUUCUGAGUGGUUAAGAACUUCCUCAAGUCAAGAGCAAAACCAUUCGCUCUUUUUAUUUAUAAUUAAAAGUAGAAAUAAUUGGAAGAUAGAUCAUUCUAUUGAGAAUGGGGCAUGUUUCACUCCUAAAUUCUGCUUCCAUGGAAAUAAUUUUCUCUGCUGGAAUUUCAAUUUUUGCUCAAGUGAACUCCAAUCAUAUGUUUUUUUUUGGUGAUCAUCUUGAAUGGUUAAGCUUUGAUUGUAUCAAUCUAUUUCUCUUCAAGUUGAAAUUACAAUACUCCAUAAGAGAUCCAAAAUUGAAUUUGGAUUUUAAAAGGAAGCUAAUGAAUGAACAUGGUGCUUGUGGAAGUUAAUCCCUCAUGUUGUGAUUGGGAAAAAGGCUUUUUUGUUGUUGGAUAUAUUUUUUAAUAACUACGAGAAAAAGAAGAAGUUAUGGGAGCAUUAGCACAUGAAAUCUCCGACGUUGUAUUGUAUUGAGAUAAAUUGGUUCAUGUCAGACAAUGCUGAUGCUUUGUUGGUGAGAUUGAGAUACGCGUGUGAUAGAAACGGUGUACUAAUAUUAAAUGGGUUGAUGACCACAAGUUUUAGAAAUGAGGGAUUGUCUGGUAACUCGGUUUUGUUAGACUAGGAGACUAUUAGGAAUGCAUUCACUAGAUAUUUUGGGAAUAAAAGAAAAAAUCAACUUUUCACUUUCUUGCUGGAAUUUGUGGAGAAAAAAACCUUAAACUGCCAUGAAUGAGCCAAAGAUUUGGGUUUCAAGCAACAUGGCAUCUAUGAAAGUUGAAACCACAACUAUUGAUUAUUUUGUCACAUUAAGAUAACUUUAUUCCGAACCUCUUGUAUGCUCCUCAGAUAAACAAAUUAAUAAUGAGAUAUAGAGGGAAUGUGAAAGUUAAUUUGGAAAGUAUCAAGGAGUUGGAACUUGGAACUAAAGGAAAUACGAGGAAGUGGCAGAGGAAGCAGCUUAACUGAAAUGGAGAUUUGGAAAGAUCUGAGAAGCUCAAUAACAAACAAGAGGAAAAUUGUUAUGACUAGCUAAGUUGCUUAUGGUUUUCACGUGAAAGGUCAUGUACAAAAAAGUGGAUGAUAAAAAUCUAUUGAGAACACUGAUUUGGGAAUAUAAUUAUAUAAGCAGAUGCUACAUUUCAGCUUGAGAAUGAUUAGUGAGAUAAUUAUAUGUAAGUAACAAUGAAAACAAACAGCUAGAGUUGUCAAUUUUAGAACUAAAAUAAGUAUCUUAGGAUAGCCAUAACUUUAACAUGGUUUGUACGUGGUAUGAUUAAACGGUUAAAACUCAAUAUAAGAUCAUUCAAAAUAGGGUGUCUUGGGAAUUUAAUAGCUCAUUACUGCUAUUAUUACCCAAUGAACUUCCAUUACCUUAAGCCACGUGUUAACAGAGAACUCUCGGAUUGUCAUGGAAAUAGAGCUGGUUUUGGUUUGCACUUGAGCUCCAUAUGUAUUUCUAUCUGUAGGCUGCCUAGUGGUCCAUAUGAAUCUAUUUGCGAUGAGCCCACACUAAAGGAGGACAUUAAGACAUGUAAGCCGCACAUCAAUAAUUUUUUUAUUUGUAUCAGUGUUAAGUACUACUAUCUUUAUCUGUAGGUGGGUUUUAUCUGUGCUAAUAAUUGAAGUUUGCUUUUAUCAUUGGAUAACUGAGCCCUUCAUAUUGUUCUUUGAAAAUUUUCUUUGAUUUCUCUUGCUUUUGAUUUUGACCUAACUUCUUUAUUUCGGCUCUACAGGGGCAGUCAUUGAUUUCUCCUGCUUUUGAUUUUGGCUUAACUUCUUUAUUUUGGCUCUACAGGGCCAGUCAUUGAUUUCUCCUGCUUUUGAUUUUGGCUUAACUUCUUUAUUUUGGCUCUACAGGGGCAGUUGCUAUUCUUCUUCUUCUGGCUGUUGCCCUUCUCUGUGCAUAUGAAUUAUGUGCUGUGUAUGUUACAGCUGGAAAAAAUGCUUCUCAGCGAUAUUCACCCUCCGGUUUCUUUUUUGGUGUAUCAGCUAUUGCCUUGGCAAUUAACAUGCUCUUUAUUUGCCGAAUGGUCUUUAAUGGUAAGUCGUGCUUUAUCUUUUCAUGCCAGACAUUAUUUUGCAUCCAUUUUGUUCUAGAGAUGUAAUUGCACUGUGAUGACAUGAUUUCAUGAUUUCCAGGACUUGAGUCUUGUUGAUGCAAUAAACUUUGGUUUCUGUUAUCUGUUAUGUUGUAAUAAUUUUUUUUUUUUUCCUUCUGUUUCCUCAAUGCCUGAAGGGAAUGGCUUAGAUGUGGAUGAGUAUGUGCGGAGGGCAUACAAAUUUGCUUAUAGUGAUUGUAUAGAAAUGGGUCCAAUUCCUUGCUCUCCAGAGCCACCUAACCCCAAUGAAUUAUACCCUCGGCAAUCCAGCAGGUAAGCCAUAUGAUCAAGCUUUGUAUCUUAGAUAUUUUGAAUAAUGUCUUAGUAGUUAGUGCUGGAUCUUCAUCUUGUGUAGGCAUAUCUAGAGUUGGGGCAACCUUUUCAGGUGGUCUUGUUGAUAACUGGAUUUUAUUUAUAACUUGCUUGAUGAUAAGUAGGGAGAGUGCAUGACUCUGGGUUGUGAGGGUUGGUUAAAAUGGUUCAACAUCCUUUUGAGGUCUUAAAUUAUUAACUAGACAUUUUUUGCCUAGCCGGUCUAAUAUGUUAAUUAAUUGUCUUCUUUUCAAUGUGUUUAUAGGGCUUCACAUCUUGGAUUUCUAUACUUUGGCUCGCUUGUGGUUCUUCUCGUCUAUUCCAUUUUAUAUGGUUUUACAGCAACAGAAGCACGCUGGCUUGGGUUCAUUACAUCAGCUGCUGUCAUUAUUCUUGGUAUCCUGUUUGUGACCAUGGUUAUUCAUGUUUUGCCUUCUUCAUUGCCUUCUAUGCAACUUUAGCUACCCCCCUGGUGCUAAUUUCUUGUGGUUAAUUGUUAUGCAGAUUGGAACAUGGGGGCAUGCUUGUAUUGUUUCCAGCUUCUUCAAAGCCGUGUGGUGGCACUUUUUGUUGCUGGCAUAUCUCGAGUUUUUCUUAUAUGCUUUGGGGUGCAUUACUGGUUUGUUCUAGACACUUUUGCUCAAACAUGAUGUGUAAAUUUGUCGGUUUCCGUUGCUAUCCCUUGUCAUAGUCACCAUCCUGUUUCUUUGCUUCAGGUAUUUGGGUCAUUGCAUUAGUUAUGCUGUUGUAGCAUCUGUGCUGUUAGGUGCUGCUGUUUCUCGUCAUUUGUCAGUCACAAAUCCUUUAGUUGCUAGAAGAGAUGCCUUACAGAGCACAGUGAUUCGCCUCAGAGAGGGUUUUCGCAGAAAGGAACAGAACACUUCAUCUAGCUCUUCUGAAGGUUGUGGCUCAAGUGUAAAACGUAGUAGCAGUGUUGAAGCAGGUCCACUUGGUAACAUCGUUGAUUCUGGUAACCAGUCCACAGUGCAGUGUACAACUGAUGCUAGUAACUGGAAUAAUGUUCUAUGUCGAAAUGCCAGUUCUCAUGAGGGGAUCAAUAGUGAUAAAAGCACAGAAAGUGGAAGGCCAAGUUUAGCAUUACGUAGCAGUUCUUGUCGUUCAGUUGUCCAAGAGCCUGAAGCGGGGAUGUCUGGGGAUAAGUUUUUUUAUCAGAAUAAUUCCCUAGUGGUUUGCUCUAGCAGUGGUCUUGAUAGUCAAUGCUGUGAAUCUAGUGCAUCAAAUUCUGCAAAUCAACAACUGUUAGAUUUGAACCUUGCUCUUGCCUUUCAGGAAAGGUUGAAUGAUCCCAGGAUUACAUCUAUGCUGAAAAAGAGGGCAAGGGAAGGUGAUAGAGAAUUGGCUACUUUACUGCAGGAUAAGGGACUGGAUCCUAAUUUUGCCAUGAUGUUGAAGGAGAAGAACUUGGAUCCCACUAUCCUGGCAUUACUCCAGAGGAGCAGUUUGGAUGCAGAUAGAGAUCAUCGUGACAAUAAUGAUAUCACAAUUGUUGACUCAAAUAGCGUUGACAAUGUUAUGCCCAAUCAAAUUUCUCUGUCAGAAGAACUAAGGCUUCAGGGGCUUGAAAAGUGGCUUCAGUUGUCUAGAUAUGUUCUGCAUCACAUAGCAGGCACUCCUGAGCGAGCAUGGGUGCUCUUUAGUUUCAUCUUCAUUGUGGAAACAGUUAUUGUGGCAAUUGUUCGUCCCAAGACAAUUAAAAUAAUAAAUACAGUACAUCAACAGGUGAGUGGAGUAUGUAAGAUUUUUUCUUAUUUAUUUAUUUUAUUAGACUUAUGCCUGAUUAAUGAUAGUAAACAAAAAGCAUGUUCAAAUUUGAUGAAAAAAUUUAUGUUGCAGUUUGAGCUUGGGAUUGCAGUAUUUCUAUUAUCUCUUGUUGUUUGCUCAAUCAUGACUUUUCUUCGGUCACUUCAAGUAGAAGAGAUGGCCAUGACAUCAAAACCUCGCAAGGUAGAUAUUAUUGAACAUCCCAAUUUCAUUCUUUCUAAAUGGUCAAUUCAAAUCCAAAGUCCAAAAUUUUUAAUGCUAGUCUGUGAUUUGGUUUUUUAACAGUCCAAGUACCACUAUCUUCAUUUCUUUUUUUCGCUACUGUGUUGUGUCCCGUUGCGUUGCACUAGAAGAUGGAUUUGUUUUGUUUAUUUGUGUAUGCGUAUAAAUCCAUAUAAAAUUUGCCUCUUUAUACUCUUACUGUUAGCCUGUCUUUAUACUGUUUAAAGUUUUUUCUGUGAUUAUAUGGGACUUGCAUCAGAAUUCUUGGUGUUCUUAUGUCUUCUUUAAACCUCUUUGUUUCUCAGUAUGGUAUUAUUGCAUGGCUGCUUAGCACUGGUGUUGGAUUGUUGCUUUCCUUCUUGAGGUAUGCUAAAUAUUCACAAUCCACUUAAUUCAAUUAUCAUUUUAGAAUUUUCCUAUCAUGGCACCUUGUUUUUACUGUAUAUAGCUUGCUUUGUGAAUGAUUCGAUGACAUGUUAUGUGUGGCAGUGCACCACUCACUUUGUAAUGCGUUAAAUCUUUUUCCUGUUCUGCAGCAAAUCAUCAAUGCUUCUAGGAUUAUCCUUGACUGUUCCACUCAUGGUGGCUUGUCUUUCUGUUGCAAUUCCUAUUUGGAUUCACAAUGGCUACCACUUUUGGCCUCAAGUGCAGUCUGCAGGUCAUGCUGGAAAUCAUCGUCCUCCUGGGACAAAGGAGGUUUGUUCAUUCUUGCUCUCCACCCUUCACCUUUGAUUUCACAUAAUUAUUCAAGAAUAAGAUCUAUCAUUUUGGAAGUAGAUGUUUCAAAAAAGUUGCCAUCCUUUCCUUUUUUAAUAUUUUUAUUAUUGUGCUCGUUCUUUAGGAACUUUGGUUUGCAAAAUUAAACCUUUAUUGAUUCUAGUUAAUUUUCUCAUCUUUGCUAGGGUAUUGUUCUUAUUGUUUGUACAAUAGUAUUUAUUGGAUCCGUGUUAGCUUUGGGUGCUAUUGUGUCUGCAAAGCCGCUAGAUGAAUUGGGAUACAGGGCAUUGACCACUGGUCAGAAAAGCUUCAGUUCUGCUUAUGCAUCACCAGCAUACCUUGGUUGGGUGAUGGCAUCUGCAAUUGCUUUAAUAGUCACUGGUGUGCUACCCAUUGUUUCAUGGUUUGCAACAUAUCGGUUUUCCCUGUCUUCUGCUGUAUGUGUUGGGAUAUUUGCAGGUAAUUUGUCUAUACUUGCUCGGUCUUUAAUGUUUGCAAUUUAGGUCUAUCAUAAGUUGGCUGGGUCAGCAUGUGGAUUUAUCUUACCCCCUGUUGCUGUUUUGGUAGUUGUUCUUGUGGCAUUUUGUGGUGUGUCCUAUUUGGAAGUUGUCCAAUCUAGGGAUGACCAGGUUCCAACAAAGGGUGAUUUUCUUGCUGCCCUACUUCCUCUUGUGUGCAUUCCAGCAUUGCUAUCACUUUGCUGUGGAUUGCUUAAAUGGUGAGAAUUAUUGUAUUCAACAUUAAUUCAUAACUGAAGUUUACUUCUCAAACCAUGACUGGAUAUUGUUGUACUGCUGCAAGUGAGCAUUUGUUUGGCUAUUUAAUGUGCUGUAGAAACUGUUUACAGGAAAGACGAUGAUUGGAAACUUUCUCGAGGUGUAUAUAUAUUUGUUAUUAUUGGUCUUCUUCUUCUGCUUGGUGCAAUAUCUGCUGUUGUAGUUGUGGUUAAGCCAUGGACUGUAAGUGGGGUUUUUUAUCCAUCAAUGAAUUUUACUAUCUUUGAGAUGCAGUAUACCUAUUUAACUUGCUUUAUGUUUUCCCUCAAUUGCAACAGAUAGGGGUAGCAUUCCUCUUAAUUCUUCUCCUGAUCGUACUAGCUAUUGGUGUUAUCCAUCAUUGGGCUUCAAACAAUUUCUAUUUGACCAGGACACAGACGCUCUUUGUUUGUUUCCUUGCUUUUCUUUUGGGCUUGGCAGCAUUUCUUGUUGGAUGGUUUGGAGGUGAAAACAAAUAUCAUGACUAACCGAUACUAUUUGCUUAGACCCUAGUCUUGGACAUAGCUUACUUGAACAAUGACAACCAUCCAGUGACUUCAAGUUUCUUACCUUUCUUUUCAGGAAAGCCUUUUGUAGGAGCAUCCGUUGGUUAUUUUGCAUUUUUGUUUCUUCUUGCUGGACGAGCAUUGACUGUAAGUUUCACCACAUUAACUUCAUUCAAGUUUUGACUGUAAUAUUUAAUCUUUAUUUUUUCAUUUUACAAAAUGGGUUUAAUUUUUCUCAUUUAUUCUUUUAUUUUCUCUCUUCUCGCACGUGUGUCCCUGCAGGUCCUGCUGUCACCACCCAUAGUAGUUUAUUCACCACGAGUACUGCCUGUUUAUGUUUAUGAUGCCCAUGCAGAUUGUGGAAAAAAUGUCAGGUUUGUCAUCUAUUCUCUGUUGUUCUUCUCUCAUUUGUUCAUGGAUUUCUUAUUCUUCUGUCAUUUAUUUUCUAUUAUAAUCUUUGAUAUCCAUAUGUUGGCUCUCUGCACUAAAUGUCCAUUCUUUAUUCAUAUCUAUUGAUUGUGCAUCACCUCUUAAACAGCGGUGCAUUUCUCAUGCUUUAUGGGAUCGCUUUGGCAACUGAAGGAUGGGGUGUUGUUGCCAGUUUGAAUAUUUAUCCACCAUUUGCUGGUGCUGCUGUAUCUGCAGUUACUCUUGUUGUAUCCUUCGGGUUUGCUGUCUCACGUCCAUGCCUGACUUUAAAGGUUUGCAUGCUGAUCAUAUCCAAUCUCCAAUGAGUUGAUUUUACUUGAUGUCAGUCUGCAAGUAUUUUUUCUUGUUCGUGUUUUAAUAUUUUAUGAAAGGAGUUACUUUGUAUCUUCAUCCCUAGCAAUGUUUAUUGGGUUCAGUUAAUAACAUUCUCUUAUAUCUCCAGAUGAUGGAUGAUGCAGUUCAUUUUCUCAGCAAGGAUACCAUUGUUCAAGCAAUUACACGAUCUGCUACUAAGGUGUGUUUGAUUUUGUAUUUGAAACUGAUCCACAGUCAGCAUCUGAUUUGCGUGGUUUAAGUAUAUUACUCAGAUUAACAAAAACUUGGGGUGGCGAAAUGAUUCAAUCCUCACACCUGCUACAGUUAAAUUGAGUCCAUGAGAUGUAUGUUUUCACUAGGUCAUGCCCAGGCUAUUAUGUAUAAAUAUUUGUGAAUGUCUAUGUGUUCAUGCAACUGCUUGAGAUGUGUUAUAAAACAUAAUAAUCCACCAUAGUUUUUAGCUUUCUUUAUCUUGUAUGGUGAAAGGUUUUUCAGGCUUCUGCUCACUUACUACUGAACUGUGAUGCAUUUACUAUGUUUGUCAUGCAGACAAGAAAUGCUUUGUCUGGAACAUAUUCUGCACCUCAGCAAUCUGCUAGUUCAACAGCUCUUUUGGUUGGGGACCCUACGGCUGCACGUGAUAAGGCAGGGAACCUUGUGCUUCCUAGGGAUGAUGUCAUGAAAUUGAGAGACCGUCUAAGAAAUGAGGAAUUGCUAGUGGGAUCUUUCUUCUGCCAGAUGAGAUACCGAACAUUUCGAUGUGAAUCAGCUAGUGGUUUAGAUCACAGAAGGGAAAUGUGUGCCCAUGCACGAAUUUUGGCUUUAGAAGAGGCAAUUGAUACUGAAUGGGUAUAUAUGUGGGACAGAUUUGGUGGUUACUUACUUCUUCUGCUUGGUUUGACUGCUCAGGCAGAAAGAGUACAGGUACAUCAGGGUUUUGUGAUAAUUACUAUAUUUAUUUUAUCGCUACUCAGAAUGCAUGAUUAUACUUCUGCUGUUGUAGGAUGAGGUACGCUUGAGGCUUUUUCUUGAUAGCAUAGGUUUCUCAGACCUAAGUGCCAAGAAAAUCAAGAAGUGGAUGCCGGAGGACCGUAGGCAAUUUGAAAUUAUUCAGGAUAGGUGACAACAUUCUCACAUUUUCUUUUUUCUUCCACUUGAGGAAUUACCCUUUCCAUGUUUCUAAAUCUUCAUUCUGGAUUUUGUAGCUAUCUGAGAGAAAAGGAGAUGGAAGAGGAAAUCUUAAUGCAAAGACGUGAAGAGGAGGGUAAGGGUAAAGAAAGAAGGAAGGCCCUUUUGGAGAAGGAAGAACGCAAAUGGAAGGAGAUUGAAGCUUCUCUCAUUUCCACAAUUCCUAAUGCUGGCAGCAGGGAGGCAGCAGCCAUGGCAGCUGCAGUGCGUGCUGUAGGAGGUGAUUCGGUUCUCAGUGAUUCCUUUGCACGGGAAAGGGUUUCAAGCAUUGCCCGUAGGAUACGCACAGCUCAAUUAGCUCGCCGAGCACUGCAGGUCAAUAGCCCUGUUCUUUAAACUGGUUCUCCAAUGUUUACCUUCUGCCCUUUGUUUUUGAUAUCAUCUGAUAUGAAUGCUGGCAUUUCUUCCAUAUUUGGAUGAUGUACCUUCCCGUAUUUGAUAUAGAUUAGCUGCACAUUGAAUCUGGGUUUUGAAACCAAGACUAAUAAUGGAUAGACUAAUAGUUUAACAAUUGAUGCAGCAGAGGCUGUUCUGAAAAUGUUAUGCAAUUAAAUGGGUUAGCUUUAAUAUACUGAUUAGUAGCUGACAAAUAAUCAGUGAAAUGAGACCUGAAUAUUUACCUCCCAAAAACUAGCUAACACUUGAGGAAUAACAGAAAAAUACAGGAAGUUGGUGCCCCAACUUCUGGAAGUUGAGGACUUUCCAGGUCUUGUUUCGCAGAGCAGGGGCUGUACCUGCAAGGAAAUAUCUCAAAUUGCCCUAAUUUUUUCUUGAGUCACCUGCUACUUCAUGAUCUAUAAAGCUAAUUUCUGAAAUUGUGUAAGGAUGUCACCAAUUCUGUUGUGAAAUAUGAAUCUACUAACUCUUAAUGUUGCUUGCAGACCGGAGUUACAGGUUCUGUAUGUGUUCUUGAUGAUGAACCAACCACAAGUGGCAGGCACUGUGGUGAGAUCGAUCCCAGUGUAUGCCAAAGUAGAAAGGUCAGUUUUUCCAUUGCUGUUAUGAUCCAACCUGAGUCUGGACCAGUUUGCCUUCUAGGCACUGAAUUUCAAAAGAAAGAAUGCUGGGAAAUUCUGGUGGCUGGUGCUGAGCAAGGUAUUGAGGCUGGACAGGUUGGGCUUAGAUUAAUCACUAAAGGUGAUAGGCAGACAACUGUUGCCAAGGAGUGGAGUAUCAGUGCAACAAGUAUUGCGGAUGGAAGGUUAGGAAGUUUUUUGUUUGCAAGUUACUUUGAAUCUUAGUGCUUGAGGUCUUACGCUUUUGCUUCCGUGUUACUACUUUCCAUGUAUUCUUGUACUUGCUUUUUUUUUUUAAUCUUUAAUUGAAGUUUGGAACUCCAAGAUGUGUUAUACUUCUAGGGUUUUAUUUUUUUUCCAGCAUUUUGUGAUUUCUAUUUAUCUACAGAUUCAAUGUUAUUUGGGUUUAAUAAUUCUUUGCAGGUGGCAUAUUGUGACAAUGACAAUUGAUGCUGAUUUGGGUGAAGCAACUUGCUAUAUGGAUGGUGGCUUUGAUGGCGACCAAACUGGGCUACCAUUGUCUGUGGGCAGUAGUAUCUGGGAACAGGGGACAGAAGUUUGGGUUGGUGUUAGGCCACCAAUAGAUAUGGAUGCAUUUGGAAGGUCAGAUAGUGAAGGAGCCGAGUCUAAGAUGCAUAUAAUGGAUGUUUUCUUAUGGGGAAGGUGCUUAACUGAAGAUGAGAUUGCCUCGCUUCACACUGCGAUAGGCUCAACGGAGUUUGGUAUGAUUGACUACCACGAAGAUAAUUGGCAGUGGGCAGAUUCACCCCCCAGAGUAUGUUUUGCAGUUAAUGUUUCUUAUUAUGGUGAACCACAUGAAAUUUCAAUAAUGGAAAGAAUAUUUUAUAUGCGAGGUUGAAGUCCUUUACUAAUCUUUGCUUUUCAUGUUCACUUAGGUUGAUGAGUGGGAUAGUGAUCCUGCAGAUGUAGAUCUUUAUGAUAGGGAUGAUGUGGAUUGGGAUGGGCAAUAUUCAAGUGGGAGGAAAAGAAGAUCAGAUCGUGAAGGAGUGGCGAUAGAUGUUGAUUCUUUUGCUAGGAGGUUUAGGAAACCUAGGAUAGAAACCCAGGAAGAAAUUAAUCAACGAAUGCUUUCGGUUGAAUUGGCUGUUAAAGAAGCCUUGUGUGCUAGAGGAGAAGCAAAUUUUACUGAUCAGGAGUUUCCUCCGAAUGAUCAAUCAUUAUACAUGGAUCCUGCAAAUCCCCCUUCAAAGUUGCAGGUUGGUUCUUUUGGCUCUGUAAUUACACAUUGUUUGGUGUAUUUUAUUGUUUUUUUCUAACUUUGUUUUGGAGUUCAAAACUAGGUUGUCUCUGAGUGGAUGAGGCCUGUGGAAAUAGUUAAGGAAAGUCGUCUAGACUCCCACCCAUGCUUGUUUUCUGGGGCUGCAAAUCCCUCUGAUGUUUGUCAGGUCUGGUCUCUACUCGUUGCUUGACAUGCAAUUUUUUUUUCACUGCACUGAUCAUCUCUGUAUUUCGAAUCACCUUAAUUGAAUGUCUCAAAAUUCUUAAGAAUUGUCAUGGUUAUGUAAUAGGGUCGUUUAGGUGAUUGUUGGUUUCUAAGCGCUGUGGCUGUUCUAACGGAGGUAUCACGAAUAUCAGAAGUGAUUAUUACCCCAGAGUAUAAUGAAGAAGGAAUUUACACGGUUCGCUUUUGUAUUCAGGUAGCAGCUUGUAGUUUCUUUUGGUAAUAAUACAUUUUUCAAUAAUGAUUUAAUGAAAAUAAUACAGUUACUUGGCUUUCUGUCCUUUGAUAUAUAUAUGAUGUUUGGAUUUAUGAUUCAGCUGUGCUUUAUAGGGGAAAAAUGUGAGACAUUGUGAUGUAUUAUAGAUUUUUUUUUUCAAUUUUCAAUGUUGUAUUGAAAUAACAAGAACCAGUUGAAAAUGCAUCCCAAAGUUGUUUAAAUUACUCUAUCUGCUGACUAGAACUUAAUCUUUGAUGGUUAGACUUGCCUUCAGUAUACUGGUGAUUUGUGUGUGAGAAAACCUGUAUCCAAAACUGUUCUUUUACAGACUUGGCUAGUUUCUCACUAGCCUGGAGAAGAUCCCAUUGUUUAGUGAUAAAGUAAUUCUAAUGUACCUUUUGGUAGACAAUUGUCAUGUUAGCUGUCUAGGAACUAGGAGAGAUGUCAACUAUCAUCUGUUUGGAUGCCAAUGCUGCCAGACUUUAAGUGGAGCACUCUCCCUCUGACGAGACUAUGUCAAUUAAGUGCCAUUCUAUUAGAUGCAGCUUCCCUGGGCUUCACUUAAGAACUGGCAAUGCUUUCCCUGGGACUUGGCCCUGGUGUUCAAGGGGUGAGGUGGUUUUGGGGUAGGUCUUAAGAAUCUUUAGAGCCAUAGACAGUGGUUUUGCAUGAUGUCAUUCCCGAGUCGUUCCAUUAUAACCUGGUCCCUACUGGGUUCUGCUUUUCAUUUCUGAAUACAAUGCACGACCCCUUUUUUCCUCUAAUGUUGCUUCAUUUCCUGUUAAAUUAGCUAACAGACAUAUUUAGUAAGAGUGCUUCCUGGUUGGUUAUUGUUGUAAUUGUUUUGGUUAUCAUGUUCUUAUCAACAUUCUGUUUUGCAAUCUCCUUGUAGGGUGACUGGGUCCCAGUUGUUGUUGAUGAUUGGAUUCCAUGUGAAUCACCAGGUAAACCUGCAUUUGCUACCAGCCAGAAGGGUAAUGAACUCUGGGUUUCUAUAUUGGAGAAAGCAUAUGCCAAAUUGCAUGGUUCUUAUGAGGCAUUGGAGGGUGGGCUUGUUCAGGAUGCCCUUGUGGACCUUACUGGAGGUGCUGGUGAAGAGAUUGACAUGCGGAGUGCUCAGGCCCAGAUCGAUCUUGCAAGUGGUAGACUGUGGUCUCAAUUGUUGCGCUUUAAACAAGAAGGCUUUCUACUGGGUGCAGGGAGUCCAUCUGGUUCUGAUGUUCACAUUUCUUCCAGUGGUAUUGUGCAGGGCCAUGCGUACUCUUUGCUGCAGGUAAUGCAAGCUUGCAUCUUUCUUUAUCAAUCCUGUACCAGCUGAAGAAGUCUUGGUGGAAGUUGACACUCUUAUUAAAUUAUUCAGGUAAGAGAGGUGGAUGGCCAUAAGCUUGUUCAAAUUCGAAAUCCAUGGGCUAAUGAAGUAGAGUGGAAUGGACCUUGGUCUGACUCAUCUCCUGAAUGGACUGAUAGGAUGAAGCACAAGUUAAAGCAUGUUCCACAGGUACUUAGUUUUGGCAUGUUUUCCUUUUCAUAUCUUGGAGAGUAAAAAAGUUAACAAGCACAGUCCUUGAGUACUAUUUGGUAAGGCAUGCAUGACUACAUGAUUGCAUUUCUUCUGAUCACCAUCAUGCAUGACUAAAUUAUUGUCAAAAACCUAAUCCUAUCUUGUUGAACAGUCCAAAGAUGGUAUAUUUUGGAUGUCCUGGCAAGACUUUCAAAUCCACUUCCGGUCAAUAUAUGUAUGUCGUGUCUAUCCCCCUGAGAUGCGGUAUUCUGUUCAUGGCCAAUGGCGAGGCUACAGUGCUGGUGGAUGCCAAGAUUAUGCUUCCUGGAAUCAAAAUCCACAAUUCCGAUUGAGGGCCACUGGUCCAGAUGCAUCAUUACCAAUUCACUUGUUCAUCACUUUAACUCAGGUGUGCUCAAGUGAAGGACUUUCAGGAGGAUUUUUUUUUUUAAUCUAUUGCACUUGAAUAUCUUUACUGAGUUCAUGAACUCAUCUAAUUUCCUGUGUUUAGGGUGUGAGUUUCUCUAGAACAGCAGCUGGUUUCAGAAAUUACCAAUCCAGUCAUGAUUCAAUGAUGUUCUACAUUGGAAUGAGGAUUCUGAAAACUCGUGGUCGCCGUGCUUCCUACAACAUUUACCUACAUGAAUCAGUUGGCGGGACAGAUUAUGUCAAUUCUCGAGAAAUAUCAUGUGAAAUGGUUUUGGAUCCUGAUCCAAAAGGUUACACAAUUGUACCCACAACUAUACAUCCUGGGGAAGAAGCACCAUUUGUUCUCUCCAUUUUCACCAAAGCAUCAGUAAUCCUGGAAGCUUUGUAAUAAUCAGUGAUGGCUGUUCAGUUGUUUUCUUUUCCUUUGGGCUGCGAGCUUACCUGCUAGAUUUUGAAGUGCUUGGGUUGUUCAUAGUUCAUGUACCACCCAUAGGCAGGUUCUGUUGAACCAAAAAUCAGUGUGCAGAGGGAAGGUAAAUUGUGUCUCGAGUUUCUUCUGUCCAUUUUGCAGUGCAUCUUCUAUGCAUCUACUUCCCUUCUGUUUUUGUUCUCGAGAAGUUUGGUAAAACACCAAACUUCCUACUUUUGUCAUGUUUCUCUCUGUAUCAAUGUUGAGUUACGAUGGACUGAUUUGAAGUUGUAUAUUUGGCAGUCUCUGCACAAUGUGGUUCUCAGCUGCCUGGAUGGCCUGUGAAGAAAGCAAGCAAGCCAUUUUUGGACUUGAUUACCAGCACCAAAUGGAUUUGAAUGCACUUAGGUAGAUGCGAGAGCUUAUUGCGUCGGAUCUGGAGGGUUGUCAAAACUGGUUUAAAUCAUUUUCUGCCACCUUCAGAGGGUUGUCUGGCACGGUUAAUUGUACAUGUGUAGGUAUGUAAUUUGUAAGAAAUAUAGGUCUGAUCAUGUAAAUGAAGCGGGGAAGAAAAAGGUUGAAAAGAAAUAGGAAAAUAAUCACUAACGCUAGCUCUAGGUGAAAACCAAAAAGCAUGGUAGCUGGAGAAGGUUUCAGCUGCAGUUUUGAUGUGCUUUGUAUUCUGAACAAGUUAUCACUUGUAAAAAGUCUUUAUUUUUGCAAUAUAAUCAUUUGUUAUUUGAUUUGGUAAUUGUCAGCUUCAAUUUUUAAUUUUCUUUUUCACAACCAUUGCAUCGACUAUGAUGGUAAUUCAAACUGUAACCUGUAAGCCCUUUCUUUCAUCUUGACUGGAACAAUCCUUUAAUUUCCUUUGAACUUAAAAUGAGGUAGAGAAGUUUAUGCAUAUAUCAUCAAACUGCUCAUGAGGCAUAAACCCUAAAUCUGGCCAGGGAGAAUAUGCUACUGUCAUGACCUUGUACUAACCCAUCUCUGCAUUACAUGAAAAGGAGAGAAAUACAACAUUCCAUGGCAGUAGUAAUCAGUUUCGUGAUCAAGUGCUACAACCCAUGUCCAUUAGCAUAUAUUCUUUUGAGUGGCCUUCGAUUUUCAAUGCAAAGCAAAUCGUAGCUGCAGGGAACCCGUGAAAUGAAAUAAAAGCAAACCAAAGAACCAUAAAAAGCAGGCAAAAGCAUCAAUAAAGGGACGGAAAAAGGUGACAAAAAUAAUAUUUUAUAUUCCAAAUAUCAAACUGACAAAGCAAAUUACAGGCUUACAGCUACAAAAACAACCAAGCGGGAAAGAGACACCUCUACCAUUCUCUUUCUAUUUUCCUUCCCUUUUCGCCUUCAACAAAAGAAGGGAACCUUCUGUUUCUAGUCGUCUCUCCUAACUACCAAUGGUCAAAAUCUCUCAUUCCGAGUCACUUUCCAUGCUUCCCAUUGCCUUCAAUCCUCUAGGUCUCUGCAUCAAAUAAAAAACCAAUCACGAAUUUGACCUCUCUGCUGGGAAAGAUUGAAGAUAUCAGGCAAAAGAUACAAAUCUUGAUUAUAGCUCAUUUUGAAUUCAAAAUUCAAACCUAUUUAACUUUUUCUGUAUUUUUCUGAGGAAGCAGACAAUCUGAUAUAAAGACCAGUAACUAACAAACAAGACAUGGAAGGAAAUAAAAGAACAAGUUAGUACCUUUUUGGAAGUCUUCUUCUCCCUUACUUCAUACCUCUCUUGACACAAAUCUGAUAACCAUGCACCUGGACUUGCCAUCUGAGAACACACAAGAGAAAUAAAAAAAAAAAAAAAAAAACAUCAACACAAGCUCCCAUCAAAAGAAAAGGAAAAGACUUCUCUAAUUUUUAACAGUCCCCAAAUUCCUUUCUUAGUGUAUGUAUUGAGGAGACUUACAAGUAAAGUUCGUUGAAUCAACUUGGCUCUUUUCUUAGGCCUCUGAGAAGGCUUGCACCCUUUCAUAGCCAUGAAAUCCUCUUCCUUCUCUUUGUUAGACAAUGUUAUAAACAGUCUGGGCCAAACAACCUUUUCUUCCUUAACAGCAUCCACUAAAAUCUUGCUAUUAUCAUCCAAUCCCAAUGAUCCCCUUGUUGUGUAGUACCGGUCUUCCUUAUCCGGUGACAACGCUGAUGACUUCCUAUUGUUCGUUAACAAAUCAGAAUCCCUAUAUCCAACCACAGCCCAAAAGUAAAAUAAGAACUUUUUUGACACAUUUAUUUGAGUGAUAAUAACAAACGGGACAUGAAAGUAAAGAAAACUUUGUGAUCUAAGAACAUCUAACAAUACUCUCACAAUUUCGAUUUUUCCUAGUUUCCCACAGUUUCUAAUCAACCAGGCCAGUUAUAGAUCAGAUAAAACUACUUUUGUAAUUCACAAAAAACCAAAGAUCAUAAAAAAAGAACGACUUAUCAAUCAGACCUAAGUAAAAGAAAUAUGCAAACAAGCAGAUUUGCUCACUUGAGCAUGUUAGAAACUGAACACUUUCUUCAGUGUAUUGACUAGUUACCGACUGGAUACAACCACCAAAAAAUAAAUGAAUUGAGCAAAAUUCAUUCAUGUAUUCUUACUUGAUGAGGAGAGGAGGAAUGGGAUUCUUACUUGAUGAGGCGAGAAGGAAAUUCUUUCUCGGUAGUGACAGCACGAGAAGUAAGUUUCUUCCUGGGCAAAGAAUCAUUUAGUUUAGAUUUAUUGGCCAAGUUUUGGGCUUUUUUCACUUUCACACAUCUAAGCCUCUUUGUACUUCCCCAUUGCAACACAAAAUCUGUAUCUCCAGCUCCUUGACUCUUCUUCUCCUUAUCCUUCUCCUUCUCCUUCUCCAUCAUCUCUCUUCCCCUCUCUAAACAGCAAAAAAUUAGCCCUAACAAAUUGUGAGGCGGGUAUCAUUCACUACUAUAGAGAGAAAAAUCUUCCAAUCAAAUAGACACCCUUACAAUCAGUAACAGUUUCAAGAGGAAAUUUUGUCACGAACAAACAUAACAUUGCACAAAGAGUAAACAAGAAACCCACGCGGAGUUCUAAAACAGAAAAUUAAAGAGGAAUCUAAAUAGAAAAUACAGUAAAUUGAGAGAAAACAAGCCCAUUUAAAGAGGAAUCAAAUAAGGCGACUGACCUCAAGAUCUCCAGAUAAUGCAAUAAAAAUUGCUCAGAAAUUUAUCCUAUUAGCCUGCAUUUCAAAACAGACACAAAAAGAAUACCACGUCAAUAAAAUCACAAGGCUAAAUCAACAAGAAACAUAAAUUUGUUCUCUGAUUGGUUGCUGAGAAACCAUAGAAAAGAAACAAUAGCAUAAGAACUUGGAAUCCCCCAUCAAGAAUUAUCGAAUCACUUUCUCAGCAACAAAACAGACAGAGAAAGAGAGAAAGAUUACAGUGAAGACGCUUCACUUCAUUGCUCAGUUCCAGCAGCAGCAAAAACUUGAAAAGUCUUUUUGUUUGGUCAACGAGAGAAGGGAAAAAAACACAGACUUUCCAGAGAAAAUUGAGAGAGUGAAAGAUUAGAGGCUUUAGAACUGUGGGUCUGAUUCAGAUUUUCAAUUUGAUGAAUAAUAAGUUGAAAGAUCGGAGCUUUCUCUGUUAUCUUCACCAAAAACUGAAUACUCCAGUCCGUGUUUCUGUUUCUCUGGCUCUUUAUGUUCCAACUUCUUUUUUACUGCUUUCUAUUGGUUUGAUCAUGACCGUCCGAUGUCAAAUGGACGGCCAGAUGACUUUCCCUCCAAUUGGGUUAAGGUCUUCAGUUACACGUGACAUGGGAUGCAAGCACAUGACCUUGUGCAUUGCCUCCUCUCCGCUCCGCUCCCAGUGAAAUCCAAAGAUGGACAUGGCCAAAGAAUUAUAGUUCCCUGUUGUUACUUGUGAAUACUCGAAAGUAGUUUUGUAUUAAUUCAUAUAUAUAUAGUUUGUUGUGUUAUUAAAUGCAUCUAUUUAUAGUUUUUUUUUAUAUAAAAAAAUGAAUAGCAAGAAGGACUAGGUAUCAUCUUUGGUGUUUUGAGAAUAUAUAAAUUAAUAUUUUUCUAGCUAUUUAGGUUUUGUUUUGUAGUAUCGGGGGUCAAUCCUGCUGACCCAUGAUCAAAGCUCGCACCAAAUAAAUUCUCAAAUCAAUUUUUAUAACUAUGGCUGCAACAAUUACUCCACAGCUUAAAGGAAAACUGCUGCAUUCUGUCUUGAAAUUUAGUCCAUGAAAUUGUAAAUGAGCAUCUCAUCAUCAUCAUGUCAUAUCAUUCAAAUUCCCACAAGGAUUACUUAACAGAUAGAAUAUUAACUUGCAUGUAUACUUAGUGUUGUGUUUGGCGAUGUAGUUGACUAUUAUUUUGAUAAAAUUUAAUUUUUAGUAUUUUUAAAUUAUUUAGAUGUGUUGAUAUCAAAAAUAAAUUUUAAAAAAUAAAAAUAUAUUAUUUUAAUAUAUUUUUAAAAAUAACCUCUAUUAUAUUAUAAAAUAUUAUCUUCUUAUUGGUUAUUGUUUGUGAGAAGUUUUUUCUUUUCUUCUGGGACAAGUUAAUGAAAAGGGGUUGGUAAUUAGUCUUGGAUUAAUUAUUAUUAUUAUUGUUUCCACAUUAGUCUAAUUUGGGUGAUCUAGCUAUAACAACCACCUUUAUAAUUUCAAGACAUACAUGACCCCCUCUCUUAGCAUCGCCAUUGGAGAAAAUCACGAAGUGCAUUGCUUUCUAAUCAUGCUUCUUCUUUUCUUCUUCUUUUUCCUUUUUUAACCGUUAAAGAUGUUCUUAAACUAAUUUAUGUGUUAAUAGAGAUUAAAUUUUUUAUCCUAAUGUUUUAAAAAUGUAUUAGCACGUUAUAAAUAAAUUUAGAGAUUUGUAUUUUCUUAACAUUAAAUAUAUGCUUGUUUGUGUAACCAAUCAUGCGGUUUAUCGUAUAAACAAAUAAACUCUAAGUUAUCUCUUUAAAUUUACUAUUAGUAAAUUGUUUGGGUAUGAAAGUAAAUAAAAAAUAAAAUCAAUUGGUUUAAAGACGUGAAAUAUUGUUUUAAAAGUGUUUAUUUAACCUACACAGAGAUAAUAUCUUCAUGACACAACUAAACCCUUUAAACCUCUUAGAUAAUAAAAAGAAAAAACAAGAGAAAAAUAUGCUUUUUUAUUUAUUUAUGAUUGUUAAAAAGACAAUUAUAUUUUGAAUUAAAAAAUUAACUGAUAAAAUCUACUAGAAAAACCCAUCCACCAUAAUUUUUAUUUAAUUUACUACAAAAUAAAAAUCAAGAAAAUAUUUAUUUUCAAUGUAGAUGGAUUUGAAACCACACCAGCAUUUGCUUCACUUUUAUUUAAAAGCAUCAAUAGGUCUCACCAAUGUAACGUUACACUUGCAGCAGUACAAGUAUAGAGGUUCCUGGAGUCAUUUAAAUUUCAAAAUUUUGAGGUUGGUUCGAAAAGCAAGACGCUCAAUUGGUUCGGAUCGAGAUCUAUUUAUUCUCUGUGACCCACUUCUAUGGUGACGAUGAUGAUGAAUCAUGACCAUGCUUUUUAAUCACCUACUACUGUACAUGUUCUUCAGCUAAGGAUCGAUGAUUCCAACACCUUAAAUCUUGUCAAUCCUUAUGGGAAAUGAAUGGUAGACGAGGCCCUGGUGAAAUCCUGAAGAGCCCUGGAUUCAAAACAAAUUAAUUGAAACAAAUGUACAUCUGGAACUACAGAGAAGAUCAAUUCUCUUGCAUUGCUGGCCCAGACAUGAUCUAACUGCCAACUUCAUCAACUUCAAUGUGUUUCCAACAUGUAAUGCCCCACGGUUGCAACAAGUUAUCCCAAGAGGAUUGGAUGGUACAUGUACUCUUCAAAUCUUUACAUCUUCAGUUUGAGUGUAAUGGAAACUUAUAUGGAUAGAUUUCUUAUCAAUGCAUAAGUGAAAAUAUAAAUUAUCGUAUCAAAUUCUAUAAAUAAAAUUAUAACUAUAAAACUUGAAAAAGAUAACAAGUUUAGCAAAUCAAUUUGAAUUGAUUUAAACUAGUCCAGAAUAAUAUUGUUUAAAGAUUUUGUUUUUUUAUUUUUAAAUAAUUAAAAUAAUAUUAUUUUUGACAAAUUUUUAAAUCAAAUUGAGUAUCAUUCAUUAAAGUUGAUGUGGAAGACUAAUCAAAUUUAAACGAAUCAAUUUUCAUAUAAUUCACAAAUAAAAACUGCUCAAAUCAAGUUUCAAGUUGAUAAAUCAAUAUAUUAACCAGUCUGAUUAUACCGAGUUCACGUAACACUUAAAAAGCCCUCAUUGAUAGAGGGGGGAAAAGAAUCACAAACAUAAUUUUAUAUACUGUUAAAACAAUAUUAAGCAAGAGCUGUCAAGCGUGUAAAAUAUAAUAGGUAUUGAUCUUGACAAAGCACCAACAAGUUAGGUUAAAAUGAGGUGCAUAUCUGAAACAUUCCUUAACGUUUAACGUCAUAAUAAUGUUCAUAUCGUGACAGUUAAGGUAUCCUUUUCUAUUUGGAAUCUAAGCAAAAAAAUUAUCUGUUUCAUCAAAUUAAGUCGACAUCGGCUCAUAAAAUUCCUCAUUUAUAUCAUUCAAGCAAGAACAACUUGUUAUCGUCAAUCGACAUCACACCAAAUAAUUCCGAUAACAAUAAAUAAAUUUGAUUAAUUAGUUGUACUGGAUUUGGAAUUAAUGCAUUCACUGUUUUUAUCAAGGGGAAAAAAAAAUUCUUGCUAUAUAAUUUAUAAUUAUAAAUCUUGAAUUAGUCUAGCCGAUUUUAAGUUUUGAUGAAUUUAAGUUAAAAAAAUAAAAAAUUUGAAUUGACAUGUUGAAAUCCAAUUAAAAUUUGUUGAUUUUUUUACAAAAUAAGAUUAUUUUAAUUUUUAUAUAUAUAUAAAAAAUUAAGUUAACUAGAAUUAACUUUCGUGAAUUACCUUGCUUUGAAAUGAUUCUUGAAUUGAGAUUUAUAAUUAUGAUAAAAUUAAUAUAAAAUAAAAAUAAAGGGAAGAAAAGGUUGAUAUCUAAUUAAUAUCCAAUUUGUUUACAUUGAAAAUAGAAUUUACAAGAUUUUAUUCUUCAUUUAAGAUCCUUAUAUAUAUAUAUAUAUAUAUAUAUAUAUAUUACAGAACCUUAAUAAUUUAUUAUCCUUUCAAGUCAUGCCAAUGAUUUAAGACCAUACAAUGACUCAUCAAACCAUGUUAGCAAGCAACCACAUGAAAGGUUUUUCCCAUCAACAAACUUGGGAAGGCCAACAAUUUCUUCUUCUUUUUUAAAGAGUAUAUUCCCACAACGUUGAAUGAAUCAUUCACAACCCAACAAAAAAAUAAUAAUCAAUUAUUAAUUCAACAGAGAGAGAGAUCGAACAAGACAGCAAAAUAUGGAGACCCACAAAGGAACAUUGGACAGCUGUUUGGCAACCCUUGUCCUUGCCACCCUGUUCUCACCUUUCUCUUCAAAAUCUCUCUCUUUACCCCUUUAUAUAUGCGCACCCACACCCACACAGAAACACCUACCAUCCACAUUCCUACAAGCUGUUGUCUCCAUUCUCUCUCUGCAUCUCUCUCUAAACAAAUCUCAUUUCAAAGAGGAAUUGUAGAGUCUUUCUUUCUUUGCUGAACAACAAGAAAAUGGAGGCAAUGAAAAUGAAGGUCUUUGCUGUCUUGAUGGUGGUCUUGAUGGCCUUUUCAACCAUGCAAAAGGCAACAGCUGCCGAAGCACCAGCACCAAGCCCAACAUCUGAUGCCACCAUCUUUGUUCCCACAUUCUUGGCAUCUUUUGUUGCUCUUGCCUUUGGGUUCUUCCUUUGAGCCACCCAACUUCAACUCAUUAGAUGCUUUACCAUGUUUUCUUCUCAUUUCUUUCCCUACCCAUCUUUCUUUCUCCCUCUCUGAUCUCAUUUCUUUACUCUUUUGUAAUCUUGGAUCUUUCACGCUACAACAUGGGAGAUACAAAGGAAAGAGGGAGAGGAAAUGGGUUGGGAUUUUUCUUCUUAUUUUGUAUUUAUUUAUGUAUUGUUGAUCUUUAAAGUCAUGUACUUGGGGUGUGAUUGAUAUAUUUUGAUGGCAUUCGUAUUGUAAUUUUCAUGACUUGUAUAAUUCUUGUGUCUGUUUUUUUUAUUUUUUUUGGGGAGGGGGGGGAUGUGGAGCUAGAGUAUUAGCUAGCCUUGAGCUUGGAUUUGUGUUGGUGGAUUUUGUCCAUCCAUUAUUCAUGUAUCCUACUUGCCCUUGAGCUUCUCUCACUUGUAUUUGUGAUUUAUUCUAGUAAUAAAUCUUCUUUUACUUCUACUUCAAUGAAUGCUUGGUGUUCUUUCUUUUUUAUGUGAGUAACUGGUGUUCUUCUCAACCAUUUGAUCACCUUCUAACAAAUUCCAUAAUUGAGGCUUAGAGGGGUCAUUAAGAAAAGAUUGCUGUUAAACAAGUGAAAGAAAGAGUUAAGAGCUUUUGUUGGAAAGAUGGUAAUGAGCUGGAGUUUGGCAGAUUCUACUGGAUUUGUGUGGUGAAGAUGAUGAUUGCAGACAGUGCUUGUUGGGGCCUUCAAUUUUGACUGUGUUAGGCACAAUGUCACUGAAUUUGAAGGCAUGGCCUACCAUGUGAAUUAGAGAAAUGGUUAAAAUUUCAUAACAUGGGAAGAAAUAUGGUCCAGAAUCAAAUGGCCUGGUAGUUUAUAGGAAAG
rnacentral:lncRNA from 1 species